UUUUUUUUUUUUUUUUUUUUUUUAAUUAGAUGCAUAUAUAAUUCAAUGAAUCACAUAUUUACUUUGAUGCAUAUGCAAAUAAUAGUUUCAAUGCAUGUACAUAUGUAAGAUUCAAUUCAUGGCAAAUAUCAAAUUCACAUAAUUGUAGCAAUUGUGAUUAUGAAGCAUACACAAUUUAUGUAGAAUCUAAAAUACGUUAAACGUAAAGUUGGGUCAUGCAUCAUGGUGAAUGUUCAUGCUAUCAGGGCUUGCAAAAUAUCGAGUUAAAAACCGUUGUUUGGAAAGAACCUGAUUGCGUGAUGAUAUGGAUGAACUGGUUUGAUGCAGAAAAAAUCUCCAACGUCAGAUUCCUAAGCGCAGCGGUAGGAGCGUGCUGAUAACGUGUUGUGGUCUAUUUUAUCUGACAGAGGGACUAGGGCCGGCGGCAGAGAGAGAGAGGAGAGAGAUGUGUGUUUGUAGAAUUGUAGGGGAAUGUGUGUGUUGUUAUCCCUCCUACAUUGUGCCUUUAUUUAUAGUAGUAAAGGAAGAGAAGAUAUUCCUUCUCCUCCAAGUAAUACAAGUUGUAAUAGGAAAGGAUAACUAGAAUCAAAUCUUAUCUAGGAUUUACACAAUCAUACUUAAACUAUGAAUGUUUACAACAUAUAUUUAUAUUUAUGACUAAAUUUUUUUUCAUAUAUUUUUAGUUUUAGUUUGUACCCAUUUUUAAUUUGUAAUUCUUUUUUAACUUGUAGCAAUUUUAUUUUCACUUUUAAUUUGUACCCAUAUUUUUUAAAGUUUAUUUGUAUUUUUACCCAUAUAUAUUGUUUUUAUUUGUACUUUUUAUUUUGCUAAAUGUACCCAUUCAUGUAAAACUUUUUAAUCUUAAAAUGUACUCAUUCUUAAAUAUACCAAUUUGUUAUAUGUAAAAUUUACCCUCUUUUUUUUAUAUAUAAAAUCUAUUCAAUUUUUUUCUAAUCCAUUUUUAAACGUAUAUGGGUACAUUCUUGUUUCUUUGAUUUUAAAAUGUAUCCAUAUCAAGUUUAAUUGAAGAAAUUUACUAAUGUUAUUAAGCCUAAUAUCUUUCUUUUUUUUUUCUUUUCUUUUUUUUUUUUUUGUGAUUUAGAAGAAUGUACCCAUGUUUUGAUACAAUAAAUUUUUUGGUUAAUUUUGAUGAAUGUACCCAUGUUUAUACACACACACAAUAGUAUAUUUAUAUUUUAAUAUUUUUAAUCCCACAAAUUAUGGUUUUUUAAAUUUAAAAUCUAAUUUAUAUAAACAACUAAAAUUUCUAAUUUUUAAUUUAAAAAAAUAUAGUAACGUACAUAGAAAUAAAUUAUCACAUUAAUUUCAGGGACCUCGAUCAAAAAUUAAAAACCAACAAGAUUUUAAUCAAAGAAUAUUCAUAACUAAGGACCGCAUCCAAAGUUUCCCUAAAAAUAAUCUCCCAAAAAUGUGUGACAAAUAGGUAGGGAUUAUUAGAGGGUGUAUAAAAUGAUGGUCCUUAAACACAAACAUAGAGUUCAGUCCCGUCUAGGAUUUCGAAGAGCUAAAAGUGAUUUUUGAUUACUAAAAGGUCACUUCUAACUACAUUUGGCAUAACAAGCACUUGGAUUUUUUUUUUACAAAAAGUUUCAACUCAUUUGAAAUAAAAACACUUCUAGCAUAAGCUUUUUUUUUUUUUUUUUUUUUUUUUUUGCUUGCAUCAAAUGCAUUCAUUAUGACUUUGCAGUUGACUAGAGUCAUAUAUGAACUUUAACUUGUAUAAUCUUUUGGAUAGAAAUUGAGUUUAAAUUUAAAAUAGAAAGUUGCAACAUUUGAUGUGCAUUGAAGGAGGAGAGAUUUUUCUAAGUUACUUGAACAUGAUCAGUUCACCCGUGUCAUAAUAUACUUAAGGAGAAGGCUUUUACUUUUUCAAGUGUCCAUCUAAUUGUAUAAGACACAUGGUGUACCAAGUACACUAAAAAAUCUCUCCUACUAUGACAUCCUGUUUAUACCUAAUUUUGCAUUAUCAACAUGUGUAAUUGACGUCGUUGGAUGAAUUAAUAUUUUUCUAGACUUACUACUCAUCUCAAUUAUCGUAGUAAUUAUUGUAGAGAAAUAUAUGAGUUUGGAUGCAAGGAUAAAACUGAGAGGGCAGUGGAUUGAUACGUCGGAGGCAGCCAACAAAGGUGGUAGUCUGAUUAGACAAGGCAGGAAUUGUGGAAUCGGUUUGGCUGAUUUUUCUUAAGGAGUCCAUAUUUGUAAAGUUUUAGUUGCUGUUGUUAUUUAACACCGAUGAACAAGAUGCCACUUUUGUCCCAAGCUUCUUCGCUUACUACAACCCAAAGAGAAAUUAUCGCCAAUGACUUUGCAGUAAUAUCAAAUUUUCUAAACUUUCUCUAUCACUGCCUAUUCUUUACUACAAUCCAAACCAAACGAUCCAAUCCGGACCUUGGCAACUCCUAAUGGAAUAAUGCUCUGGAGAGAGACUGAGUUAAAUUUAAAAUAAAAAGUUACAAUUCUUCAUGUGCAUUUGAUGAGGAGAGAUUUUUCCAAGUUACCGGUACACAGGCAAUACAGCUGUGUCAUAAUAUAUGUGAAGCGAAUGUUUUUUUUUUUUUAAUACUUGUAUUAUGACACGUGGUCCGGUGACAUCCAAAAUUCUCUCAUAACAUGCCAUUCAAAUUAAAAGCCUUAUGAACAUGCAGAGAGUUCCCGUAUACUCGAAAAUUGGAAGAGUCGAAGUUUAAAUGAACCAGCAAACGCAGAGUGCAAUGCAAUCAAUAUUAAUCUGGCCGUUCCGGGUGCGUGUAUUAAUCUUUUGCUCGACUCUUGAAAUUCCUGAAUUCAUUAGUAAAUCAAAAUAAUACACUAUAUAACAAUCUGUAUGUUGCAGAUUCAACUUAUAUACAUAUAGAGUAAGGAGGGAAAUGAGAAAACUGUGGCAGGUUUGGCUGGAACUGUUGCAAUUUUAGCUCUCGCUGCGUACGGUCUAUAUGGAGUGUUUGGAUUGGGUUCCAGCCCAAGGAAGACGAUGAAGGCUCCCGAAAGAGAGUACCGAAUCUUCAGGGGUGAUUUCGAGGCUGACCCUUCUGCUUACUUCAGGGACCUGCGCAAGUAGCAAGUUGAAAAUUGGAACUGAAAGAGUACCUUAAAUAUGAAUACACAGUUGUUGGAGUUUUGGAGAGGUGGAGAGUUUUGCUUUUGUUUUGUUUAUGUUGUAUUUUCCCCUAUGAUCUAUGUUGAAUGUUAAACCUUGGAGUUGGGGUUGAUUAACAUUCUACGGUGAUACAAGGCCGCCAUACCUGCAAUCAGUGAGUGAGCGAGUGAAUUCCCGAAGCACCAACAUGAGUAAUUUAUUGCCCAAAAAAAGGCAACGAAAAACAUAUCAGAAAUGCUGCUAAUGUUGCCUUUAUUACCUUAACCUCGAAGGCAGAAGUCAUCAGAAGGUAAUACGCAACUGAAACAAGAAAAACCAAACUCAUCGCCUUCUCUUGUUGCCUUUGCCCUUUCCUAAUUGCCCAGACUUCAUAGCGUGUUCUUGCUCUUGUAGGAAAAGUCGUACUUUUCCAUAUUUCUCAGCUUUCUCUUCUUCCAUCAGCGCCUUAUCCCUUGCCUUCAUCUCGUAAAGGAAAGAAUUAUCCUUACGCAGUUCACGAAUAGCCUCUUUAGCUUCUUGCUUCAAAAGUUUCUUCAUCUUUCUUAGCUCGGCUCAUUCCCGGUCUGGAUCAUAGUCUCUGCCCUUAACAAAGCUGCACCAACAAAAUAUCAUUCAGUGGUUAAUCCAGCAAUACGUACAAGCGCUACCCAACAUAAUAACAUUAAGACAAUUGGGGACGGGUGGUAAAGAUAAAUUACUUCUCCUCAAAUUUCGGAUUGAGCAUUUUGAUAGCCACUGGCUUUUGCUUCCGCAACUGAAGUGGUUGCCGCAGAAUGUGAUGUUUAUCUGCUCGUCUUAAUCAGUUCAGCAACAUCUUUCAAUUUGUCUGUUAAUACUUGUGGUAUAUUAUCCUGUUCCGCCACUUCAAGCAACAAUACUGAAAUUGGCAAAAAGAUUUCAGGAAAAGAACUGAAUCCUUCAUAAACAAUGACAAACUCACGUAGAGUUUCAAUCACCGUCACCAGCACACUAGCCCUGAAAAUUAAAAGUUCAACUUUUAAAGACAGAAUACCAUAUGCAAACUUUACAGUAUUGAUAUACAAAAUUAGAAUUACAAAAGCAAUAAUCUGGUGGUGGCAAAAAUCAAGUUGGACCAAUUUUGAGGAUCAUUUAUCGACAGCAAAACUGAAGUCUGCAUAAACCCUAAACAACAUACGUCACGUGGGCACUUCUACAAUGUAUCAUUGAGUACUGUAACAAUUUCCUAACCUGAAAUCGUCAGAUCUGAAAAAAGAGGAGUCUUCCGGUAGGUCCAUUAUUGUGAGAAAAUUCAGAGGAUUGACCUGACCUACGGAUUCAUUUAUACAUAAGAGAGGCCUGAUUGCUUUUAAUUCCAUAAGAUGACAAAACUGCAAGAAAACAAAACGAGGAUUGUUACUUCGUCACAUAACUGUAAACUAAUUUCCUUCCAAGGACAAUGAAACCAUAAGGUGCCGCCUAAUGUAUAAAAAAUUACGUUACAAGGCAGUCAUACAUGAGAAUUUUGACUUGGCAUUGGCUUUCUGUCUUUAGCUGCCAUCAACAAUGUUGUGAGAAACAUGACUGCUUCAGGACAGAACUUCCGAGAUUGUUUGGUUAUCUACAGAAUGCAUUAAUUUUAAAAGAAAGAAAUGGGAAUUGAAACUGUUGGACAGAACAGUAAAUCGACCAAUUCAUAUAACUACAAAAUACAUACAGAGAGAAGCAUGGAGCACAAGAAAGAACCAACUGCAGUAUCACGACCAGACAUGAUAGGACUACGUGCCAGAUAUUCACACAUCAACAGUGUUGCUGGAGUCAUGACCACAUGACGAAAAUCAGAGCAUGGAAAUAUCAGGGACCAAAGCCUCAGAAGAAAUAUUGUCUUUGAAGAAGGCCAAUAACUCUGUUCUGUAAAAACAAAACAAUGACAAGAAGUCAGCACCUCAGCAAGAGGAAGCUUGUAACUAUGCUUCCGAACAAACAAAAAGCUAUAGAUUCCAUUAGGGAUUACCUGGGUUCUUAACGGUCUCACUAAAUUCCGUCCGCGCCCGUAAAAUUCUCUCACGAGCACAAAUUGCAGCGAAGUAUGGAGUCUCCAUACUCAUCUCAAUCAAUGGCUUAACCAGAAAAUUUAACAACUCCAUAUUCAACGGCUUUCUAUUUGCUAAUAUGGCAAAAUACUGCAGGAGUACACCAUAAAAUACCUGGAAAAAUGGCAGAAACACUCAUGAGUACUUAGCAAAUAUAAUGAAAACCGAAGAUGUAUAUCUUCACUGACUUUUUGCUUGGAUCAAGUCAAAUAUUAAACGACAGAACAGAAUUGUUCCACAUUUGACACAUAAUUUCAAUACUCGUUUCCAAAAACAUAGAAGCAACAAACAGUUUCAUACUUGCAUUUUCUUCCUGUUUUCUGCUGCAAGCUUGAUUGCAUUGCUUUUCCGGAUUCGAUUGAUAAUCAAGACAAUGUCAGCAUUAGAGAUUAUCCACCAAUGCACCAAACUCUUCAAAGCUUUUUGGAGCUUCGAUUAGGUACGGGAGGUCUGACUGAGUAGAAGGUCGUUUACCGUCCUGAGAUAUUUUCUUGGCAUCUAAAGAAUCGCCCUCUUUUUUACUGGCUUCAGAAGCAUCAAUUUUUUUCAUUUUUUUCAGCUUUCUUGGUUCCACCUCUUCUUCAUCAGCAUCAUCAUCCUCUUCAUGUGCUUCAGACCCAUCUUCUUUUUCUUCCUCCUCAUCCAAAUCCGUUCCAAGAUUAUCAUCAUCACUUUGUUCCCAGUCCUUCAUAAAUAGAUUCUUUUCACCCAGGUUAAUAUCUUUAUCAGAUCCUUCACUGUCAUCUUCAGGACUUUCUGAAUCCUCAGAAGCAUCGCCUUCUUCACUCUCAGAAUCGCUAGCAUCUUUUCUUUCUAGAAUCUCAUCAACCCAACCCUUUUUAAUCCGCGGCUCUUCAUCAAGAGAGAAGGAAUCGCCAAGAUCAUCUCCAGAUAUGGGUCUUGGCUUAUUAUGGUUAGAUGGUGUCUCAGCAUCUUCAUUGUCAUCGUCACUAUUGAUAUCAGUGGCAAGCAUCCUCUUCUGUCUCUCUUCCUGAAUUGUGAAACAAACUCGAAUGAGCAUUCAAUUCAUACUAAAAAAGUACAAAUGAGAUGCAACAUCCAAUUUCUCAAAGUUCUUUGUUCCACUAAAUAAAGGGCAUGUUUACUUAUCAAAAAUGGACAUCCAAGGUAUGGGUAUCAUUCCCAACAUAUCCUGCGUAUACUAACACACAAGGAAUGAAAAAAAAAUACGUCAACCAUGUAUGAAAUCAUCAAAGCGGGUAACCAGUAUCAUUCCCAUUCAUGACUUCUUCCUAUUAAACAUGCCCAAAAGGAAAUGGAAAGCCUAACAUUCAAAAAGUUGAAUAUAAUGCAUUUUCUUGUUACAUCCUCAAAACAUCAUGCCACUUGCAUCACACCAGAAUCAAAUUAAACAAAUUGUAUUAGAGAUGACACCAGUUACCAUAUAUAUAUUCAUAACAAACAAAGGAUAUAUCUUAGUGGCCAAAAGCAUAUAAACUGCACUUGCCAACAUUCUACUGCUAUUUACUAAUAAGGACUGCUAAUAUUGCAAAUAACUUCAAAAAUUUGCACUAUUCCUUGAUUAUGAGGAAGGAACUACAAUCAUGUAUAUACCAAUUUGGACAUAUAUUGGCACCAGAACAUUGAACUUGUUAGCAACAAUAAAAAUCCCCAACAUAAAGCAAAGACAAGUGCAUUGGCACAUCAAAUUAGCAUGCACGUGACAUGCGUGAAUGAAAAAACACUCAUAAAUUGUAACAAAAUAAGAUACCUCCAAAUGCUCAAGCUGCUCUCUCUCCUCUUGUGCUAUCUCUUCAGGUGUCUUUGUCCUGUCAGAGGGUUGAGCACGGCUUACCAUGACUAAGUUGCCAAAAGUUUUGAAAUAAGAACGGGAUUUUUCCUGUGAAAUUGUAAAUAUCAAGGAAUAAAAAAAACUCUUAUACUAAAGAAAAAAAAUUACAACCGUAACAAGUUAGAAACCAAUAAAGGACCUUCAUGAAAAUACCUGUUCAGAAAGCUCAUCCUUCUUCGAAUGCUCAUUUGGAAUGUUCUUGUCUGGUUCAGUAAUUUGUAACAGUUUAGAGGGCACAAUGGAUGUGAAGGAUUUGUCCAAUUCUUGCCUAAAAUCUUCAAGUUCUUCCUUAUCUUUUGCUCUUUCAGCCUAGAAUGGAUCAAAGGAAAAACGAAGGAAAUCGUAAAUAAAGAAGGAAAAAAGUUUCAAGGAACGCAUGUAAUCACUAUCACCAAACAAGUUAAUGCCAUAAAUGAUUAGAAACCCACCCUAUAAUAUUUGUCUUUUGCCAUAACCUCCUUCAUUACUUCCUUCUUGCUUUUAGGUCUCUGUAGUAUGAAAACAAUGAAACCAAUUACGAUCAUUUAUAAGGGGGGAGAGAGAGCAAGAUAAAAGAAUAGAUUAUAGUGGGAGAAACAAGAAACAGAAUUCCUUUAAAACUACAAUGAAUUUCUAAAUUCGAAGGGGAAUUAACUCUUAAAUAUCAUAUAAAGAGGCAAGCAGCAAAGCAAUCAAGAAAUGUCAAUUAAAAUCCUAAUACAAGUACAAUACCUAAAAUCUAAUAAAAACUUAUUUUACUGAUGUGCAUAUCUUAAACAAUCUUGAAUUUGAAUAUCACAGAGCAAAACUCAGAUAGCAGAAGGGCUCACAUUUUCCUCUCCUUCCAUUAGAUCACCAUCCAUUUGAUCUGUCAUGGCUAACCUUUCUACAGAGAACAAAGUAGGCACCAUUACUGCUAUUAGAAUAGUCCUAACAAUCAAUCACCAAAUCAUAGGGAGAUGCACGUGUUUCCAACAACAACAUAAAAUCACUAAAAAAAAAUUUGGUUAGCAUCAAAGAUCUGCUAUCGUUUUGUGGGUUUUUACUUUCCUUUACUCCAUAUGAGCAAGAGUUCCUUCGGAUACUUGUGAUAAAGCCUAGUCCAGAAAAUGAUAAUAAGUAGAAGCCAGAAUUGUCCAACUCAACCAUCAAGUCAACCACAUGUACUUCUAUCCAAACAUUACAGUUAAAAACCAUGGACAUGUCAAUAACCAAAUUUCAAAUGGUAAAUGGUAACUGAACCCUGAAUGAUGCAUUCAAAAUCUAAGUUGCACAAAUGAAAACUGAAACCCUACUGGAUAAACAAACAACACAGAUAGAAGUAUCUCUACACAUACUCUUAGUUUGAGUGGUUUCUGUGCCAUCGUCGUCAUCAUCAGGCAGCACAUCAUCCUCAAAAUCAUCCCUUUCAGAUAAUGCACCAAGACUUUGAAAUUCAAAGUCGUCUUCUUCUCCAUCUGAUAAGUUAUAUUUGCCUUUCUUGUUCGUCUUUAACUAUUCAUGAAAAUGAAGAGAAAAAAAGAAAGAAAAUGAGAAACAAAACACAUUAAUAAUAAAUUACCCAUGAUUCCAUAAAUUAAACUGAAUAUAGUUCUGAAAUAGAGUUUAUAGUUGCGUGGAAAGCUUGCCAAAAAGAAAGGAAAUUUAGAUAUCAUGUGUUAGAUAUGUACAUUUUAAUGAGAUACGCUUUGUGCGACAAACUACAACUGUUUACUAUUUCCCUAUAUUUUCCUGGUCACCAAACAGAAAACAAAGCUGACCCCAAACAAUGGGUAGAAAUUCAGAAAAUGAGCUUACUUGAUGCUCACGCUGCGCACGCUGAAUGGCCUUAUCGAACUCAUUGAGCUCGUCAUUAUGCUCCCCAAUUCGCUUAUCGACAAAGACCGAAGCUUUAUUGCUCUGCUCGUACUCCCUCAGCAGCGUGUUCUUCCUCUGAGCCACCAAAGCAUAAAUAAAGCAAUAAAAUUACAAAAUUUGAAGUAAAUUCAGAAAGGGAGUGACGCAAUUCAGUACCUUUUCAAUGGCGCGAGAGCGGGAGAGGCCAACUCGGCGCUCUUCGCCUUUGCGCUUUUUGCCGAGAAUGUCGAAUUUCCUCCGGGACCAAAUGGUCUCGAACGGGUUGGGUUUUAGGGGGGCCUGGUGCUUCAUGGCGACAGCGUUCGGGCCUAGCUUAUUCUUUUUCUUCUUCGCCGUCGCCGCCGCCUCAUGGUUGUGAUUGGCGUCAGCUCUGCCGAGUUUUGGUGAUUUGGUCUCGAAGGGGUUGGGUUUUGAAACGGACUUCUGGUGGUGCUUCUCCUUGUGUUUCGCCAUUGGAGAAUGGUGUGAGCAGGGAGGUGAUGCCGGUGGUUUAGGGUUUAAGCAUUCGAGGAAGAAGGCGGGGCUUAGGGUUUUGCGGGUGUUAGGUACUCAAGCCCAAGAGCCCAACCUAAAAUACUAGUCCAUAGGUGGGAGGACCCUUGCACUUAAGUACUACUACACAAUUUCUUAUGUAGCCGAUGUUGGAUCAUAACAUUACACCAUCUUUUGGAAGACCCGACGUCCACGGCGGCACCGGUCGCCAAGUCCCUUAGGAACCCAUACUCCCAAGGAGGCAUCACUCACCAAGUCUCGCAAUGUCGGGAACCUAGGCUCUGAUAUCAAUGUUAGGUACUCAAGCUUAAGAGCUCAACCCAAAAGACUAGUUCAAGUCGUGAGUAAGGGAAUCUGUCCCAAAGAUGCUUUGGUGUGAGGUUAGCUAGGCCUUUGCGAAUAAGGACCCUCUUUGGAUCCUCUUUGUGAGGAUCCCGGAGAUUUUCUAAUCACAUCUGUUCAUCGUACAUCAUACGGUCAGUUUUCAUCAGGUAUUGUUUAUAUUUAAUUUUAAAUAAAAAAUUUACAAUAAUUUCUGAUCGUAUGAUAUACGAUGAAUGAAUUUAAUUUGAGAAUUUCCGGAAUUAUCCGGAGAGAAUUCUCAUUCGGCCUUUUACAUAUAUUGGAGAUAAGACACUCGAUAAAAGGAGUCAAGGGAGGGACCUCAUUGUCUCUCCAAAGAAAUAAUAGACCAUUGACCUGAAUAAUUACAGUCACACUUUUUCCAUUCACAACCACCCUUUUAUUUACAAACAGAUGCAGAAACAAUCAUAAUUUUCAUGCAGUGAGAUUAGAUUAUCAUAUAUAUAUGCGCUUAUCUUGGACUCUUAAUUACUUAAUUAAGCCAAUAGCCAGAAAUCUUUCUGGCGCUUUGUAGUAAUCAAAUACCCUCCAACCUUCCUGCUUUUCCUUCUCACAGCAACUGCCAUGCAACUGGCAUUUUGUAUACAGUACUCCACCACACCGCCGCGACCGCCGCUGAUCCGGUUGCCGGUCCACAUCACCAGCAGACGCCAUGUAGUAUACCUCUUUUUCUGCCCCAGUACAAGCAAUCCCACUUCUUGUUUCUUUGCCUCUUCCAGUAUUUUUGGACCUUUCUCCUUAUUCCCUUCCACCACCACUGCAACCUCAAUUUCUACCUCUGGCCUCUUCAACCGACACAUGUUCCUCAAAGAGUGGACAAGUGCAUAAGCCCUUGGAGAUGGAGCUAUCUCCUUGCUGGUCUCCUCACCUGCAGCUGUAACAAAAUAAGUCAUAAAUCAUAAUUCUUUCAACAUAAGUGUUUCUUACAAAAUAAAUCUCAAAUCGGCCCUAAGUGAUAUAUAUUCAGUUUUUCUAUAACUUCACUCAAGAAAGUUAAAGUAGAGUUACACAAAAGAGAACUGCUAUUGGCUCUUUAAAAUAGUCACGCACUCCUUAUAAUAAAAAUAGAUGUAUAAAUAAACAAACGAAAGACAAGUACAAAAUGACUAUUGUAGAGUAAAAAACAUUAAUUCCCUAUGAAAACCGACAAAAUAAAAUGUACAACCUUGCUUUGAGUUUGCAGAUUUGGUGACAUGAAGCAGCACAAUUUUAUCCUGGCUCUGCACAGUGUGAGAGAGAGCCCAUUGGAUAGCUCCUUUGGCUUCAAGGCUGGAAUCAACCACAAUCAUGAUUUUCCUAGCAAUUACCAACGCAGCUUUUUUAGGCUUUUCAUCACCACCACCACCAGCUGCUUUCACUUUCUCUUCUUCUCCAACAUUCCCAGAAUCCUCAAAUUUUCCAUCACUACUUUUUGUAGCGACAUCUGAAGCAUCUGGCUUGAACUGUAUCGGUGGCGACCGAACCCUAACGGGUGGCCUAAUCCUGUUUAGACAGAAAUUAGGCAAUUUAGUGCCUAUUUUCCCCAUUUCCUGAUAUGAAACUCGAUAGACUUUGAGAUGCCUGUAAUUCUUAUAUAUAAAGUGGAGUACUGAAGCUGAACAAAUUUCUAGAUGUGGUGUGGGGGCCAUGGUGUUAAGUUAUUUCUGCUUUGCAUUUGCUUUAUUCGUUUUCUUUAUUUUUGCCGUCUAAUCAUGUUUGUUUCUUUUAUUUUUGCCCUUUGUGCGGUGCUAUUUCUGGUAACAAGCUUCUCAUGAAGCUGUAGGGCCAUGCAAGGCUAUCUGACAUGUUAGGAUAAUCAAUUUAUUUUUCAAAGCAAAAACAAAAAAUACUUGACAAAAAUAACAAUAUAUUGAUCACAUAUCCAAAUAAACAUCUAUACAUUAACUCAACUAUCGACGGUUUGGUGCCAAAUAACAUAUCAUUAUGAAUUACGUAUUUAUUAAAUAUAUAUAGAUGAUUAAACGAUGCAAUUUUCUGUAGUUAGCCAAAAAUUGUAAAACCUGUUAUUCAUCAUGAUUCAUACAUAUGUGUAUCUAUUGGAAUAGUUUAAAUGGAGUUCCCUAGAGAAUGAACUCUGGGAAUGUAGAGUAUAAAUUAGUAUGAUAAAAUAUGAUAAAGUCAUCAAAAUGAAGAAAGAUGUUAAAUAAAAAAAUAUUUAUUCCUCUUCUCCCAUUUUUUUUUCUUACUAUAUAGCACAUUUCAAUUUUACGAUUUUUUUAACAAAAAAGAAACGUCAAUCCGCAUUUGAGUUUGGAUUGGAAUUUUUAUUUUUGAUUCAAUUCAAUUGAACAGUCAACCAACCUAUUUUUUUUUCUGGUUAUAAGACCAAUAGCUCUAGCGGUUGACUCGCUUCUUUCAAAUUGUUUCUCAUUAUUAAGAAAAGGUAACGGAGAUAAAAUACAAGCUUGUUUUAUAGCAAUAGUAAUUAAUCGUUGUUGUUUUAAGGUCAAUCUAUUCACCCAUCAAGAUAAUAUUUUUCCUUGUUCGCUAAUAAAUCGACUAAUUAAACUCUCUCUCUCUCUCUCUCUCUCUCUCUCUCUCUCUCUCUCUCUCUCUCUCUCUCUCUCUCUCUCUCUCUCUCUCUCUCUCUCUCUCUCUCUCUCUCUACACACACACACAGGGAAAAACCAAAAAAGGUGAAGUUUCCAUAAUAUCCAAAUUGCCUUUUUCCAUUAAGAAUUUUAAAAAAAAAUCACAAAAAAAAAACUUCGGGUGGUCAAAAUAUAUUUAAUAACUAUAAUAAGUAAAAUAAAAAAUAGAUAAAUAAUAUAUAUAUAUAUAUAUAUUAUCAAAUAGAAAAACAAAUGAUAAAAUAAAAAGAGUCAAUUAUCACACAAGUACGUGUAGGCUUGGCAAAUGAGUCGUGUUUGUCGUGUUCGUGUCAUUUUCGUGUCAUACUUGUUGUCUUAACGGAUCGUGUCACGUCAAACCUGAUAUCUUAACGGUUCUUAACAGGUGACUCGCAACCUAAUUCGUUAAAGAGUCAUGAAGUUUUGUGUCGGGUUAAUGGGUCAGGCAAAAAAACUUCAAGCCAAAUGUCUUGGCAAAGGAUAUCUUAAUGGGUCUCUUAACGGAUGACUAGAUAACGACCCAAUUUGUUAUUGGGUUCCUAAUGGAUGACUCAAUAACGACCCGAAUCGUUAGCAUGUGGACCCCAGGGUCGGCCCUGAGAAUUUGGGGGCCCUAGGCGAGCCUUCGAAGUGGGGCCCUAAAAUUAUUUGAUCUUCGGUCCUUUGUAUAUUGAUUUGUAUAAAAAAAAUUUGCUAAUUAGAUAAAAAAGUUCUAUUUUCACAUCAAAUAUCAUUAAAAAUUAAUAUCAAAAGAAGAUAAAUAUACAAACAUUACACGAUUCACGUUUUUAGACACAAAUGUACUAAAUGUUUGCAUUCAAGAGUUUAAAAUUGAGAGUGAAGAAUAAUAAAACCUGAUGAUCACAAGAUAAAUAACAAUAAAACUUGAUUGACGAGUAUAAUAAAUUCAACGCCAAUUGUUUUUCUUGUGUUUUUUUCUUCUAAAAUCAACAUCACACUAACGAAUUGAAUAUUAAAGUAAUCCAUUGAAUAAAAAGUUAUUGAAAAGAAAAAUAUAAAAUUCAAAGUUUUGAUUACCUUAAAGUACAAUCUUUAAGACCAUAUGAUAGUUGGUUUAAACAUUCAAUAGAAAUGGAGAGAAUAGGAAGUUGGUUUAAACAUUCGAUAGAAAUUGAGAGAAUGAGAAGUUGAAAGAAAAAAGAUUGCAAAGAAACUUGAGUUUUAUAACUUUAUAUGCAUUUGGACAUAUGGAUUGGGAGUUUGACAGAUGGAUUAGCAGUAAAUUUGAAAAACAAGAAAAAUUAAGAAAAAACUAGUGACUGAAAGGCAGCUUCGUGUUUCAAACUCAACACCCCAAAGAAAAAUGAAGCCAACAUUUCCACUGCACUAACAAAUGAAUUAUGAUAUUUCUUACUUUUUUUUUUGUAUUUAUAUGUUAAGUGCAGGAUAUAAAAUUUUUUUGGGGGCCCUUCCAAAGUGGGGGCCCUAGGCGAGCGCCUACUUAGGCUACCCUUAGGGCCGGCCCUGGUGGACCCAAAACUUGUUAUUUUCAUGUUAUGUUAACGGAUCGUGUAAGAUAUUGCAAGAUCUACAUAUGCGUGUGGCAAGAGGCUAGCGAGUCAUAUAGUUCUAUACAUGCAUGUGAUUUAUAGUCGGCAGCAAAUAAAUAUGUGCCAACCACAAAGAAAUCCGACUGUAAUUUGUGAAUUUUUUAUGCUAAAGUAUGAAUUGCAGUUGAGCUUUUAUGCUCAAUGAUUUUUAAACCUUUUUUAAUGAGUGAAAAAUUAUUGGAUUUGUGUGUACAUUUUGAUUUCUCUGACAGUGAUAUGAUGAUUUUGGUUGCGUUUGAGCCACGCUAGUUGUUUAUGCAAAUACAGAAUGCGUAACUAAAAGCCCUUCUACAUAUAUAAAGUUAUAAUUUGCUUAUCUGGAUUUUCAAUCUUGCAUUAAUAAUUGCUCUAAGCGGAUGCCAGCACAAUUAGGAAUACAAAAAUGAAAAUUAAACCCCACAAAAGUUAUAUAAAUAAAAUCUCACCUAAUACAGUAGAUUCAUUGAACUGCAAUUCAAGUAAAUCGACUGGUAGGAUGAGAUUAUUAGACGGAAAAUACUUUCAUCCAUUCCAUGCAUGGUGUGCUGCGUGCACCACUUUCUCCAUUAAUUUGUUAUUAGCAUAUCGCAUAAACUUUAUAAUUAGAAUUGUACAAAUUUUUCUUGUGAACGGUUUAUUUUGUUAAAUAUUCUGUAACGAUAUUUAUCUACAAAAAAUCAAUUAAAUCAAUAUUAAUCAGAAGUAUUAGUUAUAGCGAGAUCAUACCCGGUGCAUAAUGAAUGUCGAAUUUAGACAUGAUGAAACAAGUUAAAGGUUGUGCUUGGAAACAAAUUUUGUUUGUUAAAGUGCUAAAUCUUUCGUUAAUUAGGAUGCUAAACUACUUUACACAAGAAAAGGAUGUGCCAACCUCCAUUUAGACUUCCAAUCUUAAAAAAGAGAAACAGUAGAUUUGUGAAAGAAAAAGGGAUUUCUGCAUGUCUUAUCAAAAGAAAGUGGCCAAACAUGAUAUAUAAUGUUGUUGCAGCUAAAGGCAAUUAAGCGAAUAAGGUUGACUUGUUACUUCAUUAAUUGAUUAAAUUUCAGUGAGGAUAACCAAUUACGUAGUAUUAUAAGUUCACUCAUAUCAUACUACAUAACAUUUUGUGAUAACAAUGUCACAAUUACACAAAAGUUACCCGUCAUUAGAGAUUCGGACACUGGAGAAGAUGUCAUCCUACCCUGUGCAUUUGGGCUUUCCUCAGUUGGUGGCAAGUAGCGCAUAUAUUAACAAGCUUCAAAGUAGGGUCGCAAAAGUAGUUGGUGUUCAGCCCCAACUAAAACCAGAAUAAAAGGGAAGGAAACUUGCAAAAGAAGAUUCGGUGUCAGCAAAGAUAGCCCACAAGAAUUAGGCCCCAUGAAAUAUUACCACUUUCGUAUUUUAGUAGGAUUAUUUUCCUUUCAAAUUCUUUUUCUGUAAUUUUCUUCUAUUUGAACGAUUAAGAUUAAAUCACAUUAACAUUUUAAGUUUACUCUUUAUAGAAGAAAAAAAGGAAAAGAAGAAAGUGAGAGAGGAAAGAAACGAAGAGAAGGGCAAAAGAUUUAGAAGAGAGUUUAGUAAAAAAAAGAAAAAAAAAAGAUUUAGAAGAUAGAGAAUUCUCUGUUACUUUUUUUUUGGGUCAAAGUUUUGGAUCUUGACCUUUUAAGUUGUAAUUAAGCAGAAAACCCUACAUUGUUCCAAAAAAAAAAAAAACUACAGAACUAGAGUUAGAAUUAUAAACAAACACGACUUUAGAAAUUCAGUUGACACAAAAUUCAGUGCCUUCAUAUCAUCUCUUAAAACCCUUUUUGCCGCUUCUUUGUCUUGUUUUCUGUUUGGUUAUCUGGAUUUUUUUAUUGCGGAGUGUGAGAGUUGAGGAUGCACUUUCCCCAUUGAAGUAUGCUGCCUCUCUACUGCCUUAUAGUCUUUAAACUCUUCAUCAAUACUAUAUUUCUUUUAAAUAAACUAUGUGAUUUUUUAAGAGCAAUUUAAUCUUUCAAUGGCGUUGCUUUUCUACUUUUAUGCCUCUUAAAUAUUUAAUGUUUGAUUUUGUAAUUUUUGUUGCAAUAAUCAUCACUCAUCAUCUUGACUUUUUUUUUUUUUUUUUUUUUGGUUGUUAUGGUCAAUGCAGGCUGGGGACUGCUUAAGCUGAGCAAAAAAACUGAAGGUGUGAGACAUGGGUUCGGCUUGUUCUUGCUUCCGGUCAAAAGAUCCUAUAGAAGAUAAUAACGGUGACAAUGCAAGUAAUGGUGAUGUUGGCUUCACUCAAAACUUGUACAACAAAGUAUGUUUUUCAGAUUUUGAUUAUCACUUUCCUAAGUUCGUUAAUUCUGUUUGCAACUUUUAGUUUUAUGACAUAAUCAAAAGUUCAAAGGUCAAUAGGUCUUAAGUUCAUCUGACACCUUCAUAUUUUUGUGUUUCUAUGGGUCUUAAGUUCAUCUGACACCUUCAUCUGACGCUCCGAUUAGAAGAUGCGACUAUGGGACAGAGGUUCAGGGCCGAAGGGGCAGAGGAAGAUCUAGGAAAACUUUGGAAGAGACCCUAAGAAAAGACUUAGAGUACUUGGAUCUAACGGAGGACAUGACACAGGACAGAACACAAUGGCGUUCUAAGAUUCAUAUAGCCGAUCCCACUCAGUGACUUGGAUUUUCCAAGUCUCCAACCGAGAAGUUUUCCUCACUCGGGAAAUUAAGGGAACACUAUCUCAACCUAUAUGCUCCACUCACAAAGCUUCAACAUACAAGCUUCAACAAAAGAAAAUUCAAAGAACUUAGCGAAGAAGGCUUUGGUGUAUUUAACACAAUACGUUGAAAUGAAGGAAAGCUUAUUUAUUGAUAUCCCCGAUAAGUUACAAAUAUGUACAUAUACUUGAGUCAAAAUAAACAAACAAGAUGGAGCCUUCACAAAGGUUGCUUAGGAGAAGUCUCAGCAGUCGGUAGAGCACCAGAAAGAGAAGGCACCGGAGGGGGAUCAUUCGGAGCCUCAGUAUUGGACAAAACCCUAGAAGGAGGAGGCAUCAGAGAUUGAUCAUUUGGAGCUUCAUUACGCGGUACAAGCCCCCAGAAGACGAAGGCAAUAAAUGCCUUUGGAACAAACCCACAAAUCUCUGAUGAUCAAGUAAAACCUGACCAUCAGAUUCCUUCAUCUGGUCAAGCUUCCUCUUCAUGUUUGUAGCAUAGUCAUGUGCGAGCCGGUGCAACUGUUUAUUCUCAUGCUUGAGCCCUCUAAUCUCCUGUUUGAGACUCAUCACUUCAGCCGCCAAUGAUUCAACUUGGCGGGUUCGAGCAAAUAGGCGUUGGGCCAUAUUAGACACAGAACCUGCACACUGAACAUUGAGAGCCAGAGAAUCCUUAACAGACAACUCAUCAGACCGUUUGGAAAGUAGUCUGUUAUCUUUGGGAGUGAGAAGGUUCCUGGCCACUACCGCAGCGGUCAUAUCAUUCUUCAUCACGGAAUCCCCAACGGUAAGAGGACCAGUAGGGGAGACGAAGGAUGGGCGCCAUAUGUUGUUUGGAAAAGGCGGGGCUGCCUCUUCAACAAGGUUCAAGUCAAAACGACGGUCGGAGGGGCCAGACAUUUUCAAAGGUGUUGAAGAGAGAAGAGGUCGGACAAAUCAAGAUCUUAGAAGUGCAAGAAUGGAGCUUCUACUGGGGGAUAUUCAAGUGUGUUUUGGAACUUAAUGUCAGCCCCUAUAAAAAUCUGCACUCGACGAAGCUUCAGAAAUCGAAGAGGCGCCUGCUCAUAAAUCGAAGAGGCGUUUGCUUUCUCAAAAGCUGGGCUGCUCAGAGAUUCUCAAAAGCUGGGCUGCUCAAAGACCACAAAGGCCGAUCUCAGAAAUCGAAGAGGCUUGCUUUCUCAAAAGCUGGGCUGCUCAGAGACCACGAGGGCCGAUUUCAGAAAUCGAAGAGGCACCUACUUUUCCAGCCUUGUUAGCACCUGUCACACGCACACUCAGCUUUGCGGAAAUUAUGGGCAUUCUGUCGAAGAUUUCUGGCGAAGUAGAAAGCACAUGAAUCGUACUGUUCAAUCACCCACUUCCCACACGCAACAGUAGCUCAUGGGUACCACAGAUAACUUUUCCAAAGUUCUCUGACAAAGUUGAGACACGUGAAGCUUGCAGCUCCCACUACACCGCUCUGACCAAGAAGGGUAAAAGAAUUGCAAAGAAACAACACUAACAAAGUUUAGACACAUAAAUUUUGAAGGUCUAGCUACCAUAUUAUUACCCACAAGGGUAAAGGAACAGUACCACUGCUGGAUAAUUGGAAAGUCUCAGUGUGUCAACCUCUGUGCUUCGUGGCAAGGUAGACUAGCAAACAUGCCCAACCUUUACUCACAUUCGAGAAAACACUCCUAACAAGAUUGCUUGCUCCAAAAUCGAAGAGGCACCGCCCUCCGAAUCUCGAGAGCCAGACUCCCAACAUGAUUACUUUCUCAAAAAUCGAAGAGAAGGUAAAGGAACAGUACCACUGCUGGAUAAUUGGAAAGUCCCUGUGUGUCAACCUUUGUGCUUCAUGGCAAGGUAGACUAGCAAACAUGCCCAACCUUUACUCUCAUUCGAGAAAACACUCCCAACAAGAUUGCUUGCUCCAAAAUCGAAGAGGCACCGUCCUCCGAAUCUCGAGAGCCAGACUCCCAACAUGAUUACUUUCUCAAAAAUCGAAGAGACACCGCUCUCCGAAUCUCUAGAGCCAGACCCCCAGCAGGAUUGUUUUCUCAAAAAUCGAAGAGGCAUCGUUCUCCGAAUCUCGAGAGCCAGACCCCCGACAGGUCUGUAAUCUUCACACGCAACAUCAGCUUUCCAGAUACCACAAACCACUUUUUCAAAGUGCUCUGACAGAGUUAAAACAUGUGAAGCUGGCAGCUCCCACUACCGUGCUAUAACCAAGCAGGGUAAAGGAAUAGCAUUAUUACUUGAUGUUAGGGAGACUCCUAUAUAUGUCGACUUCCAUCCCUAACGGACAGGCAGACCUGCAAAAAUGCUCAACCCUUUCUCUUAUCUGAGAGGGCACUCCCAACAAAGCCUUUCGAAAUAUUCAGCUUUUUUUCCCCCCGAUAAUACCUCUGUAAACAAGCUAUACUAGAGCAAGAAUAUCUCAUAUCAUCAGGGUUAAAAGCAAGAGUAUCCCAUAUCAUGCUUUUUCCCUGUCUUUUCCUUUGGCCUUGUUCUUACCUGCAAGACAAGGAGAAAGAGAGCAAUCAGUCAGCACUUGGAAUCAAGCUUUCAGCCAGGAACUGACUGCCUGGAACCCCUUACCUGAUUACUUACCUGGCAUUGCUCUCGAGUACUCAUCUUCAACAUCUUAUGCUUCCAGGGAAGAUACCACAUUUGCCUGAGGAACAGAUAGGGCAAGUGAGAAGGAUACAAGGAAGCAUGUGGAGACAAGCGUAACAGCACACGUGCCGAUACAUCCACUACUCUAUCAAAAGCAAAAGUAUCUCAUAUCAGCAGGGUCGAACGUACUCUAGAUUUGAUGGACUUGUUUUGACCCUCAAAUUCUUCAGUCGGCCUUAUACUCUGGAGGAAACCAGAAAACCCUCCAGCCCAGUUCAAGAAUAAGCCUGUGGAAAGUUACUUCUUCAAAAGCAAAAGUAUCCCAUAUCAUCUCUCCUCAUUUUUUCUUCUCUUUAUCCUUCAUGCUGCCUGCAAGAUAGGGAGAAUGUGAACAAUCAGCCGGAGCUCUGAUUGCUUACCUUGUCUGUCACCUCUUUCAGCAGAUCCCCCAGCUCGGCGACUUGGGGGACUCCUACUACAUGGUUUGUAUCUCGCUUGACCAAGCAUGAAACUACAAGUAAGCUUCAAGUGAAAUUGAUACAUUACCUUGUGCAUCUCCACCAGUUACAGAUACCACCACUGGAUGGAGGAAGAGUACUUCCAGAGAAGAUGCCACAUCUACCUAUGAGACAGAUAAGGCAAGUCAAGACGAUACCACACUCCGGUACUUAGAAGUUUCGUGGCUACGAGAUCAUUCUCCCACAAUUUUUCCUAAUGUCAUUUGUAUUAAAUCAUUCACUUGUACUCACUAAAGGAGAGCUUGAACCUAUGUACUUGUGUAAACCCUUCACAAUUAAUGAGAACUCCUCUAUUCCGUGGACGUAGCCAAUCUGGGUGAACCACGUACAUCUUGUGUUUGCUUUCCUAUCUCUAUCAAUUUAUAUACUUAUCCACAUUAAUGACCGGAGCAAUCUAGCGAAGAUCACAAAAAGUGACCGUUUUCGCUACCUAGGAUCUAUCUUGCAAGAGAACGGAGAAUUAGAUGGAGAUCUCAACCAUAUAAUACAAGCUGGAUGGAUGAAGUGUAAGAAUGCAUCCGGCGUGUUGUGUGACCGUCGUAGGCCACUGAAGCUCAAGGGAAAAUUUUAUAGGACGGCAAUAAGGCCAGCGAUGUUGUAUGGCACAGAAUGUUGGGCGGUGAAGCAUCAACGUACACAAAAUGGGUGUAGCGGAGAUGAGGAUGCUUCGUGAGAUGUAUGGGCACACGAGAAAGGAUAAGAUUGGGAAUUAGGAUAUCCGAGGUAAAGUAGGAGUAGCCAAAAUUGAAGAAAAUAUGAGAGAAAAUCGGUCCCGGUGGUUUGGACAUGUGCAAAGAAGGCCUACUGACGCUCCGGUUCGAAAAUGUGACUACGGGACAGAGGUUCGGGGCCGAAGGAGUAGAGGAAGACCUAGGAAAACUUUGGAAGAGACCCUAAGAAAAGACUUGAGUACUUGGAUCUAACGGAGGACAUGACACAAAUGAGCGCAAUGGCGUUUUAGGAUUCAUAUAGCCGACCCCACUUAGUGGGAAAAGGCUUUGUUGUUGUUGUUGUUGUAUGGGUCUUAUCUCAAUUGAAUCGAUUAAAUUGAAAUCUGAUGAUCAUCUAAUAUCGAUUUUUAGAUUGAGAAAUAUAGAGCAUCAAUCAGCAGUUGGAGAAGAGAUAAUUUAGUCAAUUCAUCUAAUGAGGUUGCCGACGCAUCUUCAAUACCCGAUGGGGCACCUCAGGUUGCACAAUCUGGCACUACUACUGUUGAAGUCCAAGUUGUCCAAGCCCCUCCACAAGAGGGACUAAAUGAAGGGUUAAUAUAUCAGAACCCUAAUGAGUCCUUAAAGAAGUCAUCAUCUGGAAAAGAAGCCACAGGGCUUAUGUAUAUCUAUGAUUUAUUAGAACGUGGCGAAGAAUGUCCCACAUGCCUGGAAGGUGAUCAUUAAUUUAGCGAAAUCUGUUUCCUUAUGCCAGAAUAUUAGUGGAUUAUAUGUGUUAUUCUUUUAUAAACUGACUUAAGGGUAUAAUUAUCUUAUGCUGAGGGUUCCUCUAUUUCUUGUAAUGACUGCAGAAUACACGACUGAAAAUCCAAAGAUAACAGUGGAGUGUUCUCACCAUUACCACCUUUCUUGUAUUUUUGAAUGGAUGGAGAGAAGCCCAACCUGCCCAAUUUGCAGCCGGGUAAUAUUCAAUUUCUUCCUUGCCUUUUUUAACUUGUAUAUAUGGAUAUAGCAAAUAUCACGUUUUCCGACAGGCACUUUCUGAAUUAGGGUUACUCUUAAGUUAACGUGCAAAUUGAGUUUAGACGCCAAUUUGUUUUCUAGCUGAUGAGGCAAAACUUGCAUAACAUUGGCACCGGCUGUACACAACUUUCUGCGAAUAUCACAUGACUAAAGGCAAGGCUAGUACACAGCUGGUGUAAUGGUAGAAUCUCUUCGCCAAUGACUGAUGACGUGAAGUUCAUCCUGAAAAUUAUUGGCCAAAACAUACCUGAAAUAUUUUGGAUUUUGUAACUUCUCCCAACUAAAUUUAAUCAAAUCGGCAAACUUUGUGUUGCAUCUGAUCGUUGUUAAUUAAAUUGAUUUUCUAGGUGAUGUUAUUUAGUGAAACGUCUUGAGACUCAACGCAAAUUGUUUGGCAUGCAAUGGUCAGUGAAGAGAUACCAAAACCAACAGAAAAGUAGAGCUUUUUCUGGUCACCAAAUCGAAAAGUCUGGUCACCGUUGUGUGCUAGAUUCUUGUAUUUUGAUAUGCUCCUUGAACUAAUUUCAAUUAUUCGAUUCCUUUUUUGCAAUUCUUUCUUCUUGAAAGAGUGAGGCUGCAAGUAUUCUAUAACUUUCCGGCUUAAAGUAUUUGUCCAAUUGAGCAGUGACUUAUUCUAUCAGUUACUGUGUCUCAUUUAUCUCUUUUUAAUUUUUUUCGUUUCUUGUGCAUAGUUACAUUGUAUCUUAAUCAAGUACUAAGCUGUAAACCCUAAUUGAAAAAGAAAAUUCCUCCAAAGUCACCUCAGUUACAGAUACCAAAAUCCUAAUUAAUUUAAUAAUUAAACUAACAUUAUAGAGAAAAAAUACAGUCAAAUAGAGUUUAGCUCACACAUUUACUCAAUAUUUUUCAGGUCUUUGGAAAUAUAAAUAGAAUUACAGGACAGUUUCAAAGUUCAGUUCCUCAUUGCCAUCGUCUGAUAAUCUUCCUUUCAAUAACUUACAUAUGGUACCAAAAUAUGGAUUGCUACAAAAGCAGUACGUUUAGGGUUGGUCCAAAAUUUACCAAGAAACCAGAAAUUUAAUACAGAGAUAGCACACAUAUAUAUAGUUUUGUUUUCUUUCCUUUUAAUUCUUCCUUUCUUUUUCUACCCAUUGAUGAUCAAGCAGCAAAGCAUCCGAGAUGGCAUGAAUAAAAUGGUUCCAGUGUAAGGUCCAGCUGGUUCCUCCUCACUUGAAGGAAUUCAUCUUGCUGCGUCCCCCUGCAUAUCAUAUCGUAUCAGACUAUGCAUUGCAUAUAAACAAGUUAAUUAGGGUCGUUGAUACCAAGUUAAUUAACUUCUUAACUGAUUCAUCACUAUUGUCAGUGUGGUCAAACAGAUUUUCUAUAAAACAAUAUUAACAUGCUAAGAGCAUCUCCUGAUGUGUAGCACAUAUACAUCUCUUAUUGGCCAGAAUGCUCUCCAAUUAUAAUUUUGAGGGGAUUUAAGUACGCAUCUUGACCUGAAGAUGAAAGUUUCAUCUGCUUUUUUUUUUUUUUUUUUUCUGUAAGUGAAAUUUACAUCUUCACAUUGGAGCAACAACUACAUUUAGAUUUCCCAAAAUUAUAUGAAAUGUAAAUGUGAUUUUUACAUCUCAAAGCUGCAUCUUUUCCAUUGAAAUUGCUCUAAUAAAACAAGACAAAUUAACAGGCCCUAGAAUUAAGAAUUUUAUGUGGGAAGAAUAAUCACCCAAUGUUAAGACAUGGAAGGGGCUGUGGAAGCAGGUCAAGGUCAUGGUUCUGCUGCUCCCAGUUUUGAACCUGGGGCUGAGCUGCAGCCUUCUCCUUCUCCUUUAUCUAUUUCCAAAAUUUAUAUGAAAAACAGAAAACCGAAAAGAAGAAUCAUCACAUAAAAAACCAUCCAAGUUAAAGGCAAAUAUAAACCCUAGACUACAACCCUAUUUGACUAUGUGAUAAAAUAGUAUAAGCAUAUUAUUACCUUCUUUGCUAGCAAGUUAUUUUGCUCCUGUAUCGCCUUUUCCUGCACGACACAAAAAGAUAAAAAACAAUUAAAUGAGCCACGUAAAAUAUAUGCCACACAGUACCAUUUCUCUUUCUCUCGCAGAGUCUAAACAUAUUCACAACGGAAAAAACAUGCUAUAGGUGCCCUAACCUUUCUCUGAAGCUCAGUGAUGGAUUCAUGCAUGAGUUGAUUCUGAAAGAAGUUAAGAGAAUACUUUAGCGUCAUCAAACUCAAAAUUAGUCUAGUGUAAGUACAAAUGCACCAUUAAGAGAAAGCGAUCCUCGUUAGCAAGCAUAAUAAGUAUUUACUUUUCUUAAUCGAAUUUGUUUAUGAGCGGUGUCAAGCUGUUGCUCCAAACUUUGGAUAUCCUUGAGAGUCAAGGAAUCCAGGUCUUCUCCCAAAUAGUGCCUAUGGUUUCUUUGCAAAACCUCAACUUUAGCCUUUAGUCUGGAAUAUUCAAAGGUCCAGUUACCCUGCGCAUCAAGAAAUUGUAUGAGUAAUUAUAACUCAAUCAAAAUAAGGCGUACCAGUUAAUUAGUAUUAGGAAUUUGAUGGCAUGGCAAACCUGCGACUCAAAAUCUGGUUCAACUAGCUGUCUUUCUGCGUAAGAGUAUCUUUCAUAGCGUUCAAGGAUUUGCUCCAUACUGUAAUAUCCAUGAUCAGCAAUAUCAAGCAUAUGAAAAAGUAGCAAUUAGCAUCUAGCUAGAAGAAUCAACUUGCUCCUCUAUCAAAAACCCCAUCUUAAUGAAUUGAUUGAUUAAUAAUAUGAUAGAAGUUCUGAAACACUUCCAAGGGAGUAUAUUCAUAUGAUUACGAAAAUUAGUCAUGAUCAUCAUCGCAUGAAAUAAUGUUGAUUAUUAUAUAAUGAAUGCCAGGCAAUACAAACUUUGGAGUUGCAACAGUCUUGCACUUUUUUAUUCUUGUUUGCGGUUUACCGUCGAGCAAGCAAGUCACGUUUCACCUCUAAGAGGUUCCAGUACUACUACAGAUCUGAAUGUGUGUGUGUAAAUAUGAUCAACUAGGAGACUGUUAAUAUAUAGCUAUAUAUUAUAUACAUAUGUUUACAAAGAGACUGUUACAUAUUGCACAAGUUAAGCUAUUUUAUGGUCUCCUAGCUUCAAAUAAUUGAGCUCCUGUUGAAGACUGUAUUAUUUAAAUAAACAUCUGAGAUUUAAUGCACCAGGAUUCACGUUUUCUGGGCUUCCUUUCAUUUCACUUCAUAUAUUCUUUAGUUAAAAACACAAUAUUCAAACUGUAUUAUGUGCGUCGUCUGGGUAUUAUAUAUCAUAUAUGGUAGUGGAAUAUUCUCCUGCGAGGAUUCUACUUGCUGCUGCUUCCACUCCUUGUUUGAUGUUUUUACUUUUGCUGACAAAAGAAAUUGUUCUGCUUACUCAUUACUAAGUUAACAAGGAUUAGAAUUAGUAAUGAUUAUAUCAAACCGCUCUCAGAAUUAGUAAUCAAGCCGGCAAGUUUAGUCUCAUCACAAUUGGUGGGUUCAAUUUAUUACGGAAAAAUAUAAAACAAGUACCGAUCAACAUGUUUCUUUUGUCAGAGGCAACCAUUAAUUAAGACCUUGAAACUCUAAUUAAUUUUGAGUUCUAAAAUUUAAACACUCAUUAAGUAAUUUGGCCAACAAAAGAAAAUGCACAAAAGAAGUACAUCUAGCUUUUUUGGUCAAUAGAAGUACAUCUAGCUAAUUUAAUAUUAUUUCCUACUGCUUUCAUCGAUCGAUCUUCUAAUUACCUUGCAGAAACCCACAUCUCAGUUAACCAGCAUCAGAUUAUUACAAAUUAACAACUCUAGUUACUUCAUCUAUAAUAAAUUAUAGUUAACAGAGUACCACUUUAGGACAACUCAGGGUUAACCAUUGACGAAAACAUAAAAUCACAUGCUUAUGGUACAACCUUAAUAACAAAUUUGUAGUGAAAGAAAACAAAACAAAAAUAUGCAAAAAAGAGGAAACAGCAUCUCCAACAGCUUAAUUAAAUAAAGCUUUUUGGUUACUUUGAAAAAAUAUAGAAAAACCGAACUAAAACGGGCUAGCUAUUUUAAUUCGGUAAACAAUAACUAGCAAGAUUUAGAAGAAGAGAUAAAGUUAAUUUUUUGUUAAACAUUAAAAACUAUAAAAUUGCAUUGUUUGUGGGCUUCAAGAGAAGAAAAAGGGAUUGGAGUCUAAAGUUUAGGAAAAAAUAAUAACAAAAUAUUUUAACUUUAGCUAAAGUAGCUAGUAUUGUUGGGAGUGGUGGCUAACCAAAUUAACAUUUGUGUCAUUUGGCUAGCUACAGUAACAAAAAUUUCGGUAGUAUUAUUGGAGAUGCUCUAUCAAAGCAAGGUAUAUGAAAUUUUUUAGCUAGGUUGAGCUCGAUUUCUUAGGCGGCGUUUCUAAAUCCAUUUACUUUCUUACAAAUACAAAUUUCUAGGUUUCUCGAAUAGAGAAGUUAGGUUUUUUCUUUGAUAGAAAUUUUAGCUAGGUUUCAGUAAAUAAAAUUUGAGAUGAGGAGUUAUAAUUAAUAAGAAAAUAGUAUACCAUGAAUCUGUGGCGUACUCAAGGAGCUUCCCCUUGUUGGAGAAGACAAUCAAAGCAACCUGAGCAUCACACAAGACAGAGAUCUCAUGAGCCUUCUUCAGCAGCCCAGUGCUUCUUUUGGAAAAAGUCACCUGCCUGUUGAUCUUGUUCUCUAUGCGCUUCAGCUGAACUCUACCUCUCCCCAUGAUUAAAUAUUUAUGGACUCUGAGUUACCACUCACUCUUUCAACUGCUUGUUCUUUGAUUUUCUUUCUCAAAAAAACCAAACAACCGAAACCCCCAGAAAAAGAAAGACAACCCAGAAAAUGAACUGGUAGGCUGUCGAUUUAUAUACAAAAAAGAAAGAAAUAUAGUUACGAUUUAAUGGGAAUAUUAAUUUAUGCAAAGUUUCUUCUUAUAGCCAAAUACGUGAAGGUGCCUGAGAAAGUAUAUGUGCUAAUAACCAGCUCUACAGACUUUUGAUUUGAUGAUAGAUUAAGCGGUUUUUGUGAAUACAAGUGGUUUUGGGAAAACCGGUGGGGUUUUAAAGGAUUUGUUGUCGACUUCUGAUUAGCCGAGGUGUACUAUGUAGUCGUUUUCUCUCUUUCCAACGGGGCCAGGAAAAGACACCUCGAUUUUAUCUUUCUUACAUACCGGUGUAGCUCACUAGGUACCGGCUUCCUGCCGGACUCAAGAGUCUCAGGUAUGCAUUGUACGAACCUUCAGCUUUACUGUUACUUUUUUUCUCGACUCGUAACCAGCUGACGUACGUAUGCACAGUGCCACUUUUUGUGUAGUGAAAAUGGACUAGGAUUCUCCCCUGCUAUUCGGUAUCCCACAUUCCAACAAUGUGUUCAUGAUCAAUUUGACAAGAAAGCAAUAUUUAGUUGUUUAUCACUAUCUCUUUGCGCUUUGUAUUAUUCAAUUACUAGAUGAAGGGCACAUAUUGUAUGAAGCGUACACAUUGCGGUUUUAGAGAUGCGUUUUUUCAAUUGAUGAGGAUAAGGACGUGUUAAUUUGGAAAGCUUCUACAUCUAGAGUCUUUUGUUUUUUGAUGGCUAUGAAAUUGUUCGUCAUUGAUUUUCUGUUAAGAGUUGGGCUUCCAUUGUUUAGUGUCAUUUCAUUACACCUCGCUACUCUAUUUUAGUUUGAAAGAUUCUUUCAAAAAGCUUCCAACGGAGGAUCAACUUUAGCGAUAGGGCAUUCCGCUGGUUCUAAUAUACCAACUAUGUUACAAAAAUUCUAAAUCUAUUAAGCAUUUAUUUUUUAGUUGUGAAUUUGCACAAUGGGCUUGGUGUUGGCAAGCUACCCAAUUUGGAGCUAUUCUUCCGCUUACGGGUUCUUUCUUAGAUUUCUCGCUUGCUUUUGUGUCAAAGCGAUUUUCUCCACUACUUUGCAAUGUCUGGCUAGCUUCAUGGUUUUUCUUGCUAAUGGCUAUUUGGAAAAUGCUUGAUAAAGUGAAGUUUGAAAGUAAGCCUUAUUCCUUCUCACGCCCUUGCCAUUCAUUUCGGUCUGGAUUAGGCAGGUUGGAGUUUUCACCCUGGUCAUGGACGAGGUAUUUUGGGUAAGCAACUUUUAGUCUCUCUUGCAAUCUCGGCUGAGUCUUGUAAAGCUCCAUCUAUAGUCCCUGUUCCUUGGCAUCCUUCACCAUUUUCUUGGUACUGAUGACCUUGCUAAAGGUAACCUGGGUCAUGUGGCUUUUGCUGGGCUUUUCCGAGAUUCUGGGGGUUAUUUUCUUGGUAGUUCUCCCUAAGCUUGGAGCAUCGUACUUCUUUUUAUGCAAAGCUUCAUGGUGUCAUCCUUACUGUGGAGUUGGCCCACGUAUAGGGUUAGCAAAAUUUAUGGCUUGAAAGUGACUCUUCUAGUGUGAGAUCUUGUUUUGCUUCUGGAUCUUUCAUUCCUCUUUGGUCGCUCCAGACACGUUGGAAAAAUUGUAUUUUCCAAUUGCAGAACAUGGUAUUUUGUUGCUCUUACACAUUUCGAGAAUGGAAUGCAGUUGCUGACAAAUUAGCCAAUUUAGAGCUUAUCUUGUCUUCACUUGUUUGACAUGCCGCUCCUUCUAUAGAUAUUUUUUCUCUUCUGCACUCAGAUUUUUUGGGCAUGCUAGCCUACAAGUUCGUCUCCCCUUCUUGAUGUGUGAUUUUCUUUUUUACCUAAUCUUUUUGGAUUUUCCUUUUCAUUUUGCAGCUUGUCUUGCAAAUUCUUACCUUUUAGCUUUAUAGAGGGGUUGGGCCUAUGUCCACCCACUAUUUUUCUUGUAUUUUCUUUUUCAAGAGAGGUAAGGUCUAUGUCCCCCUUCUUUUUCUUGUAUUUUCUUAUUCAAGAGAGGUAAGGUGUAUGUCCCUCCCUUUUUUUCUUGUAUUUUGUUUUUCUUGCUUUAUGAGGGAUAAGGUUUAUAUCUCCUGGACUAGAUGUAACUUUUUUUUUUAUGUCAAUAAAUUUCUCUUAUGCCAUCGAGGUUUUCCAAAAAUAAAUAAAUAAAUGUGUAAGUAUAAAUAAUAGAAAAUUUAAUAGAAAAAAAGUAAUUUUCACUUUACUAUUAUGAAGUUUUGAGGUUUUCAAAACUUUCAAACAUUAAGUUUUUUUCAUCGAGUAUCAUACCUAAGGUUAUGUUUUUCUCCCAGAUUCAUAUACUUUUGUUAGGUUGAAAGUUUGUAACUCCGCUAAAACGUAACGUAACUCUUACAUGGACGAUGACUGUGCAUUCACGUGUCACUUUAGAAGGAACAAGUUCGAUCCUAUCCAAAAGCCCAAAUCAAUCAAUUGAUUCAAAACUCAAAUCAACAACUAAUUAAUUGAUUCAAAUCUCAACCCAAACACCCAAAUCAAUCAAUUUUACAUCUUUGUCAUUUCCUAUGAUAGCAAUACUAGAGUGGAAUUGACUUUGGAGUUUUACCGAAUAAAAAAAAAACAAUUUCAAUUAAGUUUAAAGUUUAUUUUUUUAGCAAUCUCAAACAGAUUUUAAGAUGUGUUGUCUCUUUCUAACUGAGCAUCACUUAGUUUUCAGCAUUUAUCAUAUCUUAUUUUCUUACGUAAUUCAUCUAGCAUGACUAGAACUUUAUGUUUAUGAUCAAAACCAUUCAUAUUUUGAAUCACUCUAUAAACUCAUAUCUGCAAAACAUGAACUAAAAAUAAGGUCGUUUAGUCAAUGUAUUAUAGCACUCAUAAUGUUUUUACCAAUUCCAUUCAUUUAUCUUUAUAUAAUUCAAUGACUAAACGACCUUAUUUUUAAUUGAUUUUUUUGUAAAUGUGACUUUAUUGAGUGAUUUAGAGUAUGAACGGUUUGGAUCAUAAAUACGAAGUACUAUAAUCAACAACGAACAAUUUCGAGUAAAACUAAUACUCAUAUCUUUUGAAUAGUCAAGUAUUAUUCCCCUAUAAAAUGAAAAGGGUCCGCCGUUUAAGGCCAUGUCAUAUCCACCAACUAUAUGGAUGGCUUUUACAUCUUCGUCGUCCUCCACCUCAAAUUCUGAAACCUACCACGCUCGCAGCUGUCUCCCCAUCAAAUUUUACACAACCUUUUACAUCUCUUGGACACCCCAAUAGUGUGAGCUAUGCUCUUUCAUUUCAUCUUCUUCAUCUUCGUCCGCACAUAAGGUCAUACCAAUUUAGAUUUUUUUAUUACUUGGAAAUAAGUUUUAAAAAGAAGAUUUAGCCAUGUACCGUGUCCAUGAUCUUAUAGUAGUAGACAAGUUUGCAUAAUAUAUCAUUAGCACAUGUCCACACACAAAGUGUGUAUGAAUAUUUUUAUUUUGGUUUUUAAAAUGGAAUGAGAGAGUAAGAGACCUAGAGAGAACGUGGGAGUGAGGACAGAGGGGGUUUAUUUUUAUUUUUUAUUUUUUAAUAUUAGAGAUGUUAAAACCACAUGUGGGUGAUGUGUCAUAAAAAAAAUAACAAACUUUGUGUUCUUGUAAUUACUAAAUUGCCCAUAAUUUUUAUUUCUGGUCAAUUUUAAUUAGAGGGUUAGACUGAUAAUUUCCCAGAAUUUUAGUUGACAACUAGAUUUUUAUUAAUAUGUAGUUUGGAUUGAAUAAGCAAAGAAGUCAUGGCACGUGGCAACGAUUAGAUGUAGUGCGUUUGCUCAUUUGGUAAUACAAAGGAAUUUCCAAGGCACAACAAUCUUGAUGAAUUAGGGUAAGUGUUCAACUGUGUGAUCGGCCUCACAAAAAUCACACACAAGCAUUUCAUACCUGAUGAAUUAGGGUAAAAGGAAAAGUGAAACGACAAAAGGAAAUUUUUAGGGCACAUGCUUUCCUGAUGAAUUCUAAUGAAUUAGGGCAAGUGUUUAAUUGUGUGAUCUGUCUCACGAACAUCAUACAAGCGUUUUAUACUACUCACUGGUAAAGUUAAAAUCCAAAUGAAAUAUUUUAGGGCACAACAAUCGUGAUGAAUUCUUGGGCAUUAGUCUCAUGAAUGAAUGAACCCUUCUAUAACAUUAAAAGAUACUAGGCAGCAAAUUAUUAACGUUCUUAUUCUUUUGGACAGUGAAACAACACAUGUGGUCACCACUACUCUUUGAUUGGUUACCAUGCAUGAUUCGAAAUUCAGAGCAUCCAACCGGGGAAGAAUCCCGUACCAUUUUGUGCUGAGGACGUUGCUACAUUCGCCUCAUCAUUUGUUACUACUGGAGUACUGUUGCAGUAAUAGUUAAUGGAUACUUUAGAUGACAGCUUCAAAAAUUAAGGCAACUUAAUUCAUUAAUUAACGUUGCAGAAAAAUUCAUGCGCUUGACAGAAUCCCUAUAAGAUAUAUGGUUAUACCCGAUCUGCAAUGCAUUGUUGUAUUGCAAAUGCUCAGGGAAUCCUUCUAAUUGAGCAGCCUGGUGAUUGCCAUUCCAUGAUCGUUGAUGGCCAGCAGUAAUUUCUUCCAACUGCAAAACACGAAAAUUUAGACCCAAUUAAAUUGACCAAAUUAUUUAUCUGAAAAACGUAUUAAAUGGAAUAACUAACAAGAUUCAAGAAUCCAUGUGAAGAAACAAUUAGAUGACAAUGUACGGUUGUUAAAAGGAAGGCCUCCAUCGUUUGUUGUUAGCACUGGAUUGAAAUGAACAACUUACUAUACUCAAGGCACGUUGAAGGAAGGAAUGAAAAGAUAGUGUCCAACUUAAAGAUAGAAUAUGACUCGUGAAGAAAACUUUUAUAUUUCAAUCCCCCGAAUGGUAGGAUUAGAAAAGAUAUAUGUCAUUCAUAUUUAAUCCCCUUCUGAACCCCGGCCCUUAGAAUAAAAAAUCAUUCAUCUUUAACUACUUUCAAUAUCCCUUGAAUUUUAUGUUACCCAAUUCAUUUCAAUCCUAAGCACCAAACAAGCCCAAUAGUGUUUUGCAUUACUAUAGUUAUACAAUUAAGGAUAGGAAACCUAUAUGAUGAGGACUAAUUGAUUUGGCCUUGAAAUAUUGUAAUCAUUUAAUGAAUAAGUAAUUAAGAUGUAUUAUACGACAUGAUGAAUUUCCAUUGCAUAGAAAACAGAAAUGAAUAAUGGUCAAACAGCUGAGAAUACAGCAGGAAUUUAGUAUUACGUACGUACCUUCCUUCUCAGUCCAGUGUUUGCUUCCAGUAGCAUUUCUUCCUGCACAGUUAAUUCUUGAAAGAUUCAGUAACUUACAUACAUACAUUUAUAUUAUGUAUAUAUAUGGGAAGUGUUAUUGGCACUCCAAAAAUCUCAUUAUACACUCCUCUCACAAGUGUAUUUUCUUUCCAAAUAUAGAAAGUCUGGAGUAUAGAAUGAGAUUUUUGGAGUGCUAAUAACAAUUCCCAUAUAUAUAUAUAUAUAUAUAUAUAUAUAUUAUGUUGUUUGCAAAAUACUUACUUUCCUUUGAAGCUCAGAAAUCUGAACAUGCAUAAAUUGGGUCUGCGAACAAAUGAAAUGUAAAUCGACAUUCUCUGUUAAAAUUUCGUUUAAAUAACUCGCCAACUUUUUCAAGCUUAUGGAACAAAUUAUGAAUACCUUCGUUGACCUGAUUUUCUUCAUCGACACAUCUAGUUGAUUCUCAAGCUGCUGAAGCUCCUUCGUGCCUAAAUGAACCAAAUCUUCCCCAAGAAGAUGUCUAAAAACAUGCCAAGUAAAAUUUUUCAUGAGCAAUAUUCCAAUUGUGUCGACUCUUUGCAUUUUUCAUGCGAUCAUUGAACAAACUUUGAUAUGUGUAUGUAUAUAUAUGAUCGAUAUACGUAUACCUCUGCGUGCGUUGUAGGGCCUCUACUUUCGUUUUUAGCUUCAAGUAUUCUUGGUAUCUGCUCUGCUUGUGAACAUGCAUGGCACAAAUUCAGCUUAUGUCAAAAGUCCAUAGGGCAGAAUUUUGUGGAAGAAAUUCCAUUACCAACAUACAACUUAACCCAACCCCUCGAAUUGGUCCCUAACAACAGAUUGAGAAUAAUUGUAACACCGUGUGGCAGUGUUCUAAAUGUACUGAAAAUUUUCUCCUAGCAACAGAUUGAGAAUUUAAGAAAACGGAUAAUAUGGGUUGCUUUACCCAACUUAUGUAAUGCAGGUAAUUGAUGUUAUGCAUCUUAAAGCUAAUUACAAAUGACAAACUGUCGGUAACCUGUUCGUCCUCAGCAGAUUGACUUGCUCCCAGUUCUCCAUAAGUGCAUCUUUGAUGCCUCUCAAGCGUCUUCGCUAUGCUGAAAUGAAACAAAGCAACAAUUGUAGGACAGUGAUCAGAAUGCAAAUUCAAAAGAGAAAAGAGCGCAUGCAUUUUGCACUGAUUCAAAUGCCAGUAAAGUAAGAGCCAAAAGGCAUGCCACAAAAUCUGGGAGCUAGAUAUAAUUGAUUAUACAGUUCCAAAUUUUUUAAUCACAAGUGAUAUUACUACUAUAAACUAUAAAAAUAAUAGGAAAAUAUUUAAACUCGAAACACAGUGAGUCAAAAGGCAUAUCCACCAAUACAAUCCACCCUUUACAAAUUUAUGGUUCCAAACUUAAGAACGAAUCAAAGGGAUAAAGCUAAGCAACAUUAUAUAUAUAUAUAGGGAUAGGAUCGGACGACACAAUUUGGCACACUUUAUUGUGGUUUUCAUUCUGUAACUUUUUUCAAGGAUCUGAACGGUUUGUAUUUCAAUUCAUCAUUGCAAAAAAAAAAAAAAAAAAAGACAAAUCCAACAUCAUUAAGAGACAUUCUUUGUAACGAAAAAAAUGGACAAAUACGAUUCUACAAAUAAACACUAAAAUGACUACCACUUAAUCAAAUGGUCAUAUGAUUUCAUAUUUGAGUGAUUUUGACAUAGAUAAUCCUUGAGGGACAAACUAAAAUAUAGACGGUAAGAUUGUUGAAGUACAUUAUGGAGUGACCCUAAGAAAGUGUGUCAAAAAAUGUGUCCCCAAUCUUGACCCAUACACACACACACACACAUAAACGAUCUCUAAAUGUACCAAAUAAAUGAACGGUUUACCAUGUAUAUGUUGUUUAGUACUCACAUUGUCAAUUUGUUCCAUACAUUUGGAUGCAUAACUGAUUUCCAAUUCAAAAGAUUUUAUGUAUGGAUGUUCUUCAAAUGGAGCUUAAGAAAUUAAACAAUAUCAAUUAUUAAAUUUAUACGGUGAAGAUAGAUUAUUCGCAAAAUGUAAGAUAUGUGUAGGAAUGCAUGUAUUGGUGCAAGGUGCGUCUACACCUAUAUAUUUAUUCGUUUGAGUUAUGCUUUGGUGAAGGGAUUUAUAAGUACCAAGGGAUUUAGGCUAAAUAUAGCUAGAAAAGUGGACUGCGAAGUAUUUGAUGAAGGCUUUCGGAAUUUUUUACAUGAUCACUACAAAGACAUAAAUAAUGGAUUUGCAAAUGACCCUUCUUAAUGCAUUGUAUCCACUCAUUUAAAUCCCACAAUCUAGUUUUUUAUAGUGCAUUUCUAACUAUAAUUAGCCUAAAUUCCUAAUCCUUGUCUAACUAUAGCCUUCAGGUCUUAGACCAUCUCCAACCCUGACCUAAAACCUAAAAAUAUUUAGCCCAGAAAAUUUAGGUUUUAGCCCAGAAACAGCUUUUCUACUCCAACCCUUUUGACCUAAAAUUUGAGCCCCAGAUUAUCAAAAAAUGAAUUAAGGCUAUUUUUUUAAAAAAAAAAUUAUGUAGACUAUCCUAAAUUAAUUUUAUGAACAUUUUAACCUAAAAAUAUUUAAAUUCCGAUAAAUUUUGAAAAAUCACUAAAUCAAUACAUGAAAAUCAUGAUAAACCACAUAAACUUAAAAAAAAAAAAAGACAAUUAAUAAACCACAUAAAUUUUAAGAUUAUUCUAGCCAUUGGAUUUAAAUUUGGACCGUUAGAUCUUUUUUUUUACCGUUAGAUUUGAUUAUAUUCGAUUUAAACCGUUGGAUUCAAUAAAUAUAUAAAUAUAAAACAAAAAAAAAUUGAAUGUGGACCAUUGGAUUAACCAACGGUCCAAUUACCACCACCACCCGAUGAAGAAAAGUAGUUGUUGGCUACAGGACAAGACCCACUUUUCACUCUCAUCCGUGGGUCCCAGCAGCUUUUGUGGGCUAAAUUUGUGACCUAUAUUUGCCUUCAUUUUAAGUUUUAGGUUUUGGGUUGGAGUGGAUUUGGGGGGGGGGGGAAAAAGGGGAAAAUUUAGGUUAUAGGUCAGGGUUGGAGAUGGUCUUAGGAGUCGCCAGCAUUUGCCUUUGUCCACCAAUUAACAGUGGUACUAAGAGUAGUGUUUCCAUAUAUAUAUUGAGGUGAACAAUUUUAAUGGAUUAUAUUUAGCAAUGGAGGAUUUCAGGGAAUAAAGGAGUACAAAUAACAUAUAUUUGAGCAAUAAAGAGAAAGUUUGAUCAAGGAUUGCAAUAAAAACUCAUGAAGGACAAACAAAAAGCUUUCUUAUAACCAUAGGGUACACCAAGACUCAACCUUAAGUUAUUAUGUUUUUGCAUUGGUAAUGGUUGAGUUAACGGGAUAUAUUCAAUAUGACAUCCUUUGGAAUAUGCUUUUUGCAAAUGAUAUAGUGUUGAUAGAUGAAACACAUUAGGGAGUAAAUGUGAAGCUUAACAUUUGGUGUGAAGUGUAGGAAUCCAAAGGUCUUCGCCAAAUUAAGUAGGUCAAAGACAAAGUAUAUGGAAUGCAAGUUCAGUGGGAAUAGGGUCCAAAUGAGAUAGGGCUGAGGAUUGGAGAUCAGGAAGUACCAAAGAGUGAACACUUUCAUUAUCUUGGAUUUAUCUUGCAAAAGAAUGGAAAGUUGGAUGGAGAUUUCAACCAUAGAAUACAAGCUAGAUGGAUGAAGUAGAAGAGUGCACCAGGUAUGUUGUGCGACUGUCGUAGGCUACUAAACCUCAAAAAUUUAUUUAUAGGACGAUAAUAAGGUUAAUAAUACUUUACGACAUGGAAUGUUGAGCGGUCAAGCAUCAACAUGUGCAAAAAUGAGUGUAGCUGACAUGAGAAUGCUUCGUUGGAUGUGCGAGCAAACAAGAAAUGACAAGAUUAAGAACGAGGAUAUUAGAGGUAUAGUAAGAGUGGCCACAAUUGAAGAUAAGAUGAGAGAAAUUGGCAAAGGUGAUUUGGACAUGUGAAACGAAGACCUACAAAUGUUUCGAUUAGAAAUGCGAUUAUGAGAUAAAGGCUCAGGCAAAAGGGGUAGAAGAAGACCUAGGAAGACUUGAAAAUAGACUUUAACAAAAUACAUGGAGUACUUGGAGCUAAUGGAAGACUUAGCGCAAAACCGAGCACAGUGGCAUUCGAAGAUUCAUACAACCAAUCUCACUUAAUGCAAUAAGACUUUGUUUGUUGUUGUUUGUAUAUUGUAAAUAGUUGGACACUCACCGCGAAGUAACCAAUUUGCUAACCAUAUUAUGUGGCCAGUAGGAUUAUAACAAUUGUUCUUUUAAUAUUCUCCCAAACCAUUGUAAUCCUCAUAAUCAAACACCAAUUCUCAAUUGUGAUUAUCCCUUACCUAUGCCAUGGCAGAGCUGGCCGCCUCAUCCUUUCCUCCAACCUCUACUAUUUUGACCUUAUCGACAUCCCCUCUCCAACCUCUCGGUCCCCCCCCCCCCCCCACACACUUUCAAAUCCCUCAUAUUAUUUUUUGUGGAAGACAUAGGAGCACCACCUCUGCACAUGCCCACUCCUUGUUGCCAUGGUCGCAUCGGGAAAGAAGAGGAUGGAUUGGGAGCGGGGUUGAUGAGGUAGGUUGGAGGAAGAGAGGUGGGUGGGAUUGACGGAGAAGAGAGGGAGGAGGAGGAGACGUGGAUGUGGUCGACGGAGGAGAGGAGUAGACGGGGGUGAGAUAUCGACUACCGACAACGACAAAGGUAGGCAAAGCUUGGUGAGGGAGAAAGAAGGAUGUUUGGAUACUAGAAUAUUGAAUGUUUGACAACCAAUUUUAGUUAAGUUUAAAUAAAACACGAGUCACUAUUUGAUUGUUCCACAUAGGAUGGUUAGUAUAAAGGAUCCUGACUGGUGAGGACCCAAGUAUCGUCCAUUACCGCUAAGUACUAUAACCUUGAUUCUGAGCACUUGCAGCUUACAUCCUUAUUAAAGGGCUAUGUUUCUUGAACCAAAAAGAGGGCUACGUUCCUAUUUUCUAACUCUCCAAUCGCUCGUCAAUUCUAUAAAACAUACCGUUAAACAAUUUGAAUUGAUCAUAUCAAUCCUAUCAUACGUUUAGUUUAGCACCUUCUAAGGUACCGAUUUAAAGAUAUGAUAACACAUCUAACGUAUAUUUGUAUUACAAAUUUGCAAGCCUUUCCCCUAUGAUUGUAUGACUUAAAGCUAAAAUCUCAUGAAAAAUGAACUCAUCUGAAAUUCGACAAUGAAAUGAAUAGAAGCAAACAAUUCCUCUAUUAUAAGUCACCCUUUUACCUCCCCAAAUAGGACUUGGAUUCUCUGCCCUCCCAUUUCGGUGCCCUCCCCGUACCCUCCUGUUUUGUGUGGUCACGGUUAAUCCAUGCUAACAUUUUAUAUUGUUUUUUAUAAAAAUAAUAAGACAAAAAAAAAAUAGUAAUAUAAAAUAUUGACGUGGCUUAACCGUGACCACACAAACAGGAGGGCACGAGGAGGGCACCGAAUUGGGAGGGCAGAGAAUCCAAGUCCCCCCAAAUAUGCAUCCAAAUCCCCUAAAAUUUAAUUACGUAGCAAAUUUUUGUUAGUAUUAAAAAGUGCUUAAAAAUCACUGGACUCCAAAUAAGAACAGACGAACAGAAUCCCACAAAAAUUCCUAUAAAAAUAGGAUAGGAUAAAGGACAAGCAUUUUAACAAAUAUUUUUAUACUUUUUAUAAGCUCUUGGAUCUAACACUUCUAAGUAAAAAUUAAUUAAGAUGACUACUAAGACGUGGCAAAGACACGAAAACAAAAAUAAACUUCAAAUGAAAUAUUUAGAUAAAUUUGUGAAAUAGAUCCAGCCUCAUCUUCCUCCUUUACCGUUUAGAUCUGCAACUCUCUAACAACAACAAAAAUGUCUGCAAUAUUGAAGAAAUUCAUCUUUGGCCUUUGAUGCAGUGAAUACUUCUUAACAUGGCUAUAUAAUACUGUUAACAGGGGCUAACAAGAAAUCCAAACAAUAAUACAUCCCUUCCAAAAAUUUCUUUUAACUGGAUCUGACUAAAAUUUGUCAUAUAUAUUGUAGAUAUUCAGAAAAUAGAGAUAUAUAUAUAAAGGGUGCGUACAUACCUAGGGCCGCUGCAGAACUCAUAGAGCUUUCCGCUGGUGGAGAAGACGAUGAGAGCAACCUCAGCAUCACAGAGAACUGAGAGUUCGUACGCCUUCUUUAGCAGCCCAUUCCUUCUUUUUGCAAAUGUUACCUGUCGAUUUAUCUUAUUCUCGAUCCUCUUCAACUCCACCUUCCCUCUUCCCAUUCCUCUUUUUAACUUAUUAUAUUAUAAAAAUAUAUUUCAGUGAUUGCAUACAUAUCAAAUUAUUAUAUUAUGUUACUAGGUUUUGUUUUCCCUUUUUGAUAUUCGUGUUCUCUAGGGUAUGCUAAGUUAGGCUUUUGAGAGAGAGAGAGAGAGAGAGAGAGAACUUAUGGGGAACUUUUGUUACCUCCUUGUUGGGUGUCUUUUUAAGUUUUCUUUUGAAGAUGAAGUAGACCAUUCACAAUUUUCACAGUUUAUUACGUAAAAAAGUGACAGCAAUGUCGACUCCAUCGUAGACAUUUUCAACUUAGUUUUUACGUGUCGAUGAGAGAAUGUCUUGGGAAAGCUAACUCCAGCUUCACUCACAAAAACUUACUUACCUAACCAAGUCUUAUAAUUUAAUUCGAGUCACUUCUUAACCUCUUGAAAUUUAAUUUGUGUCUCACUAAUUGCUAUGCCUUUAUCAUCAAAGUCCGUCAACAAAUUCAUUAAAAUUGUAAUUAUGUGGCCCAACUGAAACUGAUUGUUGUUCAGCGUGUCACUAAAUUUUUUUUGUUCAUAGUGUUUUUUUCUUCUUCUUAUUUUGAAUAAAAAUUCGACUUGUUAGUAAUUUUUCAGCCUCAGGGUAGUUAAGCAGCGGGUCUUAUUUGUACCACAAAAACAGUUUUGAUGGGUUUAUUUAUGGAUUUUAAUGGUUGGAGAAAAAGUGAGAUAUUAGUUGGGUUGAAGUCUUGUAAACAAUAAUUGGCAAAAUUUAAGUUUCUAGGACUAAGUUUCAAGAAGUGAUUAAAUAAACCUACUUGGAUGCCCACCGUAUUGGAAUAUGUAUGGCUCACGGUAGUUAUUUUCAUUGCCGCAAUUGGCCCCUUGGAUGCCCACCGUAUUGGAAUAUGUAUGGCUCAAAAAGUCACACAUUUCACCAUCAAUACUUGAAAUUCAUAACUUGAUAACUAAAUUUAAAAUCAAAUUACUUUCUCUGUGAGAAAUUAUUUCACUUAAAUAAAAUAGAAAGAAAAGGCUUCUCAAACCCUACUUUAUUUAGAUCAGUCUAUGAUUUUCUGAAACCAAGUGCUAUGGCUCAAAUUCAUAGUCAAUCUUAUUGCCAAUUUUAAUAGGAAUAGUUGACAUUUGAACCCAAUUUUUUUUAAUUAUUUUUGUAUCCGUAAUAGUGCGAAAAGGACUCCAAGGUAUCCAAGAAUAGCGGCUUUGAGUUUCUCGACCCUUUGCCCUAGCUAAGAUUACAAAUGAGGCUUAGGGUCAUUGGAUAUAUUUAGUAGGGAUAAUAUGAGGGAAACCAAAUUUUUAAACCAAAUGAUGUGCUAUCAAUAAGAAACAAGCAUGUUAAUCGACACAUAGUUAAUAAUCCAAUUAUCUACAACCACAUCAUUUAGUUUUCAAAUUUGAUUUAAACAAUAGCAAUACCCAUAUAACACUUUCUUAAAAGAAAUGAGCUAAAGUGAGACACAGCUUAUGAGUACGUACAUAGUGUAAAGUAACUAAACAAAAUGCAAGAAAUAAGUGAAAUUUCGUAUAUUAUACUAUAGACUAGGGGUGGGCACGGGUCAGGCCGGGCCGGGAAUUACAUUUUCUAAUAUAGGAACCGGAACUAACCCGGCCUAUUUCAAACGGACCGGUUCGGGCCAGGUCCACGGGUCCUUUGUUUUUUUUUCCGUUUAUUUAUAAAUAAAAUAAAAUAAAAAACUCAAAUUUGCACAUAUUCAUUCCCAGCACAGAUUCACUCCCUAGAUUUUGCACAAAAGAAGACUAGUACUUUCUUCCAAUGAGCAGAGUAGCCUCACUUCUCUGGUUCACUAGCCUAUAGCCAGAAAAACCAAAUGGUUCUGCAAUUAAUAUAUCGUAGGAAAAAGGGAAAUGUAUAGCCUUAUGGUAAAAUUCCUUUGUUUUUAUUCCUAGUUAAAUUGCAAUAGCUUUAAGGGGCAUUCGUAGGGAUGGGCAACGGUUAUGGCGGACGGGUAACCGCAGUUACUUACCCAUAACCGUUUAAGUUUUUACCCGCAUAACCGUUUACCCAUUGGGUAUUUACAUAAACGGCUAUACCCAUACCCAUAACCGUUUAUAAACGGUUAACCCUACCCAUAACCGCAUACCCAUUUAACCAUAACCGAGUACCCGUUUAUGCAUUUUUAACCCGUUUACUCUUUUUUUUUUUCAUCCAUCUACCUAUUUUUUUAACAACCUGAAAAUUAAAAAGAAAUUUGUCAUAAUUUUAUUUUUCUAACAAUUAAAUACCGUUAUAAAUACAUUUAACAUGAAUUUUUGUAUUAACGGCAAUAUCAUUUAUGAAUAUAUGCGAUGUCUCCCAAUUAUUUGACUGUCAAUCUAUUACAAGAAUCAUGCAUGGUUGUAGGUUAAUUAAUAUUCUUGUAUACAUACAUAUAUAUAUAUAUGUGUGUGUAUGUAUGUAAGUACGCAUCAGUCUGCUAAUAAGCUGAUUUGAUAAAAAUUUGAAACAUAUGUUCAUCGAUCGAAGCCAUUUAAUUGAUUUCUAAUUUUUGGGUCAAAUACUUAAUGAAAACAUGAGGCCAAUUAAAUAUAUAUAUAUAUAUAUAUAUAUAUAUAUAUAUAUAUAUAUAUAUAUAUAGGUACGCAUCAGCCAACAAUAACAUGUUUCUAAAAGCUCAAGGUAAUCAUUAUCUUGAAUUGGCCAAAGCUCCAAAAGACUCCAGAACAAAACUGUUGAACACUCUAAUGUUUUAGCACAUUCAAUCACAUAUAUUAAAUAUUGGCCCGUUCUAUCAACUAUGUUUUUCUCUCAAGUGAGGCAUAUAUAUAUUAUGGCCCUUUAUAACCAAAUAUGUUUCGGGAUAAUAAACUUAGCUAGAAACUAAUUUUUUUUUUUAGUUUUACAUAUAUUAAAAAAAUGGUUGAAUGGGUACCCGUUUAUAACCGCGGGUAAAACCCAUAACCGUCCAUUUAAAUUUCACGGGUAAACGGUUAUACCCAUAACCAUUUAUUUAUUUAAACGGUUACCCAUAACCGUAACCGUCAAAUUUAAAUGGGCGGAUAACCACGGUUACCCAUAACCAAUGGGUAUUUGCCCAUCCCUAGGCACUUGUGCCCUAAAAAAAACGGAUACAAUUGAGGCAAGCUUAAAUAUGGUUAUGGUGUCAAUUUACAAAAUAGUGAAAUGAAGAAGGCUGCAUGCUUGUUCUAGAAAUGUGCAUCAGUGACUGCGAUUAGAUGAGGGAGCAACACUUUCAAAUACCAAUUUCAAAGGAUAAUACAAUUGAGGCAACCCCAUUUCCACAUGCAUCGAAAAAGAAUACGAGAAUCCUAAUUUCAAAAGCAUAAUACAGAAAUCUGAGGCACCUAUGCAUUUCCACUUUCAUUUAACACUUCCAAAUACCAAUAUUAAAGUUAAAUAACAAAAUCCCAAACAACAGGAAUUGCAAAGCCGAAAUAACAACAGAAGUAAUAAUAUUUCAGUACAUAAAAUGGAGAUUUGAGUUUGUGGGAUAUGAAAUUUAUGUUUAAGACAAUAAACCCAGAAUUUAUUUGGAGUAUGAAUAUGCAAUUUGAAAUUAAUUAGAGGGACCCUAAUCAAAAUUUAAAACUUGAUUAAACACUAAGAAUUUGCUUCUGAAUCGCACGAAUAGUUCAAACCUUUUACCUGAGAAUGAAUAGGCUAGCUGCUACGACGAGAGAGAGAGAGAUUGCAAAUUCAAAAUUGGGGCUUUGGUAGUCGGCCAAGUAAAAGAAUCUAGGCUGGUAGCAUCGUAACAGUGUCCUUAACGGCAAUGAUGGGGUGAUGGUGGUCGCGACAAUGGGGGUGUUAUCGAAGAUGAGAGAAUCGAGGUUCUGGGACCUGGGUUCUCUGGGUCCUGGGAUGUCGUUGAGAAUGAUGGCUAGAUGGGUAGUGCCGUUGUGUUGGUCACGGCGGAGGUGAUGGGCUGGGUUCUCUAGGAUGUCGUAUAAGUCGAGGGAGUUGAGGAGGGAGUGGUGGAUGGUGGUGGAGAUGUGAGACUUGAGAGUGAGACUAAUUAUGGAAACCUGGAUGACUUGGGUACCCUAGAAACUAACGAUUCAGAUUGGAUGGUAGGUUAUCAUUCAAUUUGGACCGUUCAUUAUAAUUAGAAACGGAUCGGUUCGGGGACCCAUUUUUCCUGGGUUUAGGACUCGGCCACCCUGUAAAUGAUACGGGCUCGCCCCACCCUGCCCCGUUUAUUUUCUCACACAUUUGGAACAGGCCCGUACCCGCCUUGAACCUACAUUACCCGCCCCGACCUGCGAUUCCUCUACUCGUUUGCCCACCCCUGCUAUAAACAAUGUUCUAAAAAUCGGCCUAGGUAGCUGCCUAGGCGCUGGGCGGAGGUGUGCUGAUGCGAUUAGGUCUGAAUCGUUAAGAAAAAUCGGGGAGCUGUUAGGCGCCCGCCUAGGCGCUCUUAGGCGGCCUAGGCAGUCUAGGCGGAGUGAAAUGGUUUCCUGGGAAGAAAUUUCAAACAGAAACCCAAAAUCGCAAACUCAAAUUUGAACUUGAAAUUAACAUGCAAAGCAUGGGUUAAGCUACCUAAGUUUCGAACGAGACUAAGUCGAGCUCAUGUGACCCCAAGUUUCAACGGGUCCCUCGCCGGAGCUCCACGCCAGAAGCUCAAUUUUCAAAGGUUGUAGCUCAAUUCCAUUAUAGCAACUCUCACCGAGAACCCCUGCUUGGAUUCUCCUACUUUCCAUCACAGAAUUUAACAUGUAGAGGUAUCAUAAGGAUCCCCAAGUUGCGCAAGUCUUGCAUUUGGUGGUUUGGGGGUCUCAAUUUAAUUGGAUUUUUUGGUGAUGAUGCAUGGGGCUCUCUUUGGCUACGAUGGUUUAGAAAGAAGGCAGAGAGUUCGAAAUGAGAGAGAGAGCGAGCUGUAAUCUAAGAGGAAAAGAUGAUUUCGACAGAAGGCAGAGAGUUCGAAAAGAGAGAGAGAGAGAGAACCGGUUUUCAAAAACAAAAAUGAUGGUGAUGUGUGAGUGUAAGAAUUGGUGGUUGAGUGUGUAGGUUUAGAGAGAGAGUGAGAGAGUGACGUGAGGGAGGUGAGAGAGAGAGAUGGGACCGGUUGAUGGGGAAUGAUGCAUGCUCUGACCGGUUUUGGUGCUCCAAAGUUCAAAGUAGGACACUAAUAAAAUCAUAAAUAAAAGAGAGAGGAUUUCAGGGAUGAUACCAAUGGGCGUUGUUUCGUUAAGUGAUAACUAGCAUGGCUUCCUAGUAGUUUUAUAAUUAACCAUCAAACCCACUACGUCAGAUUUUUACUUUUAUUUUUUUAAAAUUAGAUAUAAUCAUUCAAAAUGUCUUAAGUUAUAUGGUAUAUAUGCUUAAUAUGUUUUUAAAUUUUAGACUUUGUUGGAUACUCUUUUUGUAUUUUAUCAUUCUUUUAUUAUCUUAUCAAUGGAUUUCAUACAAGUAUAAUUUUUUUAUGUGUCAAUAUGCAUUUUUUUACAAGAUAUACAAUAAAUUAACCUAAAUCCGCCUAGGCGCCCGCCUAGAUCUCGCCUAGUCGGCUAGGCACUAGGCGCUAACUCGCCGCUCGACUAGCACCUAACGGUUUUUAGAACCUUGGCUAUAGACAAAAAUAAUCCUAAUUAAGGGCUCAUUUGGAAGUAGUUUUAAAAUGAUUGAAAGCUCUUGGUUUUAGGUUCCAAAAACGCUUUUAACUGCUUGUUGAAAGAAGCCCUGGAUAUGUGCUUCUUGCAGGAAGCACUUCAAGUGUUUUUUAAGAUUCACUUGGAUUUUUAAUAAAUAUUGGUUUCAAAAACAAUUUUCACCAAAAACGUUUUCAGUCAUUUUAAAAAUAUUUCAAAACGAGCCAUGACUUUAAUUAUGUUUCACUGUAUUUCUAGAAGAUUAAAAACUAAAGCACUUGAUCUCCACGAGGUGAAAUUAAUCCAAUAUUGUAAUUCGCCGAAUAUUGAGUUUGGUCUAUUAUCUUGUGAUGUAUUUAUUGACCAUGGUUAUGGUGGAUUCUAAAAUGCUACUUAGUGAUAUAUCAAUGGUUAAUUUGCAGUUCAACAAAAAGCCGCAGGUGUUGUUUUCAAAGGGGGUCCAUUGAAACGACGCACGUCAUCACACGGAGUUAUGGACUGGCCUUUUCCUACCAGGCCCAAGAAAAGACACAAUGACUGAUGGUAACAGGAGUAAAUAGACCACCUCAACACGUGUCAGACUCUGAAACCCAAAAGUACACAAUUUUGAAGAAUUCAUGGUCGUAGUACUGAAGGAUUGAAAUUUGCCAACAGGAUUCUCUUCAAAUCUUUUGGUGAGGAUUAUGGGGAUUCGUAAAUCGUAUCCGUUCAUUAUACAUUAUGCGGUCAAUUUUUAUCAGGUACUAUUUGUAUUUAAUUUUAAAUAAAAAUAUUUAAAAUGAUUUAUAACCGAAUAAUGUACGAUAAACAGAUAUAAUUCACAAAAUUCAAGCGAGGAUUCGGAUUCUGAAAUUUGAACUAAAUUCGGCCCCACAAACGUUCACAAUUUUUAAGUGUUGUAAGCUCAUAAGAGAGGCCGGCCCAAAGGGCCAAAAACAUUUGGAAGACCUAAUAAAUGCAAUUGGGCUGAACCCAUUUAUCCCAUGUCAGCCCAAUGUCUGUCUCCAAUCAAUAGAAUUUGAGUCAAUAAUAAAAGGUUUAUUCAAUCACAAAUGGUCCUUUAUUAUUGUAAAAACAUAAUUUUGGUCCUUUAUGUUUUAAAUCAAUCAAUUUCGACUGUCUACGUUCUAAAAACUAAAAAGACGUGAUUCAUGGGAAGAAAUAGAAAUCACAAGGAUAUCCGAUAAUUUGUUAUAAAAACUGUUAUUAACAUUCUAAAAUUUUCUCCUUAGUAAAAAAGAAAACAAAUAUGAGUGGAGUAUGACUACUUUAUAUUGCUAAUACUGUUGUAAACAUUCCUAGUUUAAGUAUGAUUGUGUAAAUCCUAGAUAAGAUUUGAUUCUAGUUAUCCUUUCCUAUUACAACUUGUAUUACUUGGAGAAGAAGGAAUAUCUUCUCUCCCUUUACUACUAUAAAUAAAGGCACAAUGUAGGAGGGAUAACAAUACACACAUUCCCCUACAAUUCUACAAACACACAUCUCUCUCCUCUCUCUCUCUGCCGCCGGCCCUAGUCCCUCUGUCAGAUAAAAUAGACCACAACACGUUAUCAGCACGCUCCUACCGCUGCGCUUAGGAAUCUGACGUUGGAAAUUUUUUCUGCAUCAAACCAGUUCAUCCAUAUCAUCACGCAAUCAGGUUCUUUCCAAACAACGGUUUUUAACUCGAUAUUUUGCAAGCCCUGAUAGCAUGAACAUUCACCAUGAUGCAUGACCCAACUUUACGUUUAACGUAUUUUAGAUUCUACAUAAAUUGUGUAUGCUUCAUAAUCAAAAUUGCUACAAUUAUGUGAAUUUGAUAUUUGUCAUGAAUUGAAUCCUACAUAUGUACAUGCAUUGAAACUAUUAUUUGCAUAUGCAUCAACGUAAAUAUGUGAUUCAUUAAAAUUAUACAUGCAUAUAAUAUAAUUGAAUACAAAAAAAAAAAAAUAAAUAAAAUAAAAAAUUUAGGGCUGCACACAGCAGCCCAUUCCCCUCUUCUCACCCCGUGGGCCUGUAAUCCCACCCGAGGGUUCUUGGCUUAUAUUUUUAGGCCCCGAGAUUUUAUUAUUUAAUUUUUUUUAAAUAAUAUGGGUUUUUUUAUAUUUUCACCCACAUUUUAAUUUGGCCCCGAAGACCAAAAAUAAAUUAAUUCACUUAUCAUUAUACAAUAUUUCUGCAUAUAUUCUUUGCAUAUUUGUUUGCAUAUAUAUUUGUGUUUGCCUGCAGGAAUAUAUGAACCUGAAGUUCAUAAUUACUUUGAAACCCGAAGUUUCUUAUACACAUGCCUUGUUAGAAAACCCGAAGUUUUCACUUAAAUAUAUCACCCAUGAAAACCCGAAGUUUUUCAUGCAAAAUUAAACCAAUACAUGUCUAUUAGAACCUGUAUGUUCUACUCCUAUGUGAAUGGAUUGAUUUUUCUCCAUUACACUAACCACAUCAUCUUGUCCAUCUAUUUUGAUAGGACCAUGUCGAAUUUGAACAAACUCGACUUCACCGCUUUGGAGGUUUCUGGAAGGAACUACCUCAAGUGGGUUCAAGAUGUGAAGCUCCACCUCACUGCAAAGAACUUGCGUCCUGCUAUUGAAGAAGCAACAGAUAAACCUGUUAGCGAGGCUGAAAAGCCACUGCUAUGAUCUUCAUCCGAAGACAUAUCCAUGACGCUCUACAAACUGAGUACCUUGCUGAGGAGGAUCCACGUGCAUUAUGGGUCGCUUUGGCUGAUCGUUUCGAUCACCAAAAGGACAUAUUUCUUGCCUGAAGCAAGACACGACUGGCAGCACUUGCGCUUCCAAGACUUUAAGUCUGUGAAUGAAUAUAAUUCUGAAGUUUUUGUCGAAUCCGAUCACUUCUCAAGUUUUGCAAUGAAACUUUGACUGAAGAGGAUCUCCUGGAGAAGACCUACUCGACCUUCUCUGCUUCUAAUAUUGUCCUGCAGCAACAAUAUAGAGCUCAGAAGUUCACUAAGUUCUCGGAUUUGAUCUCUGUUUUACUUCUUGCUGAAAAGCAGAACCAGCUGUUGAUGAAGAAUCAUCAAGCUCGACCUACUGGGGCUACUGCUGUGCCUGAAGCACAUUAUAGCACUAAUCAGCACCCAAAACGCCAAAAGAGGCGUGGUAAGGGCGGCCAGAAGCCAUCCCACCAAGGUCAACAGAGCCAAGGCCUAUCCAAGGGAGGAAACAAAGCCCAGAAUCGCCCAAACCUCGCUCCCAAGGCCCCGAACUUCAAGAAUAAGGGCAAAGCACCUGCCACAAUAAAUGACGAUAUGUGCUAUCGUUGUGGUUCCAAGGACCAUUGGUCCCGUAUUUGCCGUGCUCCCAAGAAGGUUGUGGAUGCAUAUCAUUCUCGUCGUACGAAGUUUGAAUCAAACUUCCUGCAAGUGGACGAACCGGAGACUACAAAGAUGGAGGUUUCUGAUUUUUCAGGAGGAUACCACUCCUAUGGAAGAUUAGAAUCUUAGACAUAGACUUAUUUUUCAGUUAAAAUAAGACAAUUGGGGCCGAAUUCCACCUAGUGGCCGAACCCCACCUUGUUUUUUGGUUGAUUUUGAACAAUUUUCCUUUAUGUUUUGGAUUAUUAGUUGGCGAUUUAUUUUGGAUAUUAAGUUUUUUCCUUGAAUAAAUGAAAUUAUUUUGAAUUGAUACUUGUUUUUAUAAACUUUUAUGCAUGUGACCGAUUCAAAUUAAUUUUUCAUUCUAGGUAUGACUAGUGGGAAAGUUAGUUGUCUGGCAGAUAGUGCAACCACGCAUACUGUUUUGCGUGAAAGCAUCUAUUUCACUAACUUCAUACCUAAGAAUGCACCUCUGACAGCCCUCUCAGGCCCAUCCAACCUGAUCGAAGGAUACGGUAAGGCACGUAUAAUGUUGUCCAAUGGUACAAUCUUGACCAUUGCUGAGGCACUCUAUUCUCCACGUUCCGGAAGAACGUUACUAAGUUUCAAGGACAUUAGAGAUAACAAUUACCACGCUGAAACCCACGUAGAAAACGGAGUUGAAUUUCUGUGCGUAACUUCCUACGAAUAUGGCCAGAAGCGUAUUCUAGAGAAGAUGGAGCGUAAUCCGAGUGUUCUGUAUACUACGACCAUACGCCCCAUAGAAUGCCACUAUGUGGCCGGCCCUACCACAGGGACCGUGCACGAAAUUACACUUUGGCAUGAUCGUUUGGGACAUCCUGGACGAAUAGCGAUGCGCCGUAUCCUCAAAACUUCACACGGGCAUCCACUAACCCGAAGCUUAGGUUCGAUCCAUGAAAUUGCAUGUCAAACAUGUUCUAUGGGAAAGCUUAUUACUAAGCCUUCUUAUGACAAGAUUCGUUCGAAUCCUCCCAUUUUUCUACAACGGAUUCAGGGGACAUUUGUGGACCGAUUCAACCUCCCUGCGGACCAUUUAGAUAUUUUUAUGGUUUUGGUUGACGCUUCUACACGUUGGUCACACGUGUGCUUGUUGUCCACAAGGAACGCUGCAUUCUCCAAACUGUUGGCUCAGGUUAUCAAGCUCAGGGCUCACCACCCUGAUUAUCCGAUCAAAUCUAUUCGAUUGGAUAAUGCUGGAGAAUUCACAUCUAAAAACUUUUGAUGAUGACUAUUGCAUGUCGGUUGGGGUUGAAGUUGAACAUCAUGUACCCCAUGUUCACACCCAGAACGGCCUGGCAGAGGCUUUCAUUAAGCGUUUACAAAUGAUUGCUCGAUCGUUGGUCAUACGUACCAAGCUCCCGAUCGCUGCUUGGGGCCAUGCAAUAUUGCACGCAGCAAAGUUGGUCCGCCUGAGGCCUGUUGCGACACAACCAUUUAGUGCCCUUCAGUUGGUCACCGGAUGCGAACCCGACAUAUCGCAUCUGCGCGUUUUUGGUUGUGCGGUCUAUGUGCCGAUCUCGCCGCCCUUACGUACAAAAUGGGGCCUCAGCGAAGGAUGGGAAUCUAUGUCGGAUAUGAUUCUCCUUCGAUUAUUCGUUACUUAGAACCUUUGACAGGCGAUCUGUUUACCGCUCGUUUCGCGGAUUGUCACUUCUAUGAGACAGUCUUCCCUUCGUUAGGGGGAGAUAAGAACGUCAACGUUCCUAAUGAACGACGCGAAUUAUCGUGGACGACUCCCACUUUGUUCUCAUUUAGAUCCCCGCACCGCUCAGUCUGAAGCUGAAGUGCAGCGCAUAUUAGAUCUCCAGAGCAUAGCUCAGAGCAUGCCAGAUGCUUUCACCGAUCUAGCGCGCGUGACAAGAUCACAUAUUCCAGCUGCGAAUACGCCUGCAAAGAUGGAUGUACCAAAUGUACGACGGACUACCCUCCUGGAAGCCCGGGACGCCAAUUCUGGUGAUCCACGUACAUUAGCGGCUAGCCAAUCAUCUGCCCCUACACAAAAGCGUGGCAGACCCCUUGGUUCAAAGGAUUCACACCCCCGGAAGAGGAAAACCACGGCACAAGGUCCUGAAGAGCCUACCGUGAAUCUGACUAUCGCUUACUCAUUUUACCCAACUCAUGAGGAAAUUCUAGAUUAUGGAAGCGUCCUUGAAGAGACGAAUCCUCCUCCCGAGAAUCGUGAGAUUUCGGUCUAUUAUGCUAGCUUAGAUGAUGUGUGGCGUAGAAAUGAGAUGAUUGUCGACGAUGCAUUAGCAUUUGCAGUAGCUACUGAGAUCAUGUUGAGCGAUGACAUUGAACCGCGUUCCGUUGAUGAAUGUCGACGUAGAGCUGAUUGGUCAAACUGGAAACAAGCAAUCCAAGUCGAACUUGAUUCACUUGCGAAACGUAAGGUGUUUGGACCUGUAGUUCCUACUCCUCCACAUGUGAAGCCCGUUGGCUACAAGUGGGUUUUCGUUCGGAAGCGUAAUGAGAAGAACGAAAUUGUGCGUUACAAAGCUCGUCUUGUAGCACAAGGUUUCUCACAACGCCCCGGGAUUUAGGGGUGGGUUCAAAUAACCGAAAACCGAAAAAAACCGAAAACCAAACCGAACCGAGGCCGAAAAAAACCGAACCGAAAAAAAACCGAACCGAAACUGCCAAACCGAACCGAACCGAACCUGGCUGGUUCGGUUUCGGUUUUUAAGGUUCGGAAACCGAACCAAACCGAACCGAACCGAACAGAUAUAUAUAUUUAAUUUUUUUUUCAAUAUUAUAAAUAAUUUAGUGAUACAAUCAUAACAAGACAUAACCAGGUACCAAGUUGGUUUGCUUGAAACUCUUCAAGUCCCUGCGCAUGGGUUCGAAUCCUCAUGCCUCCAGGGUUUCAAAAAAGUUUUUUAGUUUUUUUGAACAAUCAACAAACCUUUUAAGUUUUAACCCUAGCCGCACCUUUUAUUUUUUUCAUUCCUCUCUUCUCUCUCUCAUUCCCUGCCUCCAGUCCAGUGUAACCUAGCCCAGUAACCUUCUCGCGCAGCCGAGCCUCAUCUCUCUCACUCUCUCUGUCUCUCUGUGAAGAGCUUCAUCGAAGCCAAGCGCAAGGAACGCGAGGCUCGCGAGAAGGACGAGUAGUACUGGUGCGAGGUGAAGGGCAGCAAAUCCCCCGUGGCCAAGAAGCGCGAGGAAGGAUUUGGGGGUCACCGACUCCCUGGGAUGGCUGCAACGAGAAUGCUUCAUCAGCAAAUCCCCCGCGGCCAAGAAGCGCGAGGAAGAAGCCGAGAAGCUGGCGGAGGCUGCCACGCGGAAGUCCGAGGCCCGCCGAUUGGCGGAUCUGGAGGAGAAGGAUCUCCCUAUCCUCUCUCUUCUCUCUCUCGCUCUUCUUCCGCAUAAGAUCUCUCUCGCUCUCUCCGCCGUCGACCUCCCGCCUCACAUUGACUGAGGUAAUAUUCAUCUGCUCUGCUCAUUUGGUAUUUCGUCGAGCUCCGUGGUUUUGCUCAAUUGGGUUGUUUUCGAUUUUUUUUGUUUAUGGAUAUUUUUCGAUAUUGUUUUUGCAUGAUUCGAUUUGGGUUCUGUGUGUUGCGGUGUUUGAUUCAGAAAGGUUGCUCAUUUACUUGUGAUGCUGUUUGGGUGUGCUGGAAUGUGUAGAUCUUUGUAGUUUCUCACUGCUUGCUGUAGAUCUGAUUGGAAUCGGUUUUUAAUUGCGAAUUUGGAUCUUAUGAUUUGAGAUUUGCAUUCUGUGGGUUGUAGAAAUGGGAUUGUUUAGCUGAAUUUUGAAGAAAUCAUCUUUCAUUUGCUUUAAAAACUGUGGAUCUGCAAAAAUUGUAAUGAGUUUUUCGUCGAUUAAACUUAUAGAUCUUGCGUUUACCUAUCUCACACUUAGCUACAAUUCUCUGUUUUAGUUUCAUGAAUCAGUAUUAUACUUUAAAAUCGAAAAGGUUUUGACUUUUGGGCCUAUUGUUCGAUAUGGUUGUCGGUAGGAGACGCACUGAUGGCUAGGCCCUUGUUUCCGUGGUUAAUCUUUGCGUUCAUUUAUGUUUUUCCUUCACCAUGGAUCACCAAUUUGUCUCCCUAGAUUUGGAUAUCAUACUGCACUCUGAAUGGGAUAUAUGACACCUGUGAGUACAUCGAAUACAUUGUUACAAUGAAUGUCAUAAUAGUGUACUUUUAGUCUUUUACUAUCAUGAAUGUUUGGCACGGACGGGAACUACUUUAGUUUCCCACACAUUUAGUAAAAAUUUGGUAGUAUGUUAGCUACGCUAAAUGCUUAUCCCAGCAUAUAAUUUGAUUUAGCGAUUGACAUCAAAUUUAUAUUGGAAUGCUCCAUUGACACCUUUCCGUGUUUUGAAAUUUAUAGAUCCAAGAUGUGGAAGGGGUAGAACUAUGUGGAACCCUGAAAAAUGUUGUGGCCAUAGCAGCAGGUUUUGUGGAUGGGUUGGAGAUGGGAAAUAACACAAAGGUAAGCUCAAAAAUUUUGGUAAAAGUUGAACCCACAUCUCAUCUGCUUUUUCUAUGUCAUUGUGACUGCUUAUUUUGAAUGACCAGGCUGCAAUUAUGAGAAUCGGUCUAAGAGAGAAGAAGGCAUUUUCCAAGAUGUUAUUUUCAUCAAUCGGUAUUGUUUUCUUCGCUAGUAACUAUGUACUAUAGUUGCUGGAAAUUUCAAUUAUGCCAAGUAUGUGUGCCAAAAAUAUAAUCUGAAAUUUCAAUUAUGCCAAGUAUGUGUGCCAAUUAUGUCAUGUUCUUAUUUUUAUUUGUAUGUAGAAAUGGCAAGGGGAAGCUCAAAGAAAGGUGCUAUGUUGCCUCCCUAGGCCGCCUAUGCGUUGAGCUUGAGCUUGAAGACUUGGAAGAUUUUAUUUGUGCAAGACAUGAAGUGAUGAAACCUUGAAGGUUUAUUUGACUUGUGUGAUGUUUAAAUUUGGACUUUUUGAAGACUUAAACUUUGAUGUUUAAUUUGGACUUUUUGAAGACUUAAACUUGAUUGAUGAUUAAUUCUAUUUAUAGUUGGACUUUAAGUUUUAUGAGACUUUUAGUUUUAUGAGACUUUAUACGUAGAGAUGGAAACAUGUCAUAUUUUCUUUUCCUAUAUUAUGUUGUGCUUGUUUUGCAUUUUUUGGAGGAAAAAAAAAAAAACCGAAAAAAAACCGAAACCGAACCGAAAAAAAAACCGAACCGAAAAAAACCGAAAAAAAUUUGGGCCGAACCGAACCGAACCGAAAUUUCGGUUUGGUUUCGGUUUUGGCAAAAAACCGAACCGAUAAGAACCGAACCCAGCCCUACCGGGAUUGACUAUGACGAAACUUACUCACCCGUUAUGGAUGUGAUUACUUUUCGAUACCUUAUCAGUUUGGUAGUUUCCGAAAAACUGGAUAUGCAGCUGAUGGACGUAGUAACCGCGUAUCUCUAUGGGGAUCUUGAUACGGAAAUUUAUAUGAAAGUUCCCGAAGGACUUACAUUGACUGGUUCAAAUAUUUCCAAACCCCGGAACACGCUCUCAAUUCGGCUGAGGCGUUCACUAUACGGUUUGAAACAAUUCGGAAGAAUGUGGUAUAACCGUUUAAGUGAGUAUUUGACUAGUCAGGGAUAUGUGAAUAACGAACUAUGCCCUUGUGUGUUCAUUAAGAAGUCACAUUCCGGAUUUGCGAUUUGUUGCAGUAUAUGUCGAUGACAUGAAUCUCAUCGGAACUCCUGAAGAGCUCGCGAGAACUGCUUCGCACCUGAAGUCGGAAUUUGAGAUGAAAGAUCUAGGUAAGACUCGAUACUGUCUCGGUCUCGAGAUAGAGCAUUGUUCGGAUGGAAUCCUAGUACAUCAAUCGAACUACACCCAGAAGGUGUUGCGCCGUUUUAAUGAGGAUAAAGCGAAGCCUUCGAGUACUCCUAUGGUCGUUCGUACGCUAGAUGCAAAGCGAGAUCCCUUCCGUCCGAAAGAGGAUGAUGAAGAGAUUUUGGAGCCUGAAGUUCCUUAUCUAAGUGCGAUAGGCGCUUUAUUGUACUUAGCUCAAUGCACUAGACCCGACAUCUCCUUCGCUGUUAAUCUUUUGGCAAGAUACAGCAAUGCACCAACACGCAGACAUUGGACUGGCGUGAAAGACAUCUUCCGUUACCUUAAGGGUACUACGGAUUUGGGCUUAUUCUAUCCCUACGAAUCCUCGAGUGAUGCCGCACCCUAUGCUCAUCGGGUUGAUUCUCGCCUUGUUGGUUAUGCCGACGCUGGAUACUUAUCUGAUCCGCACAAGGCGCGUUCUCAAACGGGUUAUGUCUUUACCGUUGGAGGCACCGCAAUAUCUUGGAGGUCAACUAAACAGACCUUAGUUGCCACUUCGUCUAACCAUGCUGAAAUUCUCGCCUUACAUGAAGCAACUCGGGAAUGCUUUUGGUUGAGAGCAGUAGUGGGCCAUAUUCGAAGCUCCUGUGAUCUUCAUUCCGCCGUUAAUGCCCCGACGACGAUUUUUGAAGACAACGCAGCUUGCAUCGAACAGCUCAAGAAGGGUUACAUCAAAGGAGACAACACCAAGCAUAUUGCGCCGAAGUUCUUCUUUACACAUCAACAACAAGAGCAUCAGAAGAUUGAAGUCACGCAAAUCCAAUCACAAGACAAUUUGGCCGACCUCUUCACCAAAUCACUACCGAAGGCGACGUUUCAGAAGCUUGUUCAUGGAAUUGGUAUGCGUAACUUUCUGAGUUGUAACUUUGCUAUUUCUCUGUGGAAUUAUGUCAAACUCAGGGGGAGUAUCUUCUAGAUACUUGCUUGAUCUUAAUGUACUCUUUUUUCCCUACGAUUAGGAGCAUUUUUCCCACUGGGUUUUUGCUACCUAACUAGGUUUUAACGAGGCACCCACCUUGGGCUGGUCAUAUCCCUGAUGACGUCCUGUAGACGUUUCUUUUGACUUUGCAUUUCUCACGCAUUUUUCCUUAGACUAUGGAUUUUGUCCCUACUUGGGUUUUUGCCAUAGCCUUAGGGUUUUUAGUGAGACUUACUACUUAUGCAAGUUCCUACCUUAUUGAGAAUAAGCGUUGUUCCUUGGAAUCAGUGCCAACGAGUCGACUUCCUCAACUUCUGCAUGAUGCUGAAUCUACCUUGAGUAUUUACACACUCAAGGGGGAGUGUUGUAAACAUUCCUAGUUUAAGUAUGAUUGUGUAAAUCCUAGAUAAGAUUUGAUUCUAGUUAUCAUUUCCUAUUACAACUUGUAUUACUUGGAGAAGAAGGAAUAUCUUCUCUCCCUUUACUACUAUAAAUAAAGGCACAAUGUAGGAGGGAUAACAAUACACACAUUCCCCUACAAUUCUACAAACACACAUCUCUCUCCUCUCUCUCUCUGCCGCCGGCCCUAGUCCCUCUGUCAGAUAAAAUAGACCACAACAAAUACAAAUUUUUUCCGUCUAUCAUACACCUAAUUUUCUCACUUUUAGUGGAAUUUAUCACAUCUUUAGUCAACAUUUUUUUAUUAAAAUGAUUUAAAACGAAAGAGUUCGACCUCAGAACAUUAGAUGAAGAUAUGAAUAUUCUUAACAAGUUAAACUAUAAGUUCUCUGCAUUUUUUAUCAUCGAUAAAUAAUAUUAACUUGUGCGGACCAAAAAUGGAAAAUUGGAACUUCAAGUGUAUCUAUAAUGCCUAAAUGUAUGGCCAACACUAUUUUAAGUCAUUCGAAAUUAAACGAUAACACAAGAGGACAUUAAAUGCUUCUCUAAGUCAUAUUGCUCAAAACAAGCUAGGAGACACGUACGACGUCUUUGUUGGGAAUAGUAAGCAAUUUUGUUUUUCAAAGUGACAUAUUGGAGCAAUGUCUUUUCAAGAGACAAGGGUUCGAAUUUGGAUAACAUAAUGCAGAUACUUUUAGGUGGUAGAGCACUAUGUAUGUAGCUAGUUUGGCCACGUUUUGAUUUUAGCAUGGCUUAUAUAUCUUUCUUUAAGAUCUCUUGAAUAAUUUCAUUUGAGCGAUAUUUUUGCAAAUAUUUUAAUGGUUCAAAUAAUUUAUAUAUAAUUUUUUAAACAUAUGAUAUUUUGUCUACGCUAAGGAAGAAAAAUGGGCUAAGCCUUACAAUGAGCUAAUCAAUAAUAAUUUGGUUUGAAUUUACCUUUAGUAAUAAUCAAACCUUAAGAGCUCUCACUUAUAAGUGAAAAAAAAAUCACCAGAUGUAAAAAUUAGCCGACCAUACUAAGCAGCCGACCAACUUAUAUUUUAGUUUACCAUUCACUAAUUAUCCUUGUAAAAAAUUAGAUAAAUUCAAAAUCAUUAAGACAUUCAAUUAUAGUGAAUAUAAUGAGAAUACGGUUUUCAAAGAAACGCUAAAUGUCUUCGAUUAAUCUAACAAUUACAUAGUUUCAAAUUUGGGUGACUGUUCGUACAAAUUAAUCAUCAAGAGAACAUAAAAAAUAUACAAUUAGAUCGUUGAAGUACAUUGUAGAGUGAGCCUUAAAAAAUCUCUCAGUUGCAGCUCUAUAUGUGUGCACUUAGGUACCGUUUGGUACGCAGACGGGACGGAACAGGACAGGACGGGACGAGACGGAACAGAUGAUGUAAAUGUUGAAAAAGAUAAGGAGAAAUUUUGUCAUAAAAUGUUAUAAAUUUGUGUUCCACGGAUGUGGAACGGGUCGUUCCAGGGGGGAGAGGUGGAACGAAAAAUCAGCCAAAUUUCGUCCCAUGGGACAACCCGUUCCACAGUUUUUAGGCGCACCAAACGAGGGACGAAACGGCUCGUCCCGUUCCGUCCCGUCCCGUCCCACGUACCAAACGGUACCUUAGUUCUUGUAGUUCAAAUGUUCAGACAAAGUUAUUAAAAAUAAAAGAAAAUAUUAUAAAGGAUUGUUUCACAUAUAGUUCAUAAAAAUUCAUGCAGUUGGGUUCCAUGCACUUCCAACAAUUCUUAUCUUAUCUAAUUUUUUUCUCUUUUCUAACAAUACUUUUGGGUAAUUGCGUAAAGCCCAGGUUGAUUGAGAUUUUGAGAGGAGAAUAUUGCUUGCCAGCAAUGAGACUUGUGGACACUGUGGCGGUAUGGCCUAUGGGGUGAGAAUGGGGGACAUUUUAGGGUUCUGUCCCAUACUGUCUAAGCAACUUAACGCAAGGUUUUGUUUAGUGGGGACUUCAAUUGGGCCUUUGUUCCCCUAUAAUCUUAAGACUCUAAACCUUGUUAAUCGGUAUUUUAUCUUAAGAAAGCCUUAAUUUUUGCAUUAGCUUUGAAUUUUGAGGUUUUUCCACCAUAUUGUGUAUGAGAUAUGAUCCCGUGUUUGAAUUUUGAGGUUCUUUUACUAUAGAUUGUCAGAAUUCAGCCGUGUAAAUCUAAUAAUCCAUUGCACCGGUGCAUCAUAACAAUUUUGUGACUUUUGAUCAAUGUGCAAGACUGCAAGUCACAGACACCAUAUGAAAUGAAGGUAAGUUUUAGAAUGCAUGGUGCACAAUAAAGAAAGCUACAAAACAUGCUGAGAUGAAUCUAUCAGAGAUUAUGCAGGAUUGGCUAAGAGAGAAUACAGACGGAAAAUUGUGAGUCACGACAAGCAUAUUGUCUCCUCUCUCUGACCCAUUAGGCAGUACUGCAUAAUUCGGAUCCUAACAGUCGGCCUAACACGCCAUAUUUUUGUUGGCUAGACCAAUCAAAUUUGAGUUUUUGUUGGUGUGGGACAAUAACGCAUUUCAGAUAAGAGGCAAAUAUAAGUUACAAGUCCUCCUGGAAAAUGCGAUUGAGCUGAUUGCUGGCAAAUGCAGAAAUUGAGCUUAUCUGGUAGUGGAAAAUGGGGGUAGAUUUAUCAUGCAUGGCGAGAUAAGUGAAUUCAUUGGUAUUGUGCAUAUUUGGUCGUAAACAUGCGCGUGUGCUCACACCCACACGCACACUGCCGGAAUGCCCCAAACACCAAGGAAUGGGAGAGACUACAUUUUUUUAUUUCAGUGGGCGGGCCAAAUCAAUUGACUACACCAAGGAGUUCCAAAAGAGAAAAGUAAAAGAUGAAAGCUGUGCUGCAUGUCUGCUUCUUUAGCAUUAAAAUUUAAAGGGCCUCUCCCACAAUACUCCUUUUUGAUAAGAGAUUAUCCCUUCUUUUUUCCCUGGUGGGGCUUGGACAAUAGAGAUUUUUCAAUGAGUUGAAAAUACGGACCGGUACAUCAAGUAUAUUAAUAUAAUUAGUUAUAGAUUUUUUGUUAAGUUUCUAAUCAAUUGUGGAUUAUUACACGUAAUAUAUCGAACCGUCUUCCUAACACAUUGAAAAAUUCUACUUCUUUGAAUACUUCCCUUCAUUUUCCAUAGAAAUCCGAAGAAAAGUUUGUCUAGCCAUUUUAAGUUACAAGGUGAUCCACUGAGAUGAUUACAUAUGUGCCAGAAAUUAGACUAAGAUCACAUCACCCCUAGUGCAUUGGAUUGUAAUUGUGCAUGCAUGCUUUCUAGGAAGAGUAGUGGUAGUUCACACAUGUGAUUUAUAAGAAGAGUAUUAUAACGGUUAUUCACGCAUCAAUGCAUGUGCACAUGCGUGAUUAACUGUGCAUAAUAUUUUUCUUGUCGUUACAAGUUUCAGGCUGGUCAACCAACAAAUCUGUAGUUGAUUACUGACACUGUUUAGUAUAGUUUUCUAAACCAACUUCCAUUAGUGUUCAAAUUCCAAUCCUUGUAACUACUUUCUCUGAAUGUAAAACCAAGACUUUAAAUGAGAGGAGGCAGCAAGAUAUUACUGGGCCAUAGAAAAAUCUAAGCCAGUAAAAAAUUACUUGGCCAACAAUAAACUUUCAUUUUAUUUUAUAUUAAAGAGUGACUUCCAAGCACAGAAAAGUUUGGUAGCAUCUACCAAAUUCUCCAAACCUGUAAUGAUAUGCACAAAAUAGUCAGCAAAACACUAAACACUACAUGCCUAUAGCCCCCAUAGGCCAUAGGCAACACCCCACUUGAGAGCCAAUUCCACAUCUCCUCAUCCUAAAGAUUAGAAGCCCUAGAAUCCAAGGAAACACAUAUCCUUUGCCCUUUCCCACCAUCCCCAGCACAAACUCCUCUGGUUUUAAUUAACUCAGUGCUGACUCAUUACAAGGAUAAAUGUGAAAGCUUUUUCCUUCCUUCGUAGUAAAUGCCCCACUCAAAGAGAAUGACUUGUUAUACCAUUGGAAACAUAUUUGACAUUUCAGAUCAAUAAUAUGAUAUCAUGUGUUUUAAGUUUCUCACAUCAUAUCGCAUUAUUAAUUUGAAAGAUAGCAUCAUUUCAACGUCUUCGUUUCGUAAUAGUCUUUCUCCUUUGAAAAACCUCCAAAACACACAAUCAUAUAGAGUUGAAAUGCAUACUUAUAUAGACUAAAAAGCACAUGAGUUGAUUAUUUUAAAGCCAGCUUCCCCACUACUAGCAAUCAUUUCAAACCCAUAAGUCUCUCCACAAUCUCACAAAACCCUCCUUUUAUCUCACAACUCUUCCCUCCCCUUUAAUACCGUCAACACCAGUCACAAAUUCAAACAAGCUUUACCUGCACACCAAAAAAAAAACCCCACAUAUUCUUAUUACACAAAUUCAAUUUGAAAAUUUCACAGACCUCAAACAUGUCCAUGAUUAGUACAGGGGUGCUUUCAGCAGACCCCGGAGCUGAUAAGAUACACAAGAAAUUGUUCCACCACAGGAACGACUCCGGCGAGCUCGAUGUUUUUGAAGCUGCAAGGUACUUCUCAGGAUACAAUGAAGCUCCCAGCAGCCAUAAAAACAACAAGACAUCGGCAUUUUCGCAGAGGAUGAUGAAAGAAGACAGAUCGUCAUGGAGAGGAGGCAGAAUCAGCCUUGACAUGCCUAUCAGACACAUGCUCCAUCAUCCUCAGCAAAACCCUAAUCACCAUAACCAAGUGGCGAUGGAAAAGCAAAGCAACAUCAAAGACAAGAAGUACAAGCAACCAAGCUCUCCAGGCGGGAGGCUGGCCAGCUUCCUGAAUUCUCUAUUCAACCAAUCGGCGUCCAAGAAGAAGAAGUCGAAAUCCAGCGCCACACAGUCCAUGAAAGAUGAGGAGGAGAGCCCGGGUGGGAGAAGGAAGAGGAGGAGCAGCAUUAGUCAUUUUCGAAGCUCUAGCACCACGGAUGCCAAGUCCGUGUAUUCCUCAUCCAGUUCAGGAUUUCGAACACCUCCACCUUAUAGCCAUGCUCAAAUGGUAGCCUCCAAUAGCUACAAAGAUUUGAGAAGCUAUUCGGAUAAUCACGAGCAGCAAUAUCAACAGCAGCAGCAGCAGCAAACGGUUUCCUUAUCAAAGUACAAUACGAACUUCGAUGAGAAAAGAUCAUCAAACAAAGAACUGACUUGGUUGGAUCAUGAGAAGUUCAAAUUAUCGGAGAAGUAUAAGAUUAGUUCCGACCAGGACCACAAGGGUUUGCUCAGGAGGCUCAGUGAGGUUGUUGAUGACGAGCGGGAAGAUGAAGGUGCAGAGAGUGAUUCGAGCUCUGAUCUUUUCGAGCUGCAGAAUUAUGACUUGGGUUAUUACUCGAGCGGCCUUCCUGUGUACGAAACUACAAAUGUAGACAACAUCAAGAUCAGAUCAGUAACACCAAUUUCCAAUGCCUCAUCCUAAAACCUACAUUUGUGUUGGAUUAUGCAUAUGUGGUUGAGAAAGGAAUUAAAAUUUCCUACAUUUGUCUUUUUAAGUUCUCUUAUCUUAAACUUCCAUUGGCCUUUUUUCUAUGUAUGUACAGUUGAGAAUGUUUGUUUUCUGCUUUUACUUUGCUUUUGGAGAUAUAUAUGUAUAUGUUAAGAUUUUUAGUAUACUUGUAUCUUAUAUUUCUUGAUUUUUUAAAGAUUCUUAUAUUUCUUGAUUUUUUAACAGUUAGAUGUUAAAAGUUAAUGCUUUACUUAAACUGAUUCUGCUUUACUGAAACUGAUUAUGUGUAAAAGGGCUAACUGUUGCCUUUAUCAGUCGACCCAUUCUCUUUAUCAGUCGACCCAUUUACUUCAGUCGGCUUAUGUAUUGAGCCAUAUAUAUAUCAUAAAUAUCUAAAUGAAAAUAUAGAUCUCUGUUUUUACAAAAAGCAUCAGCCCUCUGUUUCCAAAGCUCUCUGCACUCUGUUUCUUUGAUUUUCAAUCUUUAUCAUUUUAUUCAAGUUUUAUUAAUGAUGAAAGAUUGUCUAAAUACCAACAUGGUAUCAGAGCCAAUCUGAUCAAAGAGUGGGGCGUUUUUUUUUAUCAAAAAGGGGGGAAAUUCUAAUUAAGUGAAACCCUAGAAUCAAAAUUUUUCAAAUUCAUGGCUGGUUCAAGUAGCAGUGGUGAGAUUCGAACUCCUAUCUUCAGUGGAGUAAACUACGACUUCUGGAGGACAAAUUUGAGAACAAUUUUUGUAUCUCAUGAUUUGUGGAGCUUGAUUGAAGAUGGCUAUGUUGUACCUCCAAGCACUGUGGUUUUGACAGAGACUCAAACAAGGGAGUUGAAGGUAAACAUCAAGAGAGAUGCAAAAGCUCUUGGGGUCAUCCAAAAUGCUAUCUCAGAUGAAAUUUUUCCGAGAAUCUCAAAUGAGACAAGUGCCAAAUCAGCUUGGGAUGUGCUGGAGAAAGUCUACAGAGGUUCUACUAAGGUAAGGGCUGUCAAACUCCAAUCUUUGAGAAGAGAUUUUGAGUAUAUAAGAAUGAAAGAUGAUGAAUUGCUAGAUGAUUACCUGAGUAGAUUGUCUGAGAUUAUUAAUCAAAUGAAAAGCUAUGGUGAAAUCUUGUCUGAUGAGAGAAUAGUUCAGAAGUAUCUAAUUAGCUUGCCAAGAAAGUAUAUGACAACAUAGUUUCAAUCAUAGAGGAGAGACUAAGGAUUUGUCAACUUUGAGUGUUGAAGAAUUGAUUGGUUCUCUCAAAGGUUUUGCUCAGAGAUUAUCUAGGCAUGACAACAAUGAUGUAGAAAAUGCUUUCCAAACACUUACAGUGAAUCCAAAAACUCAAGCUAGUUCAAGUCAAAGCAAAGCCAACUCCAACAAGAAUUGGAAAGGCAAAAACAAAGCGUGGGAAGGAAAGGGUAAUUUUGAAGAGAAGAAAAAGGUUGAGAAGAGUUUGUAUGUUUCAAAGUGCAAAAUUUGUGACAAAGCUCAUUCCAGUGAAUGUUGGUUCAAAGGAAAAGUGAAAUGCCACAAGUGUAGCAAAUUGGGGCAUAUGCAAAAGGAUUGUACCUACAAAGAUAAUCAGCUAGCUCACUACACCAAAGCAGAAGAUGAAGAGACCAAUAUGUUUUAUGUUGGUCAUGAUACAACCGUCCAAGAAGAAGCUAAAGUUUGGUUUGUGGACAGCGGCUGUAGCAAUCAUAUGACGGCGAAUAAGAACAUUCUCCAUAAUGUUGACACUACAAACCUAACCCGAGUGAAGAUGGGAAAUGGGCAGCUAGUCGAUACAUUGGGAAGAGGUACUAUUGCCGUGCAUACGAAGAAUGGAAAGAUGUUCAUCAAGGAUGUCAUGUUAGUUCCUGAUUUAAAGCAAAAUUUGCUAAGUCUUGGACAACUCAUUGAGCAUGGCUACUACUUAUAUUUUGGAGACAAUACUUGCAAGAUAUAUGAUAGGAGGAAUCGUCAACAACUCGUGGCUAAGAUUGAGAUGAGGAAGAGUAGAAGUUUUCCACUCACAAUUGAGUAUGCAACUCAAUCUGCAUUCAAGAUGGAAGUGCAAGAAGAUUCAAAGCUAUGGCAUAAAAGGCUUGGCCACUUGAAUUUUCAAAGUCUCAAGAAGCUACAAGAAAAAGAAAUGGUGCAUGGGUUGCCGAGUAUCCAAGAAAAUGAAGAAAUCUGUGAAGGGUGUGCACUUGGAAAGCAUCAUAGAGAUUCAUUUCCACAUGGUAAAGCUUGGAGAGCAAAAGUUCCAUUGGAAUUGAUUCAUACAGAUGUUUGCGGACCCAUGAAGACCUCUACUCAAGUGGGAAACAAGUAUCUUCGUGGAUGAUUAUUCCAGAAUGACUUGGGUAUACUUUCUAAGACAGAAAUCAGAAGUGUUCUCAAUCUUCAAGAAGUUUCAAGCUAAGCUAUGGUUGAGCGACAAUCUGGGUAUCUAAUCAAAGUUCUUAGAAGUGACAGAGGAGGAGAGAGUAUACAUCCACAGAAUUUUGAUAAGUUUUGUCAAGAUAUUGGCUUGGAAAGACAACUUACUGUCAGCUACACUCCACAACAAAAUGGAGUAGCUGAGAGAAAAAACAGAACCAUAGUCGAAAUGGCUAAGGCAAUGUUACAUGACAAGGGAAUACCUCAAUAUUUGUGGGGUGAGGCAGUUAAUACAGCGGUCUACUUGAUGAAUAGGCAUCCAACAGUGGCAGUUGAAGAUAAGACACCAUUUGAGGCAUGGAGUGGCAGAAAGCCUUCUGUGAAUCAUUUGAGAGUGUUUGGGUCAAUCUGCUUUGCUUAUGUUCCGAAAGAACUAAGACAAAAACUUGAUGAGUCAAGUGAAAGAUGCAUUUUCGUAGGUUAUGCUUCAUACACAAAAAGGUACAGACUCUACAAUUUAAAAAGGAAGAAAGUUGUGGUUUGUAGAGAUGUUCUUUUUAGUGAGAAAUCUUCGUGGGAUUGGAAUCAAGCAACCAUCCGAGAGGAAUCUGCACAAAUCAGAAUUGAAGAAGAAAAUCAACCAAAUGAAGAGGAAAUUGAGCCAGAAAUUCCACAAUUAUCACCUGAAAACAGUCCUCAAGCUCACUCUCCUACACUUUCAAGUCCAAGUUCAACGCCGGUUCGGUUAAGGAGCUUAAAUGAAGUCUAUGAAAGCUGCAAUUUUUGUGUUGAAGAACCAGAAAACUUUGAUGAUGCAGUGAAAGAAGAGACUUGGAAGGCUGCAAUGCAAGAGGAGAUCAAUGUCAUUGUGAAAAACAAGACAUGGGAACUAGUGGACAGACCUUGUGACAACUCCGUCAUUGGAGUGAAAUGGAUUUAUAAGACUAAGCUCAAUCAAGAUGGUUCCGUUCAAAGGAACAAAACUAGAUUGGUAGCAAAGGGUUAUUCUCAGAAACCCGGAAUUGAUUUCCAAGAAACAUUUGCACCGGUAGCUAGGCAUGAAACAAUCAGAGGCCUUAUUUCCGUAGCUGCUCAGAAGGGGUGGUUUCUACACCAACUUGAUGUCAAGUCGGCUUUCCUAAAUGGAGUCCUAAAAGAAGAGGUGUUUGUUGACCAACCUCAAGGAUUUGUUCUUAAAGGACAAGAGCACAAGGUGUAUAAACUUAAGAAGGCACUUUAUGGCCUGAAACAAGCUCCGAGAGCAUGGUAUGGAGAGAUCGACUCAUAUUUCAAUGAAAGAGGUUUUCAAAGAAGUGAGAAUGAACCUGCCCUCUAUGUCAAAACAGAAGGUAUUUCAGAUAUCCUUAUUGUUUCCUUAUAUGUUGAUGAUUUGGUUUAUACUGGAAGUAGUCAUAAUAUGAUCUUGAAUUUCAAGAAUGACAUGAUGAGGAAAUAUGAGAUGAGUGAUCUAGGCAUGUUGCAUUAUUUUUUGGGAAUUAGUAUCAUUCAAUCAAAUGAUGGUAUCUUUAUUACUCAAAAGAAAUAUGCAAAAACACUUCUAGAAAAGUUCAAAAUGGUUGGUUGCAAGCCUGUUGCAACACCUCUAGUUGUGAAUGAAAAGUUUCAAAGAGAAGAUGUUAGUGGUGAUGCUGAUGAAUCUGUGUAUAGAAGCCUGGUUGGGAGUUUGUUGUAUUUGACAGCGACUAGACCCGAUGUUAUGUAUGUUGCAAGCUUGUUGUCCAGAUUUAUGCACAAGCCUACUUGCAUUCACUAUGGAGCUGCAAAGAGGAUCCUAAGAUACAUACAAGGUACACUUGACUUUGGUAUUAUGUAUGAAAGGAAUGUUAAGCCCAAAUUGUAUGGGUUCUGUGAUAGUGACUGGGGAGGUAGUGUGGAUGACUUGAAGAGCACAUCUGGCUAUACUUUUACAUUAGGGACUGGUGUAUUCUCUUGGGCAUCUAAGAAACAGAAAUCAGUUGCACUAUCAACGGCAGAGGCUGAGUAUGUGUCGGCUUCAAUUGCAACUUCUCAAGCAGUGUGGCUGAGAAGAAUUAUGCAAGAUUUUGGUGAGAAACAAGAAUCAGGAACUCAUAUCCUUUGUGACAAUAAGUCAGCUAUUGCCAUGAGCAAGAAUCCUGUCUGUCAUGGUAAAUCAAAACAUAUUGCUCUGACGCAUCACUACAUCAGAGGUGUUGUGGAAGACAAUGAAGUGGAUGUGGUCUACUGCAAGACAGAAGAUCAAGUUGCUGAUAUCUUCACCAAGGCAUUACCAAAGGACAGAUUCAUCUACCUAAGAGAACUUUUGGGAGUGAAGCAGCAAAGCAUUAAGAGGGAGUGUUAAAAGUUAAUGCUUUACUUAAACUGAUUCUGCUUUACUGAAACUGAUUAUGUGUAAAAGGGCUGACUGUUGCCUUUAUCAGUCGACCCAUUUACUUCAGUCGGCUUAUGUAUUGAGCCAUAUAUAUCAGAAAUAUCUAAAUGAAAAUAUAGAUCUCUGUUUUUACAAAAAGCAUCAGCCCUCUAUUUCCAAAGCUCUCUGCACUCUGUUUCUUUGAUUUUCAAUCUUUAUCAUUUUAUUCAAGUUUUAUUAAUGAUGAAAGAUUGUCUAAAUACCAACAUUAGAUUCUUAUAUUUCAUGACCAGUAUCUAAUGGCUAAAAAUCUCAACAUAUAAGAUACAGCAAACAUACUAAAAUUUUUGGCAUACAUCAGCGUUGCUAUAUAUGUUUUUGUGGAGUGCUGGAAAAUAAGAAGCGUCAGAAGUGCAGCAGUUUUGGGAUUGUGCCGUGCCGAUCGAUUUCGAUGAUCAGAAUUUUAUAUGAGAUGCUCCACUACCAGAUUCAUGGAGAAACAACGCAUCAUAACUCACACCAUGUGAAACUCAUUCCUGUUACUUUUCAUGAUCACUUUGUACAAGAAGCGCAAUUAUGUUAUAUGUUAAUUAUUUUCAUGUGGGUUCUCAGCUGUGAAUGUUUGAUAUGUGCAUGUAAAUAUUUUAGUUUUUUUUCCAAAAUUUAGAAAUAUAGUCACUCUCAAGCAGUUCUCAAUGCUCGAAUCUUCUUCAAGUGGUCAAAAUGAUUUGUGAACUAAAGUCUUUAUAUUGUUAAAAUUUGAAAUUUGAUUAUAAUUCUUAUAUGUAUUUGAUAUAAUCACUAUCUCAACAGUAAAAUGGUAAUUAUAAUAAAUAAUAUAUUCACAUGAAUUAUAUUUGACAGUUAGAUAAUAAUUAUACAAGGUUUCAUAUAGUAUGUUUAAAAUUCGGGAGCACUUUUAAAGGUUCCUCAAGCAAAAGCUUGAACCACUCUCAAUUACCCUCGGGUUGUUGAAAUUCUAAAACUCUAUAAAAGUGGACUAAAAGUCUUCUACAUGUCAAGAGUUUAGCUAGCUAGUUUUCAAAAUUCUCCACAAAUAUAUUAGGUGUAUAUAAAUUGUUUAGUGUAAGUGUACACUCACUAUAUAUGUUUAAAAACUAGUAGUUUUACAUGAGAUUUGUUUUAUAUCACAAUCUAUUUACACUAAAGAGAGGAAAAUUUUGAAAAUUUAAUAAGAGGAGAUUAUAUAGUGACACUCCCAUUUAGUAUGCAUAUGUCACAUAUUUCACUUUCACAUAUAUGCAGGGACGUAGAAUGGAUAGCAAAUUGAGUUUGAUUCGUGGAGGUAUAUGGGAAAAGGCAUUAAAGUUUAAUAAGAUCUUUACUGGGGGUAGAUUUUCUUCUACCUUUUGUUAGGCUUCUGUCUAAUCAAAUGAUCAACAGUAAGGCAAUUAAUUAAGCCUUACUCUAUUUUCUCAUCAUUAGAAACAACAUAUAGAUUCUAGACAAGGCCAAAUUAACGUCCUUUUUAAGAUCAGAUGAUGACAAUUUUUUUUUUUUUUGAAAAGGAUAAGAUGAUGACAAUUAUUCAACAAAAGUACUUUCCCAUAUUUUUCCUUUAUACUUUAUAAUCCUUCUUGGUGCUGUGGCAACAUCCACAUAUUUUAUGAUCCAAAUGGUUUGCAAUUGAGAUAUAAGAGCAGCCGCCAACUGUGACUAGUUGGGGGCAAGGUAUUGUCAAUUUGGAGAAGGAUAAGUCUCCAUCUACCUACCCACCGAAACAGGUGAACCGGUGAAUUGCAAACCAACUCCUUAAAAGUCAAUUUAUCAAGCCAUGAUUUGCCAAAUUCGAACGCUGCAUCACAUACUCAAGGAGAGAACUCUGGCACGACAACUAAGGUUUAACAUAGGAUUGAGUAAAAUCAAAAUACAAAGUCCUAUAUACUAUGAGAAAUAUCCUAUACGAAUGACGUGAUCUGACAUCCUUACUCAAGUUUUAAAAAUUAUGUUUGUCCUAGUAAGAGAUUUUUUAUUGUAGAGUCCGAUUGACUCAUGUUAUGAGUACAAUAUACACAAAAAGAUAUAUAGUCGGUUGUAAGGCAGAUUCUCUUAUAUUUGUAUCCGUAUAUAUGCGUGAACACAAUGCAUGUUGAAGAAAGUAAUGAAUGACUCGGUUGGAAGUACUUUUAAAAUGUUUGAAAGCGUUUUUAGAAAAAAUAUUUUUGGAUUCCAAAAGCACUUGAAGUAUUCAAGUAUUUUUCUAGGACUCAUUUGCAUUUUUAUUAAAAAUUGAUUCCAAAAAUAUUUUCAUCAAAACGCUUUUAAAUUAAGAAGCCCAAAAUUAGAGUUUGGAUUGAUCAAAAAUCUUGGCCCUUUUGGAUAUAGCCUUUUAGAAAGACCGAGGACUGUAAGAGCAAUUCCACCGGAGUGGAAUUUGCCCAGCCCUCAGUCCAAAAAACGUGCCGGGCCUCUGUCAAUCAAGUCCACCCCAUGAAAUGAACUGGUACCCAGCCCGAGCUGGGCAAGAGCCCAGCCCAAAAGAGACUGAGACAAAAGCCGGGGAGGAAGCCUGGCGCGUGCGAUUCACGCCGGUUGGGCGCGAGUGCCCGACACGGUUUCAGGCCCGGGCCCGCGUGACAGGCGCACUGACUCCCCCCCCCCCGAGUUGGCGACGUGGCUUUCUUUCGGCCGUUGGAUUUCCAACGGUAAAAAAAAUUUAAAUUUUACUUUUAACAUAGACCGUCGGAUCAAAGAUCAACGGUCCACGUUUUUUUUUACAAAAAAGUAAAUUAAAAAAAAAAAAAAAGGCCCCAACGGUCAGAAAUAUGACCGUUGGCCACGUGGCAAGUCCCUGGCUCUUGGAUUUGAAUAUUUUUCAAAUCCAACGGUCCAGAUUAAUUAACUAUAUUAAAAUUCAUUAAAAAUUAUUAAAAAAUACAGAAAAAUUAUUAAAAAAUACAGAAAAUUUUAAAAAAAUUACAGAAAUAUUUGAAAAAUGUUAAUUUUUUUCCUAUAAAUACCUAACCCUCAUCUUCUACCUUUACACCACAUUCCAAUAUUUUCUACACUUUCUAUACUAUCUACAUUUCAAUAUUUUCUACACUUUAAGAGAAAAAAAUGUCUUCGUGGAAGCUCAUUGAAGAUGUUACGUUGUGUGAAUGUUGGGUUCACACUACUCAUGAUCCGAUUACGGGUAAUGAGAUGGAUAAGCGAGAAAUGUGGAGUAAAAUUACGAAAGCGUUUUGUGAUGUACAUGGAGAAAACGCCAGAACUAGUCAAGGUCUUCAAGGUCGUUGGAAAAAACUCAACGCAUCCUUUACUUGUUGGAAAAACGCCAUCUCUCAUGCUUCCGGUAACCUCCGUAGUGGGACAAGUUUAGCGGAUCAGGUGACAAUAUUUUUAUUUAUUUAUAUGCAUUCCACUCACAUUAAUAUUUUGAUUUAUUUAAUUUCGUAUGUAAUUUUUAUGUUAUUUCUUAUGUAAUUUUUAUUUAAUUUCUUAUGUCAUUUUUAUUUAAUUUCUUAUGUCAUUUUUAUGUAAUUUAUAUGCAUUCCACCCGUAUUAAUAUUUUGAAUUUAUUUAUUUGUGUUACACCCGCAUUUUUUAACACUAUGUUAUCCCACAUUUUUAUAGACACUACAAGCUCAAGCAUUUUACAAUUCAAAGAACGGGAACAAAUCAUUCACUAGAUGGAAAUGUUGGCAAAUUGUCAAAGAUUGCCCUAAAUACAAAAUUGUGGCAACUGGUCCAGAAGUUGUCAUGCACGGUAUGGGUCUACAUAGUUCUCCAGAACCAGACAUGGCCAAACAAGAAGCCGACACAUUUCAAGACACGGAAGGGAUGCCUGAACAAGUGCCCGAGACCCAACCGACUCGUCAGUCCCUCAGGCCCGUAGGUAAAAAGGCGUCAAAGAAAAAAGGUAGUUCUUCCAAGAAUGACUACACUAAAUAUAUGGAGGAACUUACUCGCCAAGGUGAACUGAACAUGGCACGAGAAAAGGUUAGAGAUGAGGAAAAAGUUGCUGCUAUGGCAGCAAUAUUAGCAGCUACUGAGGCCCGUGAUGCGGCGGCUGAGAGACAAAGAGAAGUAGUUAAUCGAGAGAACGAGCUGGUUAGAGAAGCACUUCAUCGAGAAAAUGAAUUGCUUCGAGAAGAAAGGAUGGCUCAAGCAGAUCGUGACACUAUGAGCAAGUCUCUAGUAGGACUGUCUCCGAAUUCUAAAUAUUUUUGGACAUCGGAAAAAAAAGAUGUCAUGCGAAGGAGGCGUGCAAGAGAUGCGGAAACAAGUCAAGGGGGUUCUAGCAACUUUUGUGACAACCAAGAUCCUCGCACCACAUAUCCUAGCUCGAGAGACUUUGUAUAAUUUUUAUGUAUUUUUUAUGUUUUUUCCUUCUUUUUUCUUUUGAACUUUAUUUAAUUUCUUAUGUUUUUUUCUUUUUUUAGGUUUGAACUUUAUUUAAUUUCUUAUGUAAUUUUUAUGUUAUUUCUUAUUUAUUUUUAAAACUUUAUUUAUUUUUAUUUAAUUUAUUAUGCAAUUUUAAUGUAAUUCUUUAUUUAUUUUUAAAACUUUAUUUCUUUUGUACUUUAUUUAAACACAUGAAAUAAGAUUACAUAAACUCACCAAAUAAAUUUAAAAACAAAACACACUACAUAGAAUUACAUAAACUCACCAAAUAAAUAGAAUUACAUAAACUCACCAAAUAAACUUAAAAACAAAACACACUACAUAGAAUUACAUAAACUCACCAAAUACAUAAAAUUACAUAAACUCAUUAAAUAAACUUAAAAACAAAACACACUACAUAGAAUUACAUAAACUCACCAAAUACAUAGAAUUACAUAAACUCACUAAAUAAACUUAAAAACAAAACACACUACAUAGAAUUACAUAAACUUAAAAAAAAGAUCGUGACAUUAUUCAACCACAAGCCUCAUUCUAAUUAUCUUCGCCUUCAUGCAAUCCCCACUGGUGCUCAAUCAAGUCAUUCUGGCGGGUUACGUGCCAGUAUGGCUCUUGCACAUUAGUGUAACGUUGAACGAUCAAUUCAUUGUAACGUCCAUCGCGUUCCAACGGCUCGUGUUGCACUGGAUCUUCGGUCCCAUCAUGAGCACAAUAGAUACGUGUUCUUGAGUUGUUCAUCGGAUCCGGCUCAUAUUCAUCGACGCCAUCAUAAUCAUACUCAUCUUCAACAAUCAUGUUGUGGAGAAUAAUACACGUCAUCAUGAUGGAUCGAAGAGCCUCGACAUCAAACAUUCUAGCUGCAGCCCUGAUAAUCGCCCAACGAGCUUGCAGGAUACCAAAACAACGCUCGACAUCCUUCCUACACCCUUCUUGACAUUUUGCAAAGUGUUUUUCCUUUUCAGUCUGUGGAUGUGGCACUGUUUUGACAAAUGUUGACCACCUUGGGUAAAUGCCAUCUGCAAGGUAGUAUGAUCCCUCAUAUUGGGUACCAUUAAUGGUAUAUGUGCAUCUUGGCGAGUUUCCUUGCAGCAGUUCGUCGAACACUGGGGAUUGGGCAAGGACAUUUAAGUCAUUCUGAGCUCCUGGAACACCAAAAAAAACAUGCCAAAUCCAUGUAUCAAAUGAAGCCACCGCUUCUAAAAUGAUGCUUUUGGUUCCUUUUCUGUUGCCAUAUGCUCCUUGCCACGCACUUGGACAGUUUUUCCAAGUCCAGUGCAUGCAGUCCAUGCUUCCAAUCAUGCCAGGGAAGCCUCGCAUCUCACCCUUCCUCAGAAGCCUUCGCAUGUCCCUUGGCGUGGGUGUCCGGAGGUACUCAUUGGUGUAGAGGGCUUCAAUUGCAGAGCAAAACCGCAUCAGGGACUCCAAAACAGUUAUUUUUCCCAUCCUCGCGAUCUCAUCCACUUGAUCUGCAGAUGCUCCAUAUGCAAGCAUUCGCAAGGAUGCCGUAAUUUUUUGCUCGGGAAUAAGACCUAGAACAUGAAAAGCAUCCUCUUUUUGCACAAAGUAUGAAUCAUGGUUGCAAAUAUCACUCAUGAUUUUGUUGAACAAAUUUCGUUGCAUUCUAAAACGCCGUCUAAAAAUAUGAUCAGGGAAUAUGCUAUUGGGAAUAAAAUAAUCUUCCAAUAGAUUUUUACCUCGUUUUUCCCUUUUUCUAUCGAGGUUUGCAACACGUCUUGGUUUGGCUAUCUGACCCACAGCUUCCAUGACACGGCGGGAAUGUGAGGCCUUCUACCUUCUAUGGUGAUCAUCCUCAUCCUCCUCCAUGAAGAAAGCCUCAUCUCCACCUCCACUUCCACCUUCCUCGAGAUUGGCCAAUUCUGCCUGUUGUGCCAACAACCUUUGUUGUUGCUCCUGCAACUGUUUAUACACCCUUCUUGAAGAAGACAUUGUAAUAAAAACUCAAGAUUUGAAAACGAUGAACAAGGAUUCUGAGCUAAAAAGAAGGAUUGAGCUUGGUGUGAGGAUGGAUGUAGGGAUGUAGGGUUUAUAUGGACAAAAAAAGCAAGGAUGGGGUUCUGGACAAUGUCACGUGGCACUACGUGAUUGGUUGAAAAUCUUAUCGAAAUCUUGGCUAAAUUAUUGUAAACCGGAAGUGACACGUGGCGUGUCGGGAUUGGUCGAAAAUAUUAUCGGAAAUCUAUCCACAAAAUAGUACGUUCAGAUAAUGACACGUGGCAUGACGUGAUUGGUUGAAAAUCUUAUCGAAAUCUUGCCUAAUUUAUUGUAAAACGGAAGUGACACGUGGCGUGUCGGGAUUGGUUGAAAAUCUUAGCGGAAAUCUAUUCACAAAAUAGUACGUUCAGAUAAUGACAUGUGGCAUGACGAGAUUGGUUAAAAAUCCUAUCCGAAAUUAAAACUAUUUUAUUUUCUUAUUCUUUUAGACAAAAUAAAAAUAUUUUAAAUGGGCUGGGUGCCAACGCAUUUUGUAGGGAUGGAGAUCGUUUGUGCCAGCACAUUUUUUCACUAUGUGCCAGCGCAUUUUUUUAGGGGUGGAGAUGCCUUAGCCUAUUACUGUUCAUUGGAGUCUGUUACUGUUCAUUUGAGUGGAUAAAUGCGCUGGAUGGCGCAAAGUCCUUAGGGGUGGAAUUGCUCUAACAUUUGAUGCAUGUUGCACCAAAAGGUCCCAACCAAAGCAUGUAACUGUAACUACCAGAGUGAGUGGGAGGAGGGUCCAAACUUAUUGCUCAAAUAAAUCAAAUGUUACACUAAUAAUAAACAUCUUGCUUUCCCUCGUACCCAAUUAAAUUCUCCUUUCUUUUUUAAAAGGCAUAUGCAAAGUAAGAACUCAAGCUCCCUUAACCACUUCACAAUAAUGGUCAUUAUCUCAGUAUCAAAUGCAUGCUGGCUCCACUUUUUGAACCUUCUCAUACACAUACAUAUAUAUAUUAAAUGUGAGAGAAAUUUACAUGUAACGUGUUACUUAUACAUUUUUUCUUAUUGAUCUCUCUCAUCAUGUGUUAACUUUUUAUCUCUCAUCAUGAACGGUUAGCAAAUAAGAUAUUGCCCAAAAUGACACGAAGAAAGAAUGAAGAGGUAUGAACAGAAGACCAAUCACAUGAGCCCUCCAGAAAACUUAACCUAACUAGCUCUAUAUUCCAUUAGAAGUUUCAAGACGCAUUUGAAUCUUAUGAUCUUUGUGUGUUUUUCCAAGCACUUCUGGUAAACUAACGCAUAGACAGACAACAACAUCGUUACUCAUGUAGGAUGUUCCUCAAGGGUCGGGACAGCUACAAAUGCCGUUACAAGCACACAUGCAAUAUCGUGAGUGCUCAAAUGAUAUGACAUCUUUUGGAACUAUGUAGGUCAGAAGAGUUAAAAGAGUUUGAUAGUUUGUCUAACUAUGUUCGGACUGAGACGUCUCAACUGCAAACAUAAUAUCAGGUGUGAAUUUAAACACGAAGACCCAUUGUAAUUUAUUUUUUUGCCUCAAACUCAAAUUAUGUACAAUGAGAGUAUCAAUUAUUGCAAACAAUAUAGAAUGAUCAUUAAAAACCCAACCUAACGUGAUGAAUGAGAUAUUACUCACAUCACAUGACUGGAAAAAAAAUAGUAUUAUUCCCACAUUUAUUUUAUCUUUCACACAAUCUUGUUAAUUUUUGUUAUUGAUCUGCUUCAAUUCAUUUGAUCCAAUAGCCGAAAAAUUGAGAAGAGUGUGUGAGAAAUAAAAAUGAAUAUGCGGAUGACAUCAUCCAUGUAUUGCUAAGAAAUCUGAAUUAUUAGAUAGUAUAUGUCGAAUGAUUCCAAUCAAAAUCUGAUCAUCAUCUAACCUAAUAUAAGCCCAGAAAAUUUCAUUAUAUUAAGUUGGCAAGGCAUUUACAUGUGAUACAAUCACAACCCAUUAUCUGAAACUAAAGAGAAAAAAACUUUUAAAGCCUUCACUGACCUGGAUCCUGGCCAUCACAGCCUUGGUGCAUUCCAGAUAGCAUCAACUGCUCUCCUCUUCUGAUCUUCCUCGUGUCCCAAAUUGCCCCACAAUAUACGGUCACUCCUUUUGUUCCAACACAUCAUACUUAUCCAUGAAGGUAGGGCACGGCCACCCAUCAGUUCAAAUGUUCCUUGACAAAAUUAGGGUUUUACCAAACUUAGGGUUUGAUAAAAAAGAAAGGUUCGAUUUUGUUUUUGUCCUUUUCACAGGGGAUUAUCACACACCAAAGAGAGAUCAAUGUAUGUUGCAACCCAAUGCCAUUUCGGAAAAAGCAAGCUAUGUUACAUGAGCUUUUGGGCACCAGUACUGUGUAAGAGCAAGUUCUACCCACAAUUUCGUAUCAAAAUAUCGUGAAGUACGUGAAAACAGAGUCAGUAACCUUAAGGACUGCAUCCAGAUUCGUAUAGGAAGUUUCAAACAUAUAUUCGUUUUUCACUAGACUAAAUUUCUUAGGGUUAACACUUCUUUUUAAUAAUGUGAAAGGGAUUGUGUGUGUCGAGUACGAAGGCACAUUGGAUGAAAGCCUGCAACUAUGCAUUCGAGUUAUCACUUUUUCAUGCAGGCUGGUUGUCUUUCUCGAUUGGGUUUUGGGUGAAGUCCAAGUGUCCAUGGAUGUAAGCUUUUAGUCACAGAAGUUGGGCUGAGUCAUUCUCUCUGGCCUUGGCCCGUGCGACUGCGCACUCCCCCAAAACCAAAAAGCACGUCCCCUUGGUCCUUGGUCACAUAAUGCCAUCACAAUGUUCACUACUACCUCUUUCUCCCCAUAAAAUCAAACCGGCCUCUCUUCAUAAAAGAAACAUCACCUUUUUGCCACAAUGUUCAAAUCAAAUGUUCCAACUCAAAAAAGAAAAAAAAAAAAUGUUAAUUAUAAAAUUCAUAUUUUUAAAAAUGUAAGUUAAACGUAAAUUUUUACAUCUUAUAUGUGCAUCUUUUAUGGUUAGAUACUUUUUAUAGUUUACCCAAUUAUCUAUUCUUCGAAACGUUUAAUCGGUAGAUUUUUAGUCAAAUCUACAAUAAUUACAAUCUAACAAUUAAGAUUCAAGAGUACUACAUAAUUUUUACUCUUGACUGUUCAAAUUUUUAGCAGAAAGUCGAUCCAAAUUUCAGAGUUUUCAAAUGACGUGUGUAAUGAAUUUACGACGUACUUCAGAGUAUUGAAUGAGUUAUUUUAAAAAUAAAAAUUCAAAAUUUAACAAUAAAUGAAAAAGAAAUACCUGAGGUUUGGUCAUUUUCAAAGUUUUGUUAUGUUUUGAGUGUUUGAGAAGCAGGCAAUGAAAAGUGGUAAACUCCAAAAGAGAAACCAGCUACAGCUGCAGGAGCGGUCCACUCCUCCCAUAACCAUCUCAUGCCUCCCAGUUUCCAGCUUUUCCAGACUGACAGUUACACGCGUCAUCCAUCCACAGCAUACACAUGGCACAAUGGGUACUUGUCAUAUCUUUUUUAUCCUUAUCUCAUUACAGUUAGACAAUCUCACAGUAAAUAACAAUACUAGUAAGCCACACGGUAAAAAAAUUCCUAUAAUUACAUAUAUUUAUUCAACAUUGCUAAUUCUGGACGGGGACUCUCUUCGAAUUUCAUUAUAGGUAACUCAAAGAGCAUGUAAUUUGAAUCGUUCAAAUUGAGUCUAACUGUACUUAUUAGUUGAUUCUACUGACACACUACAUACAAACUAAAAGCUCGAAUCUUAUUUUUGCUCUCUUGAACAGUCCGAGUUAUUUGGUUUGGUUUAAGACUAUGAGAUUCGGUGAGGAUUCAAAUUCAAAAAAAAUUAAACCCCCCCAAAAAAAAAAGAAAACCACUUGACUUGGAGAAUAAUUUUGGAUUUUAUUAAUUUACAAUGCAUUUAUAAUCUUUUAUUAUUUUUUAAAUUUAAUUAAACAAUCUAAUUAGAAAACUUUGAUUUAUGAUUGAAGGAAUUUGAAUGUGUGACGACAUUGUCCAAUCAUACUACAAUAUGUGACCUUUCGGAUUGGCCUUUUGGAGUGGUUGCACACAAAAAAAUCAUUAAAUGUGUCACACCUUAAAAUGUCCACAGUGAAACGGACACAGAGGCACCACUUGCAGAGAAAUAGAGAGGCAUGCUUGGCCAUGUCAGAAAGUGCCCCAUCAAAUUGUUCACCAAUUCGUAUAUGAAAUGGGCCACAUCCCCACAUGCCAACAAAUAUGUUACAUUUGUUCUAAAUUAUAAUUCAUAUAUCAAUAGGGCCACAUCCCUUAGCAUUUACCAAUAACAUUUGUAUUUAUAUAUCUUCUGUUGUCUCCAUCACUUGUAGUUGUUGAGAUUCGAGUUUAAAGUGGACAUGUAUUGUAGUGAGUUCAAUAUUAGAUUGUUCAUAUUUUUUUAUAGUAGCGUAACUUUAUUGUAUAUGAUCAGAAUUUUAUAAUAGCAUAACUUUGUUGCAUGCGAAUCAGUUGUAAAAAUAAACUUGUGAACAAAACAUGACAAACCAAAAGAUAUGACGUCUCUUGUAUCUAUCCAAAGGAUGAGAGGGCAGAAGCAUUUGGACGAUAUCCGCUCCGACUCUGAGCAAACAUGCCUCAACAAAUUAUUAUUAAUUUGGACUAUUGAUUGGUUGAUUGUUUACAGAUUUCACAAAAUAACAUUCAAAAAGUACAAUUGGAUACAAACACAAGUCAAAAUUCAAACACAAAGAUUGUAGGGGACACACAACUAAACGAAUUGAUUACCUUAAUUAAGUUUAACCCCAUUUGUUUGGAGGGAAGGGAAGAGAGGAGCUAAUCCCCCACUUUGUCCCUGUAAAUAAAUGCAAAAAGGUGUACUAAAACGGAAUUUCAUAAUUUCUCAAAAGCUACAAAAGACCUCGAGGCAUAUGGUCGUGGAAAAUCUUGUUGACUCACAGUCACAGUGUAUCUGCUUCGACCUCACCAAAACCUGAGAAUUGCUCUCUCUCCCUCUCUCCCUCUCUCUCUCUCUCUCUCUCUCUCUCUCCUUCCACGCUCGCUCCGGCCUUCAUUGUUGGUUUCAUCUGGUAUGCAACAACCAUCUUUUUCAGCUGUCUUUUUCCAUUUUAUAUUCUGUUUGGUUCCCGAGAAAAUGUUGGAAAACGGGCAGAAAUUUUGUUGGGAAUCUUUGAACAGCCAUUUUGUUUACCAUAUAUAAUUUUGUAGUAUCGAAAACCCACAUACGUGAAAUGGGUUUUAAGUUGUUUCUUGAAAUGGAUGUUCUGUAUUAUUUUCUCUGCUUCCUAAAAAAAAUUGAAAAAAAUAUGAUCUUUUCACUGCUUCUUCUUCCUCCAAGUUUUUUCACAGAAAAAUUUGAGCCUGGAACACAUUUCAUUUUCUUUCUGUGAUUUCAAAAGUGAAAGUCGGUGGAAUAUGUGAUUCUGUAAUCUGGGUAUAUUUUGGUUUGAGUUUUGAGGCUCUGUUUGGUUGCUGAGAAAAUCGAUGGAGGGAAACUCUGGAGCUAAGCUAUACAUUUUCCUGUGCUCACUGUUUUUGAAGCAUUAAACUUUCUUUUUGUAUCACAUUAAAAUAAAAAACUUUCCCUUUUUCUACUUUGUUCAUCUGAUUGCUCUGCAGCCAAAAGAGCAUGAUUUUUCUCUUCUAGUUUUGGGACUGCUUAGUCAGUGAAGCAAUGGUUUCAUCUUUUUGCUUGAUGGGUUUGUUUAAUUCCAUGCAGAAUUCUGUUUGUGGGUUUUUGGGGAUUUCUAGAUAUGUUUGAUUAAUUGAUGCUAUUGCUUUGAUUGUUAUUGAUAUUAUUUGCUUGCAUUUCCCAUUCCCUAUGAUUUAUUUGGAAAUGUAAAUUUACCUUUUGCUUCUGUGAAUUUUGGUAGGAAUCAAUUAACAUUACUGCAGAUACUGCUUGAAUUAGAUUCUGCUUCUACUUAUGGAGUCUUGGAGUUUUGGUUCAGAAGGGAAAGGGUUUUUGUUUCCGGAAGAAAUGGAUAUACCAACUGAUGCAUUUUCAAGGAGUACUAGGAAAGCAUUGCUAGAAUUGGAUAACAAAACUUGCUUUAAUUUUGGUAAGGAAUCAGUUGAUAGCGUGGGGUUCAUGGAUUUGGGAUUCCCUGAUAUUAACCAAGGAGUGGAAAUCUUGAAUGGUGUGAUUGGUAACGAUUCUAGUUAUAAUUCUGUAGCUUCACCUUGUUGUUUGAUUAGUUCAAGUUCAUCUUUUGGUGAUGGGGAAUCUGGGUCGAAGUUUUCGAGCCCUGUGACUGAAUCUAAUAGCAUGGAUUCAUCAAUGAUUGCUUUGAAGCUAGGGGGGUUUGCUGAUAGCAGAGGUGGGCAGAACAGUCAGCAUUCGAUUUCUAGAGAGAGGUCGAAAAGAGCUGGCAAUGGCAUGAGGAGUUCAUGCUAUCAUGCUCCAACCUGCCAAGUCCAUGGUUGUAACAUGGAUCUUACCUUUUCAAAGGAUUACCACAAGAGGCAUAGGGUUUGUGAUGCUCACUCCAAGACUGCCGUAGUGAUUGUUAAUGGAAUCAAACAGCGGUUUUGCCAGCAGUGCAGCAGGUUUGGUUCUGUUUUUGUUUUUUUUGAAAUUUGCUUCUGCAUUCACUUUUACUUUACUUGUUCUUAUGUGUUUGUAGUAACUUAUCAUGGCAUAUAUCAUAGGAAGAUUAGUAUUAGUUCAUUUCAUAAUUUUGUAUCCAAAUAAACCAACGAGUCCCAAUUGUUUAUUUUCGAGGUUAAGUGAUGAAUUUAUUUGUUGACUAUGCUUUAUGAGGAGUAAAAAAUGACAAGAAGUAUAGAUGAAAUGUGAAAAAGAGUCGAGGAAAAUUAUGUUGCAGAUUCACCAUUCCACCACAGUAUUGCUCUUAGGAUUUGGCACAUAGUAGGAUCUCAUGCGCAUGGUGAGGGAUCGAUUCCCAGACACUCCAUCUGAUAGUUGAAACUCGAAGAGAUACAAAUUUCCUCUUCUUUUCGAUUCAACUUGAGCUUCAACCUCGACCUUUAUAUAACCUUUACGAGAUUCCAUGCUUUUUCUUUUUCUAAUUCCUUAGUCAUACUCAAAUGCAUCCUAAGACAUUGAUUGGACAGUAAUAUGAUCUUCUCCCAGUCCAAAUAUGAAUCUCUCUAACCUCUACUCAUCUAAGAUUCCGAGUGAUAUGAACUGAAUGAGGUUUUGGGCUAUAGAAAGUUGCAAGUUUAUCUGCUUCUUCAACUUUGACAUGGUUUUUAUUUACAUGUGAGUCGUGUGACAUUGAAUACCAAAGUGCUUAAUUGUUACAAGAGGUUUGAAGUUUGAACAAUGUCAUUUUUCUGUGAUUAGGUUUCAUCUUCUUGCUGAAUUUGAUGAUGUGAAGCGCAGUUGUCGUAGACGCCUAGCUGGCCACAACCUUCGCCGAAGGAAGCCUCAACUAGAUACCCUCGAUUGUAAACCGCAUAAGUUGAUUCGGUCAUGUGAAGGUAUGAACACCCUCAUAUAUUCAAUCUGCUUGUGAAACGCCUCACACUAACCCGCCUGAAUUUACAUUUUCUUUUAAAAUAUACACCGUUCUACUAUAAAUCGGCCACAAUGCUUCCGAAGCUAGAACUUUGACAAAUUUUUUACCGAUACAAUUUUCGGUAAGAAGGAAAAAGAACUGGAAAAUGAUCCGUAUUACUUUUGUUAGAAGGGACUAAAGAGCUUUAGCAUUUUCCUAAGAUUGCAAGAUUCUAGAACCAUGUUUGAUGCAUAUAUUUUGAUAAAAAUUGUGAUGGAACAGCCUUCGUGCCUGAGCAUGUCUGUGGCUAGAAUUUAGAGAUAAGAAAAGAUAACUUUUAUGCUAUUCUUUUCUCCCACUAUGUUUCCAUCUUUCGACCAGGCCAUGUCUUUACCUAUAAUAUGCUAUUUUAAAAAACCAACUUUUGAGCUAUCAAGGCUAAAAGGGUGUGGCCACAUCAGCCACCCACAGAGGUUCUCUCAGUUCUUUCUGUUUUUGUAAAGUUUAUUUUGGAAGAGAAGCAAUACAAACCCACUUAGAAUCCACUAAGCACGCACUAAUUGGCAUUAAGGAUUAAGGCGUGUGCAAACAGUAUCGUUCUUAAAACAUUCGGUAAGAACAAACAAAAGGCACUUGUUUUUCAGGUGAAUAUAUGUUUUCUGUCAAAGAAUCCACAUUCAUGGUAAACGAAUCAUUUAUAAAAUUAUCUAUCGUAAAACACUCAAAGUAAUAUGUGAUCUGUAGAACUAAUUCCAUGAUAGGAUUACUUCAUGAACUAUGUUUUUUACAUUUAGCUUUUACGUCGUAUUUGCAGGAAACGGGUAUAUGGGAACUUCCUUUUCGAAGGGAACACCCUUUGUUUUUUCGGAUAUACUUCCAGAUGGCUGCAUCCUGUAUCCAGAAUAUGAAGAAGCUAACCUAUAUGGACAUGUCAAAUCUGAAGACAGGUCUACCUACGGCCAGUCUGUAACACCUAUACCAAACAGGCAGUUUAUUCCAAAAUCAUUCCGCCAUCUGCCUGGCCUUGGAGAACAGCAUGCUCCGGGAAUUCUCUCGUCAGGAAAUGAAUACUCUGUCUUUGAUACAGCAUCAACCGCUGAGAAAGCAUUUGAGACUCCAUACUCGAGCUGUGCUCUCUCUCUUCUGUCAGCUCAAUCGCAUAACUUAUCAAGCAAUUCAGCCGGAGUUCAAGUGCCUAGCCCCCUGAUAAAUCAAAGAGCCCAUCGCAGUUUUGGUCAACUUAAUGAAAAGACUUUGAGGGUAAACUCCAUGGAAAAUUGUGGACGAAACAGGUCCUACCCGUUUAGUAUGAAAUCUAUGGGAGCCUAUCAUAUGGAAUCAAUCAAAAUUUCUGAUUCUAGUCAUGCUGCUGACUUCCAACUUCACACAGACAGGGCUUUGCAUGUGUCAGAUUGCUUAAGUGACAAGUAUUGUGUUUCUCCUGAACGCGGAACAACUUUUGAUUUGCGGCAAUUGUCAUCACACCUUCAAAGAGUGGAGCAUGAGAGAAACUUUUUUCAAGUAAAGCAGGAAAAUGGAGAAUUCUACUGUUUCCCGACGGGCGUGCAAGCAACAAUGUGAUUAUGUGAGUGUUUCCACUAAUUAAAAUCUGUCCUUGUUUCUUUUAUCACACACUGUGAAAGUGGGAGUGCAUUCCCAGCUUGAAAAGGUCAUCCGAAAGCGAGUAGCAGCUUAAUGGAGAUAACUGUUGCAUAUAUUAGCGAUGAAAUAAAAACCAAGAAAUUGCUGGCUAUAUCUCCGCGUUUAUAUAACUUUAUGCGCACGAUAUUCUAGCGGAUUUGAUUAAAAACGGUGUUCGCGAUUGUGCAGGUUGCUGGAGGCUGGAGGCAGUUUGGAUCUUCAGCAGAAUUCCAACAUUUCCAUACAGAGGCUGGUAGAAACUUUAGAUACCAUUGGCAGUAACACUCUAUUCCGAAAGGAAAAUAUAGCUAUCUAGUUUUGAUGUGGUAAAAGCUCUGUAAGCUGGAUUUUUUGUAAGUUGCUGUAGACACCUUUCUGUUGCGUUAGUUAUCUGCAAACUUUAUGGUAAUCCAAUGAUUUAAGAUAUUAAAUUACACUAUCAUUGGUAUUGGUUCAUUUUUCUGGGAUGGGGUUCAAAUUACACGCGCUCUCUCUCUUGGGCCAUAUGGAUAAGCAUGAUUGAUGUUUUGGAAGAUAUCAUGCCCGUCCAACGACAAUUCUCAGCUGCAUCCGGGAUAUAAUCGUACAUUAGUAUCCCUUUGAUCACUUAAUAUGAAAUGGAGAAAAUUUUCAUCGUGACGGGGGGAUACAGUACGUGUUUUUAUGCAAGUGGUGGGAAAUUUUAUUUUUUAAGUUGUUAACCCUUUUAACACACAUAUCACAUCAUUUGUAUAGAGACGCGUGGUGUACCAUUCUGUGUUUCGGUCACACUUAAAAAAUCUCUCCAUGAAAUGGGGGUAUAAUCUAGUUACACAAAGAAUUACCCUUAUCAAGGUGAGGGUUUUUUUUUUUUUUUUUUCUCUGUGAUAAAAGGAAAGGUUCUUUCGUGCAACUAAGAUGCAGUCUCAGUUGCCUCAUCGUCUAAUAAAUAUUGUCACGUAUUUAAAAAAACAAUGUUCAUCUAGUAGACACUGCUACAUGAUGAAUUGGUGACAUAUGUGAAUCUUAAUCUCAGGUUGAUUAACUUCUUUAUUGUUGGUGUUGAAAUUAUGAAUCACACAUUAGGAAAGCAAAAGAGACUUUGCAUGUGCUUAAGACUAAUUAGCUUUAUGAUGCAACUAGGGAUGACAAUAGUUCGGUUUGAGGACGCAAAUGCUAUAUCCAUCCCCAUAACAAACAAAAUUAACCAUAUUCAUAACCGCAAAUUAAUCAUCAGGUAUUAUCCAUAACCAUACCAACCGGAUAACAGAUUCCCCAUCGGGUUACAAUUAUAUCCAUCUUCAUCAAUACAAAAAAUCUAAUAGUUUAGUUGACGCAUUAUAAUUUAGUAAAUAUUAAUUUUGUCAUUAAAUAUUUGAUAUAUAAUUCAAUGAUUCAAUGAACGGAUCUUGUGGAGUAUAAAAAUUGAAGUUAAACAUUGAUGAUGUUGGCGAACUUUGAUAUUUUUCGUAAGUACCAUUGAAUUCUCAUUGAUUUUGACUCAAAUUUUUUUAACUUUCUCACAAAAUGCAACUCACACAAUGCAACUUUUCUAUUUUAUGGAUUCAAUAAAUAAUUAAUAUACAUACAUUUAUUAUAUUAUAUAUAUAUAUAAUAUAUUAUAUUAUAUAUUAUUUGGGUGAAAUUCGGGGACGAAUACGGAUUGGGGACCUCUAUAACCAUAACCGAAUAAUAAAGGGGUGUGAUAUCCACACACCCAUUUUACUUCUCACACACCUUUUUAAUUUUCGGCCGUCGGAUCAGAUGAAUUGAAGAAGAUCAACGGACAAAAAUUAUCAAGGGGUGUGUGAGAUGUAAAAUGGAGUGUGUGGAUAGCACAUUCCAAUAAUAAAUUCAUGGUUUUUCCCCAUAUUCAAAAUAUAUCUAAAUUUUCAUAUCCAAAUCCAAUCAAUUCGGGCGGUUAUCCAUGGUUAUCGGGUUUAACGGUUAGAUUUGUCAUCCCUAGGUGCAACCUCAAUUUUCUUCAUGGUAUCAAAGUAAGUUGUCUCACGCUUAAAGUCCAACAGUCACACAUGGUCUACAUCACCCAUUUUGUGUUAUUUACGUACUAUAUUUGAAAAUUCACUAUACAUACUACUUCUGAUGUUCAAUUAGUAUUAUUGUUUAAAAGUUGAUUAGUCAAUACAGUUCUGCUGCAGCAGCAUGCAUGAAUGUUUUAGUCAAUCGAAUGAUCAUUUUGAUGUCCACUAUAGUUCUACAUUUUUGCAUUAUCCCAAAACCCUAGAAUUUGUGAUUACAGAAGUGAAAGGGAAAGUAAAAAAAAAUACUCCACUAUUGGUGUUUUCCAGGGAACCUUGAUCACUUCCAAUUAAAGCCAAAAAGGUGGGAAUGGCCGACGCUCUUAUCCACCUUUCAAAGUUGAAGACUUGAGACCCACCAACAAUUAGUGCUCACUAUUCCCUAAUCACUACUUUUAAUUAAUUAUAUUUAUGCAUUAAUCAUGGAAUGCAAUCAUCCUUGAAAGUUACAAAAUGCUGCUGCCAUCAGACGCCACUAUGAGCCUGCUUAUUUUAUGCAGCAAUAUAUGUGUAUAUAUAAUCCAUACGUACAACUUGGAGAUAAAAGUGUGAAGUGCUUUGUCUUUGCAUUGGACAUGAUUAAAUCAUUAAUCUUUAGAUAGAGGAGGAAGAUUAGUGUGCAUGUUUGUCUGCACGUGUCAAAUCAAGCACCUAAUCCAAAUGUCAUGUCAAUGUUGUAGCAAUCAUUUGACAUCAGGAAUGACGUGGUUUAAAGCAGAAAGGGAUCAUCUCCGGAUCAUUUCCUCCUAAUUCAUCAAAUCAAAGAAUCUGAACCAUUGAAAAUUGAUCUAACGGAUGAAGUUAUUAUAUCUUUUAAAGUAGGUCAUGUUUGUAGCUGUUAGAUCAAAUUUCAAUGACACAGAUUAUCUGAUUUGAUGAAUUAAGAAGAAGGAAUCGAGGAUCCCUUUCCGUUUAAAGCCACUUCCACCUUGAUGAACUCUUUUUAAUUAAUCGAACCUUGCAAUGUAAACAUUGUUUUAUAUUUUGAGGGAUGUUUGAAGUUCAAAUAUCUAAUCUAUAGUUGACAUAAGUUAUUUUGAAUCCAAAAGAAAGCCGAAGUACAAGAAUCCCUGCCUGCUAAGGGGAUUGAGAUGAAGCUAUUGAAAAGCCCACUAUAACCAAUCUGUAAAUGGUGAGGCCUUUUUGCCAAACGAUCAAUUUAAAAAGAAAAGUACUUGUACUCAUUAAGGACGUGCUUUUACUCUCACAAAAGCACUUUCAAUUACACUUGUUUCUCAAUACUGUUGCAUAAGAAGGUUAUGAGCUGAAUAUUAUGAACGAUAAUUGUUGUAUAACAGAAUAAUUCUAAGAAAAUAAUUCAUCAGUCUUGCACAUCACAUAUCUUUUCUAGGAUUUGGUAUCAGGGUUUCAUGAAAAUAUUACCAGAGAUUUGAAAACGCUAUAUAUAAAUAUAUAACAAUCGGAAACUAUAUAAAAUGAGAAACUAAUGGUGAAACUCAAAACGUUAAAUUAAUAAAAGCAUCAAAUAAUACAAAAUUAGAAUACUGAUCAGUCAUUCUGAUUCAAUACAAAUUACCAUACACCAAUCAAAGUACUCUUAGCACGGAAAUUAAGUUCACUAACAAAAGAAACGAAAACUAAGGAGAGUCAAAGUUCUGAACACGAACUAAACGAGAGUACUUAAUUAAUUGCACGCACGCUGAACUGCUAAUGAGGGAUGAAGUAGGUAGGAAGCAGCUGCGGAUAUGGUUAUUUAAGAUCUCCAUGAUACCCAUGUAGUCAUGGCGUUUUAGGGUUUUGGCAGCACGUAGCUAGCAUGUUCAUUCCUGCAAAAUCCGAGCCCUUGAAAGCAUCAAUCAGAGAGGCAAAUUAAACCCAGCUUGCUUCAUGCCACGAAAAAUAGAAAGUGAAAAAAAAAAAUCUAAGAUGAACAAUAUUCAAAAUAUAAACAGAAAAGCAAGGUCUUGUCUCUUACGUUGUUGUUGCUGCAGCUCCCAGAACCUGAUCCUGCAGACGACUGACUGGGAAUGUACCUAGCCCACUAUAAUACAAUAAUAUAUAUUGAUACAGCAAAGUUAGAAUAUUUUUUAAAUUAUAAACACGACUUUUGGCAAAAAUCUUGUACUUGAAACCCUAGGCAGCAGAAAAAAGGAACCUUACAUUUUUGGCUGCAGCACUAAAAGCCUCACGAUGUGGAACCUCUGGGUUGGCUGCUUUGAUUCGCUUGAUCUCAUCUCUAUCAACAAAACAAAGAUCGAUGUAUUAAUUUGGUUAUUUGUGAUAUCGAUCUGCAUAAUUUUGUUAGAGUUUUCGAUUAUGGUGACAUGUAUGAAGCUUAAUGAUUAAUUUCACGCUUUACAUGCAUCUUUGAUUCACGAAUAAAGCCUCCCUCGAGGUUACUUCAAAUGUCAAUGUGAAAGAACAAAAAAAGUAAAUUAACAGCACAAUAUAAUAUUUAAUUAAUCAAGAUGGCUUGGCAUGGAUCUCCUUACUUCAUGAACCGAUUGUAAGCAGAUGGAAGUCUGUGUUUCUUCUCAGGUGCUGCAAAACAAAAAACAUAUCGACAUGUAAUUUAUGAGCAGAUUGACCAUAAAUCCGUAGAAGAGUAACAACUCGUUUAAUUAUAUUUAAAUCUAGCUAUCAUUAAAUUAAGAGAUUGACUAAUUAAGCCUCGUGAAAUAUGGUUGUAAACUUGUCCGUACGUUUGACAACAAAGGGUGCUUUGGGGGAUGGUGGGUUGCCUGAUACAGGUGACGACGAUGAUGAGGAGGAUUGGCCCUUCCUGAAGUCAUUGCAACAGCCCGCCUGCUUCUCAUUCAGAUAUUGAUCACUUUCCUUAGUUAGCAACACACACAAAUAGAGAUAUGGUUUCUUAAUUAAUUAAUUUCUUCUGGUUUCUUAUGCACACAUAUAUAUAUAUAUAUAUAUAUAUAUAUAUAUAUAUAUAUAGGUGGCAAUAUCACUAGGGCUUAUACUAUACUGUAGGAAAACCCUAGAGAGAUAUAUCACUAGUUAGGAACAUAUGUAUAAGAAACUUUUACCCCAACGCAGGUUUGGCGUUCACAUAUUAUAGUAGUCUACAUAAAUGUAUACAUAUAUUUAGUACUGAUUAUGUAUAUGUCAACGGAUGUGACUACCAUCUAUGGUUUUGUGUAUAUAUAUAUGAUCGAGAGAAACUAGCUAGCAGAGUAAUUAGUAAUAUUUACCUGAAGAGUCAAGGAGGUAGGGUGAUCAGGAAGGCAUUGCCCUUCGAGUGGGGAUCUGGUGCUGAGAAAGGAAAGGUUACUGCAAUGGCCACAUUUCACAGUUAUUGUGUCCAUCAACCUUUUGCAUGGAAGCCCAACCUACAGAAACAUCCAAUUAAUUAGUUAAAAACAAGUUUCUUUUUCUUUCCAAAACUAUAUAUAUAUUUACAAACAACAAACAGCAGCUGGCAGAUUAGAGAAGAGAGAAAAGUAAAUAAUGUUAGGGCAUGAUUCUGAAAGUGAUACUUGUUGAUAGAGAGAGAAUGUGGGUUUUAUUUUAAUUGGAGCUCUUCAACAUAAAUCUAAAGGUGCACAACCUAUAUAUAUCAUGCAUAUAUAUAUACACACACACAUGCACACAUAGGUUUGAUUACCGCAAGGACAGUGUUGCAGAAGUUGCACCGAACAUAGCAAAGGUUCUCAGAUGGCUGAUUAAUGAAGUCCAUGGUAACUUUCUCUUCCAUGCUCAUGUUGGAAAGAAAAAGAAAAGGCUACAGUUCGAAGAUGAAGAAGAAGAAGUAGAGGAGGCUGUAAGAUGAAAGUUUGGGGUUUGUGAUGAUGUGAAGGGCUGAGUAGGAGGCACUUAUAGAUUAGGACAAGUGGCUAGGUGGAUAGCGUCAAAAGGAAAUCCAAAGUUACUAGUCAUCAACAUCGUACUUCUGCUAGCUGCACUUAAUUGCAAUGCAGAACUCAGUUAGACGUACGUACGAACCACAAACUUUGCUAAAAAGACAUUGACUCAACAUCUCGCCAUUUUCUCGAGAAAAUAUCCCAUUUGUGCUCCAAUUUUCUUUUACCUUCUUCCCAAGUAAAUUUGGUUGGAAAAAAUUAACUAGCAAUUUGGUUUCUUUUUAAGCUAGAGUAUUUUUGGUAGGAUAAUGCUUUUGUCCCUUCACAUGACUUAUUUGUCCUUCCACUUAUGAUUAUUCAAUUUGGAGAUAUUUUAGUCACUAAACAAAUUGACUAUUCAUCAUGAGGAUGCUAAUUGUUACUAAAAUCGUUGAUUGGUUUAACACGUAAGGAUGACUAAACAAUCUCGAAAUUGAAUGAUUUUUUACAGAUAUGAUAUUCAGAAAUGAUAAUGACAAUGAACGGUUCCGAUUAUGAUGUUGGGAUGGUAAAAGUUUGUUAAUUGUAAGUGGGGGACAGAUAAUUAAGUCCCAUGGGCGGUCGGUCACAAUUAUAGUAGGUAUUUAUGUAUUAUGUAUUACGUUAGAGUAUUAUGGUUUUCUAGUGAGAUAAGGACUAUGAUUCUUUCCCUAUUUUUAUAUUUCUUGUUUGUUUUAGAAUUAGGUCUUUAUAAACACAGCUCUUGUAACUCAAUAUAUAUAAGAUACAGACAAAUUGAGUUAUGGAGCGACAAAUAUGUAGUGUUCUUCUUUCUUUUUUAGUCAAUGGAAUAAUAAUUUGAGUUUCUAAUCGAUUUUUACUUCUUUGUCUUGUUGUUUGAUUCUUUUAACAAAAUAGUGGUGAUGUUCAAAACUUCAAAUCUAUGGCAGAGGUUUUGGUAUCCCGUUUAUUGUCUUCAUAUAUUACUUUCAGUUUAAGUUCAAUUACUCGUUGUAGACUUGAGAGAUUAGUCAAGCUACUUAGGACAAUUUGCUACUCUAUAUGCACUUAAUUAAGUUCAAAUCUAUUUUCUUGUGGUUAAUUAAUUUACAUAAACUUAAUGAAGAUUACCAGUGAAAAAUCAGUAUAUUUGUCCAAUUUUUCUUUUUUAUUUCCUCAAGCCGUCAACUAAUCAUCUAUUGACUGAUGCCUUAGCCAAAGAAAAAAACAUGAUUGAAUGCAUACAUACAGACGGACGAAUUAACAUAAUAAAGAUUCUUGAUAUUGAUAUGAAUAUAUAAUUUGAUUAUAUAUCAUCAUAACAAAGAAAAAAAACAUUAGUGCAGGGUAUUGAUAGUGAAUUGUUAUUGGCACUCCAAAAAUCUCAUUCUACGUACACUUCAAACUUUCCAUAUUUGGAAAGAAAAAUAUACUUGUAAGGAGUGUAGAAUGAGAUUUUUGGAAUGUUAAUAACACCUCCCUAUUGAUAUUGUUUAUAAUAUAUAUAUAUAUAUUAUUUACCCUGCAUAGUGCAGGAUCCCAUGUCCCAUCCAAAAUAUUGUUACACACCAAGACCACCAGAAAAACAAUUUGCAAUAGAACAUUUAGCCACUUUUUGUGAUAUACCCUAUUGCCUAUUAACAUCUAUAGGAGCUAGGACAAUUCACAAAAUGAAAAUCUUGACGGGAAGUUUGCUUUUUCAAUUUGGGGUUUAUAGUAGCCUUAGUAGGAAUUCAAAUGAAAUUGGACAUUUUUCAACAAACAGAAAAAAAUUUCACAAGGGGGAUAGAUAAUUCUUUCCGAUAAGAGAGUGAUAACUAGUUGAUGAAGAUUAAACAUAAUAUAUAUAGAGGGUUAAGAUUCGGGUCCACACGUUUUUGUCAUAUAUUUUCACACACUUUUUUAUGGGGGUCACUCCGUAAUGUAUUUUAAUUAUCCAACCGUUUAUCUUUUAUGUCUUACCUCAAAUAUCAUGUCUAUAAAAAUUCACCAAAUCCGAAACUAUAUAACCAUUGGAUUAAAUUUAGUGUUUUUUUUGUAUAACCGUAUUCGUCCAUUUUCUUCAGUACAAAUAAAUGUAAUAAUGAUUUUGAAUUUAUCUAAUUUUUUUAAGUGAUGAUCUAUUAAUGAUAUACUAAAAUAUAGACAGUUCAAAUUGAAAAACACAUUAGGGAGUGGGUCCACAAAAUGGAUGUCAAAGAUGUGUGUUCCCGUAUCCUAACACACACUAGAAAUUUCAUUUUACACUCCAUACCAGUGUAUUUUGUUAGAAUCCUAAUUGGACUUAACGAAAAAGGAUAAAGGAAAAUAUUAUGUUUUAAAAUACAAAACAAAUUGCCAUUUAGUAUUAUUGUAUAAUGGUAUUCCUCUUCACUUGUAAGUGAGAGGUCUUAUAUUCGAUUCGUCAAAGACGAAUUUGAACCACAUUAUUGCAUGUAGAUAAUAUCGUUUUAAAAAAAAUAAUACAAAACUAAUUAGAGUUGUUAUACGUGUAAAACAACAUCCUAUAAUUGAGGACAUAUUUGAACGUGCCUGACAGCAAAUACUACCCACUACGUUUGGAACUGGAUACAACAGUUAUAAACCAACCCUCCUUGAUAGAUGGGAGUUGGUUGUUGUUGUAUGUAGUUAAAGGAAUUUCCUGCUCACAAAAAAAAAAAAAAAAGAAAAAAAAAGUUCGAAGUACAUAAGAACACAAUCAUAGGAUUGAUCUCUCCAUUCUCCCAUAAUCUCAUGAGUUUCACAUCAUGUUAAAGAUAAGAUCAGCUGAGAAAGUAGUUUCGUUUGUGUUGUAUAUAUUUAUUCAAAUAUGGACCAUUUUACUACUUAGUACUAUGGUCUGGUGGUAUUCAUUUUCACUUGAAAGUGAAAGGUCUUAGGUUCGAAUCUCGUGGAUGGUGACUUUGAUACCAAAUUAAGCUGCCAUUGUAUGACUUAGCCAAACUCUUAUUCCUCUUAGUGUAAAAAUAUCGAUGUACUAAAAAAAAAAAAUAUGGACCCUUUUUUGACUUCAUGUACUUCUAGUAAGUAACAAGUAAGAUACUAAGGUGAUACAUUUCACAUUGUACGGUAAAUAAAUUUGGUGUGCAACAACGGCCUAUCUAGCUUGUAGUAAAUAUGAAUCGGAAUUUGGAGCCAACCAGUAACCAGGCAGUUCGAAGUUUAAUGAGUAGAAUAAAAGAAAAGUUAGAAGUGAAUGAAAGUGAACGAACUGAAUCAAUGAAAAAAUUGAAAAGGUAAUAAAAUAGCAUAGCUUAGUAGUACUGUAGUAGUGAAGAGAAGAGGUCCUGUCAUCCCUUCCUUCUUUUGUGGGUGCAAUGCCAAAGUUGGAAACCUGAAAGAGACCAGUGCUAAAAUCACAUGUCACUUUCCUCACUCACCAGCCCACAGUGUGAAUAUAUUGAAUUUAGGAGAUAGCAAAAGGCAAAUGGCUUGCCAGGACAUAAGUUGUUUAUAUUUAUAUUUGCGUCUUUUUUUGUGAUGGGACGAUUCCCUCACUUUCCCAAACAGGAAAUAAAGCCAUUUUUACACUUGAAUCUCCACCUUUCUUUGCUCGUGUAUACAACUAUUUUCCCAAGGUCUCCUUUUCCUUUCAAUUUUUUGCAUGCCUGGUAAAUUUCAUGCCUGCCUCUGCAGCCCUCUCUCUUCUGCAUCUUUCUGCUUCUCCAUGAUACGUUUUGUAUGUGGAUUGGACGCCCCACGAGAUUCCCAUGUCUUCUUUGAACCUUAGCAAAGUUACCAGUUCCCCCACUUAUUACCACACCGGACCCUUCCGGCUUUGGUUGUGAGAUUCUCCCGUGCAACUAAGACUUAGUUUUGAUAUUGUAAUUGUCAAAUAAAUAUUUGUCGUGUGUUCAAAAGUACAUCAUCUAUUUAAUAGACGAUUGACAAUAUGUCAUGAGAUGAGAAUCUCUUAUUCAAAUCAUGACUCAUGAGUAUGAACGAUCUUGUUCCAAUCGGAUUUGUGGUUCCCUUCCUUUUCAUAUUUGGACACAAUCAUUGGAUGCAUGUUCAUCUCCACUUUCUAUCUCUAUCGGGAAAUUAAGAUUAGACCCAUCUCAGUACCAUAUCUUUUUAGGCUCUAGCUACCUAGAUGUGUUCAUUGUACACUUUCCUAACCAUUAGGGUGCUUUCUCUCUCAUCCUAGCUGUUAGGUUAAUUCAUUUAUAUGCACUUAUAAUUAGAAAAAUGAUUUUCAUACAUCAUUUUUAGUUUUUCUUACACUCUUCUUUAUUUUUAACUGUUGAUUGGAUUGAAUAAAUCAAAAGCAAUCACAUUAUUGCUAAUUUAUUAUGAGGCUUAGCCCACUCCCCCACCCUCUUAGUGUAGAUAAUAUGAUUCAAAUUCGCAUUUGGCGAUAAUCGAACAUAAGACCUCUCACUUACAAGUGAAAAUAAAUACUACUAAGUGACAUGUAAUUAAGAAACUAAACAAAAUGUGUGUUUAUCAUUUCCCUAUAAUUAUUACUCCAUUCUCUAACAAUUUACAAGUUUUUUUAGGAUUUUAUUAACCGAUAGAGUUGUAGCUACAGGAUUGCCCAUACUAGGGUUUUCGAUUUGAGUAAGAAAAAAAAACUAGGGUUUCGGAAAUCUUUAAUCCGCGUUCCCCAUGCCUUUUAUUUAGAGAGUACAAUUUGGGUGUGGAGUUUUAUAUGAUUGACAAGUUUACAUGUUAGUGAGUGUGCCCUAUAUUUUAAACCCUAAACCGUGAUAUAUGCCAAGGAUGCCCCAACAACUUGCCAGUGAUGAUAAGAAGGAUUACAUUGUCCACACUAGUCCAGGUCAAACAUUAAAACCAAUGUUUAUCGAAACUAAGCAAUACUUUCAGUUACACACUUGACAUCCAUCCUAGAUUAAGCAUGAGCGAUCAAUGGUUAUCCAAACCAAGAAGAGCACAAAGAAAGUAGCGGUCGACAAUUUCCUAUAAGCUGGCACAAUGGCAAUCGACAAUUACAGUACGGCGACGACCGGCAAUUACUUGAUCCAAGGACAAUCUGCCUUCUGUUUUCUCUCUUUCCAUCUCUUUUUAUUAAUUAAAAAAUAGUACUAGAUGGGGAGGAACACCUUCCUACCAUGUCCAUUUGGACCAUUUCUAAUCUUUGUCUUCAUUUCGUGGCCCGUUUACCUCUAGGAAACGCAGGAACUAUGGUGAGAAUUAAGCUAUGGUAACGGAUUUCAGAGUAAAUUUCAGAAUAUAUAGUUUAUGACUCUACACAAAUAAAUCUUUACGAGAAAACAAGAUACAACGCAACAUUAAUUAAAGAAAACAUAGGAGAUACCUUAAAAAAGACAUAGGAAAUAAUGUGACUAAACCAACAACCUCAUCAAACAACAGUAACAAACAAAAGAGAAAAACUCUUCAUGUGUCCCGGAUUCGAAACUCUUCCAUCUUCUAAAUUAUUGUAAUAGUUUUUAAUUCUCCCCCUUAAUAAUAAUAUUUAAAAAUAAAAUAAAAAAGCAGAGAGAAAAACUCCAAAUUGUUAAAGCUGGUCAAUUGGAUGACAAUGUCUCAUUUUGAUCCCAAUUUGGGUGUUUUUUUUCAAUGAUUUCCUACUCUAUGGGGUAGAGUAUGUAGGGUACUCAAACUCGUAUCUAAGCAAGUCGAAUUUGAAACAUCUCACUUAUAAGUAGAGAUAAAUAUGAAUGUAUUAUGGUGCUAGUGGCUAUCUUAAUUUGGUGUUAACAAAACUAAGAUUUUUUGGCCAGAGAGGCACAAUUUUGAGUUCAUUGAGAAAAGCAAGUGGUUAAGAGUGUUAAAAGUUACUGAUUUAUUACUGGAUCUGGAGUUCGUAUUUGGUUUGUUUUUGCAUCGUUGAUUAAGAUUUCCAUCAAUUUUUCUUUAUUUAUUAGUUUUGAAAUUAAUUGUAGGAUUUGGAUCUUUUGAACUUGUUUCUUACUAUUGCUUUUUAAUUCUUGUAUAAACUAUUGAUCUUUAAUUCUUGUACAAAAAUCUGUUAAAAUAUUUCAACAAGGUCGUUGUAGUAUAGUGGUAAGUAUUCCCGCCUGUCACGCGGGUGACCCGGGUUCGAUCCCCGGCAACGGCGCUUUUUUUUCAUUUCCCCCCAAUUUUUGUGAUCCCGCCUUCUCUUACCCACUGUUAAUUAUAAUUUCUUCAAUCUCAAAAGCCUCUCUCGUUUUUGUUCCCGUCACAAAUUGAUUUAUUUUUUGUUGAUGGAACAACAAAAAGGAGUUCGUUACCUUUGAGUUUCUGUAUCGGGGCCUCUGGAACAGACGUAGAUAAUCAUUCGCCAGAGGCAUAGGCAUGUUCAAUCUUGGAAAUACGACGAAUCACAGGGAAGAGAAGUAGGAGAGGUGGACUUGUAAAUAAGUCAUUCAGUUUGGCAAUGAAGAAAAUGACAUGUUUAAAUAUCCGAAAGUAAUGCUAUGUACCAUUUCCUGCUCAUCAAGGAGAGAGUGACUUUCAGCCAAUGAUAGUUUGCCCUAGAUUCUGUUGGCGCCUCCAAUCAUCUUAGGAAGGAUGAUGCAGUUCAUGAAGACGCAGGGCUUUUUACAAGUUCUUGAGAUUGUAAAUCUACCGCGGUAGCCAGCAACUUGUCUGCAAAUGAAGAUAAUCGUGUGAACACAUUUUCCUUUCUUAUUCACCUUCCCUACAAACCCCAGAGGAAGCUGAAAAUACUAAUUCGAAUACCCAUGCAGAUCAUGUGUUACGUCCUUUCGGAAAGUUUCAGCAAGUUCAACUGUGAAGGUAAAAAUGUCAUCCAAUACAUUCAGGAUUAUUGCAUGCCUGUGCACUGUCCAGAAGUUGUUCUUUCGAUUGAGGUUUACCAUAACGUGUGAAAACGGAUGAAGAUCCAAGAGUUGUUGGUUCUUGGACAACAAACCACGUACCCUUAACCGAACUGAGGGAUAAGAUCUACUGCUAAACGGACAACGUGAUGCAAAAGGCCGGUCAGCAUGAUCUUUCGGGAUACUUCCUUAUCGAAGACACAUUUUGCUUAGUGAUCCGUCCGCGCGCGGUAGGUUAUGGCGAACUUGUACUCAAUUGGCUUAGAAAUUCGAACGACGAGCUCUCAGAAAAUGGGCGUGCCUUGACAGCCUUGUAGCUGGAAAGUCACAAAAGGAGCUAAAAGCAAUUAAGUGAUGUCACGAACUCUGAAUUUGCCUAGUUGACACGCACAAGACUCGAUUUUGUGAUAUUGUCACCAGGGAGACUAAAAACAUACAACUGUAAAUAGAGACAAGAGAUUGCUUCAUCCACAAGAUAUGCGAAACAAGCUCAGCAUGAUUAAUUGGGAUUCUUGAUAAUCUUAAUCUCAAACAAAACCCAUUAAUUGGGAAUGUUGAGAGCCUUGCUUCUGUUCAAUUAUAAAUAAUGAUUAGUCAAUAAAACAAAAUUUUGACACAAAACCGAGCGCAAUGGCGUUCUAGGAUUCAUAUAGCCGACCCCACUUAGUGGGAAAAGGCUUUGUUGUUGUUGUUGUUGUUGAAGAUGAAAGACACAUGUUGGAACAAAAAAUGGUUAUACGAAAAUGAACCAGAUAUCCAAUUGCUUGCACUAUAAGAAUAUCCCAAUGAAAAAUCUGAUAGUUGGUCUUGAUUCGUGAGCCAUUUAGCCUCGACGUGUAUCCAGUUGGAGUGCAAACGACUAAACAAGAAUGUUGUAUGGUAAGGAAUAAGGAGAAUGAGUUUAAAAAUUUGCUCUCCUCGGCAUUACCCAUAAAAUAAUUACGAUCAUAUACGUUAAAGUAAGCAAAAUAAACAACAAAAAUGUUAUUUUUACCAUGUAUUUACCAUUAUUUGCCCAUAAAAAGUUAUGAUCAGAUGCAUUAAAGUAAGCAAAAUAAACAACAAAAAUGUUAUUCUUACCAUCUAUUUGUACCAUAUCUUUAAUAAAAAUGGGAUGCACUUGUGUUUGUGGCUUUUAUUUAUUAGAAAGACUAGCAUAUGGGCACACACAAAACGUGUGAGAAUUUUUUUUUUUUUUAAAUCGAGAUAUGUUAGGAUUACAUGUAGGUUAGGCUUUGAAAAAAAAAAAGCAAAAUUUAGUUGUGUGAAAUUACAUUUAUACCCCGUAUUUCUUAUUCAUAUUAUUUUGUUUUAAUUAGAAGGUUAAACUGAUAAUUUUAUAAAAUUUUAAUUGACAAUAAGUAUUUUAUUAAUUAGUAGAGAUUAUAUAAAUAGACGAUAAGUGUGGCGGGUUUCUUUGGUUGUUGUUGCAUACAGGGUUUGGGCUUAAGCCGAAAUGGUAAGAAAGUAACAACAACAACCUCCUUUACACGCAACGCAAAGUCAUACUGCUUUCUCUCUUUUUACCUACGUGGCAAUCAAUCAUUGGGCCCUCAUAGCAUUUAAAGCCCAACGGAAGGAGAGAUUCAACCAACGAAGAGGGAGAGAUUAUAUCUGGUAGUUCCGUAGUUGGGGUAUCCAAUCCAAGGAGCCGAAGGUUGAAGAAAGACCAGCAACGAGAAUCUCUGAAGUUGGUUUGACCAAAAUCACCCGCGACGAUGCCGACGUUGACGAAGCUGUACACAAUGCAAGAAGCCUCGCAGCACAACACCAAAGACAACUGCUGGGUCGUCAUCGAUGGCAAGGUAAUUGUUUCCCCAUGAAUUCAAAUAUUCAAUUCAACCCAAAAACGAAGAUGCCAUGAGUUUUUCCUUUCGGGUAUUUGUAUUUUCAGAUCUGUAUGUUGCCCUUGGUAGCUAAUCUUUGCACUGCAUCCUGGGAUUGAUACAAAAGGACCACUUUGAAUAUUCUAACUUUUUGGGUUGUUUGUGUUCAGGAGGAUUCAAUGUGUCCUUAAUCUUUAGGUCAUAAAAAAGUCAAAGACUGAGACUUUGGAUUACUACCUGCAAAACCCAUAUUCUAUUUUCAUUUUGUUUACUAUUUACUGCUGUAAUUCCUCUGCGUUUCUCAGUUUCUAGGUCAAGUUUCCUCCUUUCCAAUCAUAAAUUUUGACCUAUAGAUAAUACGAUUUGGUUGAAUUGUCGUCGCGAGUAAUCUUUAUGUGUGUGUGGCUUUGCUAUUCAUAAUCUUGUUUAAAUUACAUAUGAAUAGUACUUAUGGAAUUUGAUCGCGAUUCGUGAGGCGUGUUGUGUUCUGUUAAAAUUAUUACCGGCUUUGGUACUCGAGAAUUGGCGUAAUCAAUUUUCUUUUCCAUCAUUUCAACUGGUUGCUGGUUUAAGUGCACGUCUUGCUGUAUUCGUGUUGCUUGCAGCCUUACUGUUGUUGUGGCAUUUAUGAACUAAUAUUCGUCUGAGUUUUAUCUGCAAAUUUGGUCAGUAAUCUCGGCAUCCUUCCUCUCUUAAUUAUCGAAAAAAAAAAUUUCAGUGUGCAGAAUGAGGAAUCCCAUGACUGUUGGAAGCUCUUUAUCAUCCAAAUUAUUGUCUUGAUUUACGAAUUUGAAAUCUGAUUUUAUGAGAUCGAAUUGAUUGUGUAUGUCAUAACGAAUUUCAAAUGUAGUUUGCAUUGCUGGUUCGGUUUCUCUGUUUUAUUUUGAUUUGGAGAACUAUAAUUUGACAUUUCAAUGGUCUGAUUGGGUUAUCCAGGUGUAGAUGCAUUGUUAUAUCCUACAUUGGUACGAUCCCAGUGUGGAUGACCUAUUUGGACGACCACCCUGGUGGAGACGAUGUACUCCUGGAUGCAACUGGUACAUUUAUAAGCUUCCAAUCUCCAUAACUUACUCAACUUAUUAGACUGUGCAAUCAAGAUUUUGCUUCAGUUCAGAUAAUCAUCUCAAACAACAAUGUAGAUGUGUCGUGAUCUGAAUUUAUGAGAUUCGAUUUCAUUAGGAAGAGAUGCCACGAAGAUUUUGAAGAUGCCGGGCACAGCAAAACUGCGAGGGAGGAAAUGGAAGCCUUCUGCAUUGGAGAGCUUGACACCACCUCCUUGGAUAUUCCAGAGCUCGAGAUUUUCUCCAAGAAUCAGCCAACUGAUUAUCCAAAGAAGCUCGUGGACUUGACAAAGCGAUACUGGGCUGUUCCUGCGGCUGUUGUUGGCAUCUCCGUGGUUGUCGCGGUCUUGCACUUGCGCAAGAAGUAACCAUCGGAUACAAUUUGCCCUUGGUAUACGACUUAAAGGGAGAGUUCUUCACAAUUUUGAAUGAUUAGGAGAAAACAGCAACUGAGAGAACUGCCCCAUUUUUAUCUAGAUUUUCAUGAUUAUAUUAUUAUUACAAACUAUAUGGAGAUUGUAUGUCAUUGAAGUUAGGGGAAACCCAUGGCUUCUGUGUUUGUGAGUCUCCAUUGUUGAAAGAUGGAAAAUUACACUAAAAUGUGCUUUAUUGAAUGUUUAGUGUCCUUUUAGUGAUAAGAGCUUUUACUUUGAUUGAAGUUAAAACUUGGCGCUAUAUUUUUAGCAAAGUUGUCGAUAAUACAUGUACGUACUUGAUUGAAGUUGAAAACACUAAACCAUUUAGCAAAGUUGCCAACUAAAGUAUAUUGUAGAAUAAUACACGUACAUUUGAUCGAGGUUAUUUUUUUGGUUUUUUGAUACAAUUAUAUUUUUUACAACAAAGUGUGAGGAAUAAAUUAGUUUUGAACUUAUCACUCACGUCAUUUAAACUUAAAACCUUGUUUACAACUUAUAAGUAAAUAGGAAUAAUUUAGAUUGUACUAUACAAUAAGACGAUGACAAGACAAUAAUACUUAAGUGAUACAUAUUUUGCUUGAAGUUCAAAUACACUAAAAUGUGAAUCAACUAAAAAUUUAAACAGAAGCUUUAAGGGAAAAGAUCUUUGCUUUUAUAAAAAAAAAAAAAAAAAAAAAAAAGGAAAUUAAAUUGUAGAGCCUAAAUAACAUCGAACUUCAACGAUCUGAGUUCUACACGUCCUGAAGUUUAAAAAGCAAAACGAAGGUAUUAUAGAAUACCUUAUAUUCUCAAAGCACAGCAAUACACAAACAAACAAACAACAACAACUUCCGCCGGGUUCGAACCCAUGACCUAUUGGAUUCGUAAAUCGCUCAAACCCCACAACGUACAUGGGUACUGGGG
rnacentral:lncRNA from 1 species